UCAAGGUUUGGGAGGAGAAAGAUGUUCCCCGGGAAUUUCCCUUGCAAUCCACAAUCCUAAAGGGAAAGAGAUGACAAAGAAGAGGACAGAUUCGUCAAGGAAUUAGGUGCAACCAAAGACAAAUUUAAAUAACCCAAAGUGAGAUCUCUUAGCUUGGUUAGGUUUUGAACAAGCUUGUCAAAAGAAAUUGGUUCUAUACUGAGAUGGAUGUUUUCAGAGAGAUCCAAGCAUUGGAGGUGCUUAAAACUUCCCAUUGAGGAUGGGAGUUUUCCUUGCAAUCGACAGCCAGAGAGUUUGAGUGAUGACAGAGAAGAGGAAAGAUUCAUCAAGGAACUGGGUACAACCAGUGACAUGUUUACCCAGUUUAGAUGGAGUUCUCUAAGCUUGGUUAGGUUUUGAACAAGCUUGUCAAAACAAAUUGGUUCUAGACUUAGAUUGUAUUGUCUAGAGAGAUCAAGUGAAACCAAUUUGGAGAGAUGAGAGAUUUCCGAUGGAACUUGACCUGUAAAGACUGAGUAAUUUAGGUUAAGAUGUGUUAGACUAGAGAACUGGCCAAAUUGAGAAGAAAUAUGGGAGAGGUUGAAAUGAUUGUCAGAGAGGUCGAGCUUUUGAAGAUGAUGCAGGGAGAAGAGGGUGCUAUUGGAAUGGAUGGUGCCGUAAAGCAUGCUGCAAGAGAGGUCCAGUCCAGUGACACGCCCGGUUUUCAGGUCACAAGUGAUCCCAUCCCACAAACAGCAGUCUGUACCCUCUUUCCACGACUCUGUCUUGGGAUGCUGGCAAAGCACUGAAGCAGAGCUAUUAAUGGAAAAGGAUUCUUUGAAUUGGAGCAAAGAAAGACUUUGGUCAGGAGCACAGAAAUGAGAUGAAGAAAUAGUUGAAUGGAAAUGGAAGAGAAACAGAGUGAAAGAGAGGGACAGUGGUGAAAACCCCAUGUUUGGCUGGCCUUACAGGAUUUAGUAGUAUAUUUGGGAGAGAUGAGGAAUGAAGGAAGGCAUUGUUAGCAGUAUUUAUAGACAAGAAUGAAGGAGAGGCAAUAAAGAAGUUUCCUUAGCUGGGUGCUGACGGACCAUAUCUCAAGUACAUAGACAAGAAUGAAGCAGAGGCAUUAAAGAAUGAGCGAGUGAGUGUUGGAAACGCGGCAAUAUUAAUUAAUUAAUGGAACACCUUAAUUAGUUAGAGAAUCAAAUUCUCACAUAAAGCGUUCAUUAAGCCUUUGAAUCGGAGCAAAGAAAGACAAAUUAAUUUGUUCAUGAGGACAUAAUUGCUAGUAUUAAAAACGCAACAGGAUGACAUUAUAUAUAACAAGGAAAUAAAAUAAAAUAAAAUAAAUAUUAAAUUUAUUUUUCUAUUAAUUUAAUGUUAAAGAAUAAAAUUAAAAAUAAAAUUCAACUAAAAAUAUAAAACAACUCAACAUAAAUUUAUCUUUCAAACCUAGAGGAGACUAAAUAAAAAAUAUUAAAAUAAAUUAUAAAAUUUAUUUUUUAUUAAAACAAAAUAAAAUCCCACUAAAUUGUUGUUUAUGGAAACCAAGGCAAAGUAAUAAUUAUGCCAAGCACUAAUGACUUUGCAUUUAUAUAUCGUUUUUUAACGAUCCAAAAAAGAUUAUUGAAUAUUGGAAACACGACAAUAUUAAUUAAUUCCCAAAAUCAACUUUUUGAGAGUAGAUAACACGUUACAUAUUUAAAUUUUAGAAAAAAAAGACACACAUUUCCUCUGCUUCAAAAUAAAUAAAAUAAAAAAUACAAACGAAUUAUUGAAUAAACGCAUUGCCGCGAGUCAAAAGAUUUUUUUUUUUUUAAAAUUUAUAAGUUUUUCUUUUAAAAACAAAGAAUGGUUGAGUUGAGUUGGCGUUGUGGAGGUAAUGAAGAACCCUAAUUCUCCAAUUAUAUGGUUACAUGUAAUGUAAAUAGUUUACCUUGAUAUGACAUACAUGGAUUAUUUAUUUGCCACUUAAAGCUGAAGGCUUUUGCAUUUAAAAUUAGGUUAAUGUAUAUGGUGAGUAAGCUAUUAAUUUAUUGUGGUUUCCAACUUCAAAAUUCGAGAAUCAAUUAUAUUAUGGGUUAGUGAUAAAAUUUUAAAGAAGGAGCAUUCUUGAUUUCUUUCAUGUUAAAAGCAUUAAUUACAUGUCCUGUUUUAAAAAAUAAAUCAUGAUUAAUUUGCUAUAGCACACUUGUUUUAACAAAAAAAAAAAAAAAGAUUACGUAACCAAUAAAUUCAUUCAGCGAAUUUUUCCACAAGUUAAUUAAUUAAUUAAUCCUUUUAGUAUUAAUUAACUAAAUAGUUAAUUAAUACUUUUAGUGAGUGAGAGGGGUUGCUAAUAUUUCUUAAACUAAUUAAUCCUCUUAGUAUUAAAAAUAACUAAAUAGUUAUUUGACAAAUCUUGAUUAGUAAUUUUUUUUUUAUUUUAAAAAAGAUACUUUUCUUGCUUAUCAUUCUUUCAAUUGAUAUACUUUGAAUUUUUUUUUAAAUAAAAUAUAAUUUAAACUAUAUAUGGGAUUAUGUAUACAUAAUUGAAAUAAAAAAAUUGAUAAACAAAGUCAUCUUCACCUUCUUAUUUCCAAUCCAUUUCACAGUUGUACAGCGAGAUUAAGUAACCAAUAAUUUCAUUCAGCGAAUAUUGCCACUGAAUAUUUCACUAACACAAGUGCUAAUAAAUAAGGUAGAUAAUCAUGAAUGCCGAACUUUACAUGAAAUAUUUAUAGCAUGAUAAAAAAAAAUAAAAAUCGUGGCUGCUUAAUUUGAAUGUUCAGAGACGUUUUUCCAAAUUGUAUUUAUCAAUGAAAUUUAUUCGAAGAUUGCUUGGCCCACUAAAAUAUAAUUUCCAUGAAAUUCAAGCCUCAAUAUAUAGGAAGAAACUUGUUAAUAAUUUACGAUCGUAGUUUACUCACAGCUUAAGCAAGUGGGCAUGCAGAGUUAAAGAGUCAUCCUCACCUUCUUAUGUCCACUUCAAUCCAGUCUCAGAAAGCAAUAUGCAAUGGUCCAGAAAAGUCUUUGGAUAUAUAGAUAUUGUCCAAUCUUCACGUGGUGCUCAAUAUGAAACUGAGGGUUGAAUUAUUCAAUUGCGAAUACUUCCUUAAUAUUUUUAAUAUUUUUGUUAAGAUCAAGUCUAUGUGAGUGAUGUGCAGCAAGUAUAUCUGUUAAUUAGAAUUUUCUUUGUAGCUUGCCUAGUGUUAAUUGUGCGUUAUUUACAUUAACACAUUAAAAUAAUUUAAAAAUAUAUUCAAAAUAUAAUAAUAUUAAUUUCUUAUAAAAAUUAUAUUUUUUAAAAUAAAAAUAAUAUAAAAAUAUUAUUUUGAUAUAUUUUCAAAUGAAAAAAAUACUUUGAAAAAUAAUCUCUACCACACUAGCAUGCUCUAAAAAUAAAAACACAAUAAUAUUAAUUGCCUAAAUGGAUUAAAUAGUGUUUUAGGGGUUCUUAAUUUUUCUUAAAUUAACUAAUCCUUUUAGUAUUAAAAGUAAUUAAAUAGUUAUUUGACCAAUUUUGAUCAUGCUCUAAAAAUAAAAACACGAUUUUGCACUUAUGGAUCAUACUUUUUGUGUGCGCUCGGUAAUGUAUAGAAGUUUAAUUAUUUUUUAAUUGUUUUAUUUAAAAAUAUAUCAAUAUGAUUUUAUUUAAAAAUUUAUUUUUAAUUUUGAAAAUCAGAAUAUUAAAAUCAUAAAAAAAACAUUAAAAAAUUAAUAUUGAUUUCCUAAAUGGAUUAAAUAGUGUUUUAGAGGUUGCUAAUAUUUUUUAAAUUAAUUAAUCUUUUUAGUAUUAAAAAUAACUAAAUAGUUAUUUGAAAAAUAUUGAUUAGUAGUAUUUUUUUUUUAAAUACUUUUCUUGCUUAUCAUUCCUUCAAUUGAUAUACUUUGAGUUUUCCUUUUUUCUAUUUUAAAUAAAAAAAUAAUUAAACUAUGGGAUUAUGUAUACGUAAUUGAAAUAAAAAAUUGAUAAGCAAAGUCAUCUUCACCUUUAUAUGUCCAAUCCAAUCCAAGCAAUGGAGCACUAAUGACUGUGCACAGAUAUAAUUUCUCAUGACCCGAAAGUCUUUCAGUGCGAUUCAUAAUGUUGUGCGAUAUAUUUUUUAAAUGUAUAUUUUAAUUGAAAAUAUAUUUAAUUUGUUUUAAUUUUAAUAUAAAUACAUCAAAAUCAUAACAAAAAUUAUAAAAUAUUUAAUUUAAUGCUUUUUUAAGCAAUAUGUUUUUAUAUAUAUAAAAAAAACAAAAGCUACCACAAUGUUUUAUUAAUGAGAAUAAGAAUAGAACCAUGACAAUAUUGAUUUUCUUAAAAUUAAUUAAUCCUUUUACUAUUAAAAAUCUUAUGGGGGAUAGAAAGUUGGGGGAAGAAAAAGGAUAAUUAUUUUCAGCUGAAAUCAGGUGUGCCCUUCUGUCCUUUUUCUUUGCUCUUUCGCUUCCUUUUAGGCUCCCGGCCUGUCAUGAAGUUGGUGUGGGAAUAAUUCCCUUUGCAUGGGACAGGCUGACUCAUCAGUCCUGAUGCAUGUAUAUAUAUAUAUAUAUAGGCCUCCUUUCUCUUGGGAAUAAUGAAUGAAGCUUGAGAAAGUUUUAAACCAAAACCUUUUUAUUACUAUGGAGAAUUUUGCCUAGGAUUGUUUUUCAUGCGAUUGUUCAUUCUAAAAUGCAAAACUAAGAGUCUGUCGCUGAAGUUUCCUAAAUAUGCAAUGGUGGUGUAGAACCGCUCAAACUAUUACUUUACAAGUUAGACUUGGAGGAAUUUCAGAGCAGCGUACCGGAAAUUAAAACAAUAUUUUGUGAAAUUUUAGGAAAACAGAGCAUCAACAAGGGAAAACCAAUCUUCAUCUGGUCUGUCCUACUAAAACUGACAAAGAUUGGAGGAGUUUCAAGGUUCUUGCCCUCGAGAUUACCAAGUAAGUGUGGGAUUGGAAAGAUCUUUCUUUUCCAGCAUCAACAAGGGAAAACCAAUCUUCGGAACCAGUGAGUGGUUCUGAAUAUGGAACUGCAGGUUGAAUUAUUGAUCAAUUGCAAAUAUUUCCAUACAAUCAGAUCCCUUUGUUGACUAUACAAGAGUGUUGGAAACACGGCAAAAUUAAUUUCCAGAAUUGUCAUUUUUCCAGCAAGUCUACGUACGCGCAAUUUGUGCUCUAAUUAUAACUCCUUUUGUGUCUCGUCUGAUGACAACUGUUCUUGGAGACUUCUACCCCUCUAUGCCUAGUUUUUCUUGGUUUCAUUGCAUCUUUGAAGUUUGGUUUUCCUUACAAUUUAUUUUAUCUUUCAUUAGAUAUCUCUAUACUGUAAGAAAUAUUUUUAAGUGGAUCAUAUGCCAUGUCAAGUUUUUAGAAUAAUAUAUAUAUAUUAUAAAAUUUAUAAAUGAUAAUUAAAUGGUUGGAGUUCAUUGCUCUCUAAUGAUGAACUAAGUUCAAUACAUAAUGGAUGAAAGGGAAAAAAAUCAUAUUAAAUAUUAAAUAUUACGUAAUGUCAUGUAACCUCCAUCAAAAUAUAGAAAACCUAAAGUUUGGUAUUGACGGUUCAAUCAUGACAUGGGCUAAAUCCACUCACUUGACAAGUGUUGAUCAUAAUACAAAUAAUAAUUAAUUAAGUCAUAAAUAUAAUUCAAAUUAUAGAGAUUAAAUGUAUAGUUUGCAAAACUACGGACUAGGUCGAACCAUGACUGAACCAUAAUGCUAUACGGAUUAAUUGAGUGAGAAUAAUACCUCUUUCAGGAUUUAAAAAUUAAAACAAAAAAAGCAAAAUCAUGCCGCCUAAGUAGUUGUUGCUAGACUAAAGGACACCAAGGCAAAUUAAUAAUUACGCCAAGCACUAAUGACUUUGCACGACUGAAAAAAGAGUACUGAGUGUUGGAAAUUAGCAUUGCUGUUAAUUAUAAUAUGAAUUAUAUAAAAACUAUAAUUUACGUUGUUAUCUAUUUUUUUGGGUCCUUAAAAAAAAACAAUGCAUAAAAUAAAAAAAAUUGUUGAAAAAAAUUAAAAUAAUAAAUCAGUAAGGAAAAAAUACGAAUGUUCAAAAAAUAGCAAUCACUAUUUACAGAAGGUAAGGUUCCUAUCAACUUUCCUUGUUGACUCAAAAUGGUGCAAAAUUAUGCCCCCGCUAGCACUAAUGACUUUGCACUUAUAUAUUGUUUUUCACGACCCAAAAAAGAGUACUGGGUGUUGGAAAUAUCGCAAUAUUAAUUAAUUUUUGAAAUUAUUUAAAUAAAGAAGAGAGAAAAAGACAAUUCAUAAAACUUAAAAAAAAUAUUUAAAAAAUCAAAAAUAUAUUAAUUUAAAAUAAAAAAAUUAAUUUUUUUAAAAAUACAAACAAGCUUUGAUUAAAUGAAAGGUAAAGUAAUAAUGACUUUGCACUUGUAUAUCAUUUUUCACGACCAAAAAAAGAGUAUUGAGCGUUGGAAACACGAUAAUAUUAAUUAAUUUCUGAAAUUAAUAAAGUUCAUGUGAGUGAUGUGCAGCAAGUCAAUGUGCUCAUUCGAAUUAACCUCCUUUGUAGCUUGUUUUGUGGUAACAAUAUUUUUUAUAGUAUCACAUUAAAAUAAUGAAAAACAAGUUAGAAACAUGACAAUAUUUAUUUUUUAUUAAAAAUAAAUUUUAAAAAAUAAAAAAAUCUUUUUUAAUUAUCCAAAAGUUAUCAACCUUCAUUGUGUGCUUGGUUGGUAAUGUGUAUCAACCCAAAAAGUCUUUCUCAGCAUCAACAAGGAAAACCAAUCUUCAUUUUCUCAGAAAGUAUGGAACUGAGGGUUGAGUUAUUCAUUUGCAGAUAUCUCCACGAAGGAGAGCUCCCUUAGUUGAUUACUAAACAAGAGUAUAAUAUGUAAAAACUUGAUAUCAAUAUAUUAAAAUGAUGUAAAAACAUGAUAAGAACACGACAAUAUUGAUUUCUUGUAAAAAAUAAAUUUUAUAAAAUAAAAAAAUAUAAAAUAUUAUUUUAAUUUAUUUUCAAACAAAAAAUACUUUGAAAAAUAAUCUCCACCAUACUAACAUACUUGAAGAAUAGAAACACGGCAAUAUUGAUUUCCUAAAUGAAUUAAAUAGUGUUUCAUGGGUUGCUAAUUUUUCUUAAAUUAACUAAUCCUUUUAGUAUUAAAAGUAAUUAAAUAGUUAUUUUAAUCAUGCUUAAUUCAAUAAUAAUUAUUAAAAAAAAACACUUUUCUUGCUUUUCAAUCUUUCAAUUUAUAUACUUUGAUUUUUCCUUUAUCUAUUUUAAAUAAAAAAAUAAUUUAACAAUGAGAUUAUGUAAGCAAAUAAUUAAAAAAAUAUGUAUACAAUAAAAAAUAAAAAAUAAAGAUAGUAAACCAUUUACCUGUAUUUAUAACCCUUGAACCUUGUUAUCUUAAUGGAGUUGAAGGACUGGAAAGACAUUUUUUUUAUAGCAUUAAUAAAAGAUAAAUAUCUCUUACAAAACAUUAAGUGAUGAACAAAUACCCCUUGCGCAAUAUUAAUGAGGGAUAAAUAUCCAUUGUAAAAUAUUAACGGGAAUGAAAAUAUGAUAGGUUUUUAAAAACUUUUAUAUACCUAUAAAUAUCAAAAGAUGAAUAUCCUUAACUCUAACAUUUUAUAUUAAAAAUCACAAGAAUAAACAAAUGUAACCUUGUAGUCUAGGUCCUAUAAUGAUCGCUAUACCCAAACCCACUUUGGCUUGGCAUGAUGCCAAGUCCAAGAGCGGUGGAUCUGGCAGCUCGCUAGAUCCAUAUCCGUUUGGGCUCUGCAAGUAGCUGAACUCAAGGGUGUGGGGUCUAGCAACUCGCCAAAUGCUUAAUAAGUAGCUAAACCCAAAAGUGUUGGGUCUGAUAGCUCGCCAUACUUACGUCCACUUGGGCGCAUCGAGUACCUGAAUUCAAGAAUAUUGGGUUUGGAAGCUCGCUAAACUCAUGUCCAUUUAGAUUUAGCGUGUAGCUAAACCUAAGGAUGUUUGGACUGACAGAUCCAUGUUAAUUUAUGUUCAACGCAUAGUUUAACUUAAUGAUGUUGGGUUUAACAGCUCGCCAAAUUCAUAUUUGUUUGGGUUUAGUGCAUAGCUAAACCAAGGAUGUUGGGUUUGGAAAAUCCCCAUAUUUAUUUUUGCUUGAGCUCACCGUAUAGCUGAGCCCAAGAAAAUUAGAUCUGGCAACUCUGCAUACCCAUGUCUGUUUGGUAGCUUGCCAGACUUAUGUCCACUUGGGCUCUGCUCUUAUUCACGCCGAAAGGUAUCUAGCUUGAUCAUGUCAUCUGGACUUGAUAUUCUUUGCUUGGGCACUCCGAGCUAGAAUUCCGGCAACAGCAAAAACAAUUCAUUGAUAAAUGAAACUUCCCAGGAAAUCGAAGUUUAUAAUUGGAGCUGAAAAAUCUGAGAAAUGCAAUUCGGAAUGUUUUCCACUCCCUUCAAGUUACUUGUAACACCACUUCUAGAGUUUCGACAACUCACUUCCUCAAUGGAAACACGGUGGUUUUUUUAUAUAAAAGAAACAUCUCGUCUAGGUAAUGAAAAGAUUAGCUGUUUAAAGUUAAGAGAACUUGUGAAGGAAAAAAUAAAACACAUACAUUACUCAAAAGUUGCACUAGAUUCCAUGGAGCACAAGAUCAGAAGAAAAAGAUCAUUGAUGGAUGAUAUGCGAAUCUUAGAAGCAGGAAUUUCCCUCAACUGAUUAAGCCCACCUCUGGAUUUCGAGAAAGAGCUCUUGAAAAAAUGGGAAUGCUAUUGACAUGUGUUCGAUCCCUUGGGAAACUUCAAUGGCCACAAACAAUGAAAGGAAAGUUCAGUAGAGUCAGGAACUUUAUAGAAAUCGGUUUCCUGUCCUCCUAGAUGCAAGCAAGAGUCCAAGUAUGGAACGAACUCCAGCCUAUCAGCUCCUGAAGAAUAGGAUUUUAAACUAGUGAUAAGCUUUGUAUAGAAUGAAACUCUAAUUAUUGUGUUUGAUUAGAACUCUGCAACGUUAUCUCUACUGUAUAUAUACACCUCUGUUUUCAAUGAAUAGAUAGAAGAGUUUCCUACGUUCCAUAUAUAUUCAGUUGUCUCCUCCACACUAGAAUGGCUGUGUUCUUGAAACACUAUCCUUCCCUUUCUUGGCAUUUGAUCCCCAACUCCUCUAUGAAUAGGUCUAACUAUGCGAGCUUGAUAAAGCUAGCUAUCUGCAAGUAGUCAAAGAAAAUUGCUAGUUUAACUGGAAAGAGUCGAAAGACAUGAUGACUAGGCUGGAUAGUAUAUUCAUUGCUUCAUUAUUUAUCUUCUAAUUUUUUACACUUCAUAGAGGACCUAUAACAUGAGACUACCUGAAUAAGCUAGCAGAAAACAUUGUAUCACACUGACUACAAACAAAACGCACCUGAAUUCACAGUCCAUACAAAUUCAAAACAGCUUUUAGGGAGCUUUGUUGGAUUCUUUAAUGUAAAGGAAACGAAGCAUUAUAGCUUCAUAAUGAUAAAGUGAAUCGCCUCCAUUUUUAUUUCUAUCCCCAGGAGAAGAAUCACCUCCAUUCAUAAUGCUAUUUUUAUUGCUUCAAUCGUUCUCAUCAUCAGAAGAAUUCCCCAACAUAGCAUUCAUAGCCUCCUCCUGCUGCUUCUCAAUCUCCAUGGUCCAUCAUCCACGAUGAAUUCUUUGCUUCUUCAAUUUGUAAUCGUUUUCCAUAUUCUCCAAACUAUAAAGUGAAUCACCUCCAUUUUUAUUUCUAUCACCUUGUGGAUGUGGCUGGAUUUUCCGCCGCUCGAUCCACUUAUCAAUCAUUUCCUCUACAAAAGCCUGUGGAUGAAGAAAAAUUCGCAUCCGUUUCCCAUGAAGCUCUGUUCUUAACCAUCAGAUCCACCUACAGCAAUGCCGAUUCCCAUGCAUCAUUCCAUUCACCCUCUUCUGUUUUGGUAGAGAAUGAUUGAAAAAAUGGGCCUACUCCCUUUAUUCUCCAUCUUUAUUUUAUUCCACUACAACGUGCCGCUGCUAUCAGUCGAAAGCAUCCUUUGGUCUCUUCUCUUGACUGCAAGCAAUAAUAGAUAAAGGCAUUUAGUAUUUCUUGGAUCUAUGACGCAAUCACUGCUGCAGGUUAACUCACUAAGCUGUUUGAAGGAAAGUGGCCCUUUUCAAUUGAUUUUGAAGUAAGGAAAGCAAUGUUCCAACUGAAAAUAAAUUAGGAGCACAGUGCACGCACCAAAGCUAGCAUCCUUGCAGAUGAUCCUGAGUUCCCUUAUAAUGCUUUAGACUUGUUAGUAUCUCCUGAGGGAUUAAUUAGUUAACUGGACUAAUCACAGAAACGCUAGAAUAAACAUUAUGUGGUCCAUGCCAGCCAUUGAAGAACUAAAAUGGAAUGUGGAUUGUUCAGCCUUUGGCAAACCUGGUAGAACUAGAAUUGGUGGGGUACUGAGGGAUCAUAAAGGUGUGGUGUUGUGUUCUUCAGUUAGAUUGAAGAGCAAUAUAUAGUUGUGAUACGGUAGCAAUCUGGAAGUGUAUUUAAAAAAGAGAAGUUGAUACUCUGUUAUUCAACGCUGCGGAUAAGGGAAAGGUCCACGAUGAAGAUCUUGUGUGGCUGGUGUUCUUCAGUUAGAUUGGAAAGGUCAACGAGCCAGUUCAAAGACCAGCGGUGGCACUGCUGCUGGGGUAAAGAGCAACUCAGGAAUCUGCCUAUUGUAUAUAGAUUUUUAGUUCCUUCAUUUUUUUUUUAUGGGUAGGUCCUUCAUUUUUUUAGUAUGAUGGAAAGAAAUAAUAAUUUUAUUAAUGAUAGAAGCCUAGUAAAACUAAAACACUUUCCCUAGCUACAUAUACAAUGCAAGAACCAUGAAGCACUCGAUUUUUCGGUCUACUACCGUGUGAUGCCGUCAUUUGUUUAGUGUGAUUUACAAAAAUAAUAAUUUUAUUAGUGAUGGUAACCUAGUUAAACUAAAACACUUUCCCUAGCUUAAUUAGCCAAAAAACAAGGCCAGUCAACAUGCGUGGAUGCCACAGUGACCAUCUUCCCUAGAAAUGUUUUGUCUCAUCACAAGCAGUGAUGGGCAUGUUGAUGGUUCAAGUGAUGGCAACAGGAAUGCAAUUGCUUUCCAAAAUCAUAUUGAAUAAUGGAACAUUUGUGCUUGCACUUAUGACCUAUAGGCAUAUAGUUGCUGCCGUUUGCAUGGCUCCCUUUGCUUUCUACUUUGAAAGGUAUGUCAUCUUGUCAUCAAUCAAUUUCGUCUCUGUCUUUGACACCAUUUUUCUCAGUUUCUUUUUAUUACUGCUGUGGUUGCAGAGGCAUGAUCAAAAGUAAGAUGAACUGGUCUGUUUUUUUCUGGCUUUUUGUUAACAAAAUACUGGUAGAUAAAACUAAAAUAAAAUAAACUGAAAAAAAUCAAUAUUGAUUUCCUAGACAAUUAAAUAGUGUUUUAGGCGUUGCUAAUAUUUCUUAAAUUAAAUAAUCCUUUUAGUAUUAAAAAUAAGAAUUGAGAAAUAAUAAAGUUUUAAGGAUAAAGGACUCAUCAUUAACAAUAAGAUAAGAUUCAUAUUAUGUUAAAGUAUUUCAACAAGCAAAUAUCUUUCUUAUUUUAAUUUAAACAUGGUUAAUUUUAAUAUUAAUAUGCAUGCUAGGUUUUUUGAUUUUAUAUCAAUUACAAGUUUAAAUAUAUACUUAAUACAAAUGCUAUUCUAUUAUUUUUUAUUUUUUGUGUUGAAAGCAAAACUACUAAUGAAAAAUUACGAUUGGUUGAAUUUAAUGAGAGAAAGACUUUGGUAUGCUGAUCACACAAAUGAGAAGAAGAGGAGGGAGGAGGAGUAAUUUGAGGAGAAUAUUGAAGAUGAAAUUGUUGAAUGGAAAUGGAAGAGAAACAAAUUGAGAGAGGCACAGUGAAAACCCCUUAGAAAUUGAGAGAGGCAAUAUUAAUUUAUGGAAAACAUUGAUAUACUGAUAAAUUGAGUGAAAACUGAGAGUUUUUCCAAUAUUAAAAAAAAAAAAGCCAAGCACUCACGAGUUUUUCCAAGCUUUCAACCCAAAUGCAGGGAACUGAGAAAAUCCACAUUUUUCUCCACCAGAAUAGAACCACUGAAAGAAAGCCCACAGGAAACUUAAUGAAAAGAACAUGAACCCAUGCACCUGUUUCCUGCAAGGUAAUGGUUUUCUUUUUUGAGUUGUUUCGUACUCAACUUCUAUCUAGUGCUAAAUCAGCAAGAAUCGGGAACAAGACUCAUGCUUACCUAGCCAUCUUGUCUCCUGUAGGAGUGUGGAACCCAUUGAUGAGAACUGCAGUUGCAGUUCCACUUGGAUAACUCAAUUUGUAAUCUAUUAUCAUGAUCUGGGGCACCAAAAAAUGCAUGAUCAGAGACCAAUUCAAGCUUCAUAAGUAACAUACAGAAGAAGUCGAGAUCACUGUCGGUUAAGAUUCAAAUGAAGUUGAAAACUUGCAAUCAUCAAUUCAUGAAGAUUUACCUCUAGAACACCAGCACUAAUAAAACAUAAACAAUCGAUUCAUCAAGAAAAUUGAAGAAAACAUAUUACCUUUCGCAGAGGAACUAGAGCAAGUAGCCCAACGAAGCUGCUUACAAAGAGGAAACCAGUCAUCCAACCAAUCCCAGGUUCCUUGGUGCUCCCAGGAGUAUUCCCCUCUGUAUCAACCCCAGCUUGCUCAUAUGUCUUCCUAUUCAAACCCAGUAGAUAAGAUCCAAAACCACCUGCAAUUCAAUAAACAAAUCACAAUUCGGAACACAUUAAAAAGAUUAGCAAAACUUGUUCAAAAUAUAAACAACACAUGAGAUCGAAGUCUCAAACCUCCAACAGCAAUGCUAUAACAAACAACACAUGAGAUCGAAAACAAAUAUUUAUUGCAUAAUAUUAAUAAAAAAUAAAUAUCCAUUAUAAAAUAUUAAUGGUGACAAAAAUAUAACAUAUCUAUUAUUUUACAAGUUAGACUUGAAGGAAUUUCAGAGCAGCGUACCGGAAAUUAAAGAAAAUAUUUAGUGAAAGUUUAGGAAUAACAUUACUGAACCAUUACCGGAAAACAGAGCCCUCAAGAUUGGAGUUUCAAGGUUCUUGCGUACUAAAAGAUUUUUGUUUUCCACCAUCAACAAGGGAAAACCAAUCUUCAUCUGCUCUGUCCUUUUCCUCCUUGACCUCCAAGUCUUCGCAACCAUACAAUUAUUCAAUAUGGAACUGCAGGUUGAAUUAUUCAAUUGCAAAUAUUUCCAUACAAUUAGGUCCCUUUGUUCACUAUGCAAGAAUGUUGGAAACACGGCAAUUUUAAUUUCCAAAAUUGACAUCUUUCCAGCAAGUCUACGUGCGUGCACUUUGUGCUCUAAUUAUAACUCCCUUUUGUGUCUCGUCUGAUGACAACUGUUUUUUUUUUUUUUUUUGUUGAAAUCGAGAAUAGAUAUAAUAUAAAAAAGAAAGAAUAAACAGUGCGAGCAGGGCUUUAGCUUUAGCUACAUAAAUUGUAGCCUAGGCAUCAACCUACAUACAAUAAAUGAAUACAAGAAAACCUAUAACCCUACUAUCAGUCCAAGCAAAAAACAAACCCACACUAAAUCAAAAAUUAAGCAGACCAUGCCGAAAUGCAUUCAUGAUUCCUGUAUAGAUCGGCACCAGUAUACCAAAAGGAAGAGUUGAGAUUCCUGAUCCAUCCUGCAGCAAAGUAAAACAAAAGCCAUAGGAUAUCUUUCCAUAUUGGCUUUUGAUCCUCAAAUAUCAAGUUGUUCCUAGUAUUCCAUAUAGUCCAGACAAUGUUAAACAUAAAGCCCCCCCAAACAGAUCUUUCAAACUUACAGUGAUUGCCCUGCAAAAGACCCAGCCAUUGACAUUGAAGGUCGUCAAGGCCAUAUGGCAUUACCCAACUCAAACCUCUUCAAUCUACAAUUUUGUUCCAUAGUUUCCAAACCACUUGGCAAUGCAAGAGGAUGUGGGAUACAGAUUCUGAAUGUUGCUCACAAAAAGGACACUUGUCUUCCUGAGGGCUUAGAACAUGCCUCUUCACCAGGAAGGCUCUUGUGCAAAGGCCUUCAUUUAAGGCUAGCCAUAAAGUCAUUUCUGUUUUUGGAGGGCAAAUGGAUUUCCAUACAUUUGUGACAUAAGUAGGAGAACCAACAUACCUGAUUCUUUCAAGGGAAAGCAUACAAGAAUUGACAGUAUAAUCUCCGUCUUUCCCCCACUCCCAAAUCAACUUGUCUUCUUUCAAUCGAUGAAUAGCUGCAAGAUUAAGAUCAGACAUUAAGCUUUGAACCAUCAGGGUCUUACUAGCUUUGAGGGGCCUUCUCCAUUUCAGAUUCCAAUACCAAGUAUCCUCUAACCAGUAUCCCAUCUGACUAACAAACCCUGAUUUGGAGGAGGAUAGGUGGAAGAGGGUCGGGUAAGAAUUAGCUAAGCAAAAGCCAGUCAACCAAGUAUCUAACCAAAAUUUAACAUGAUUACCAUUACCCAUUUUAAGUGUACAAGCAGCUCGAAUAAGAGAGCUAUCAAGAUCCAAGCUAGUAAUAGUAGAGCUGAUUCCUCGCCAAAUCCCUGAAAGUUUUUUCUUGAACGUGGGCAUCCCAUUUAUAAACUAAGGUCUGUAUUUUGCUUUAAUAAAAUCUGCCCAACUAGCUUUAUCAUUGCUUCCUAAUUUUCAAAUCCACUUGAAGAGGAGAGCUUUGUUCUUUGCUGAAAUAUUCCCAACGCCUAGACCACCCAUUUUCUUUUCUUUUGUCAUUGUAUCCCAAGCAAGCCGAUGAAUUUUCCUGUUAUCAACACUCCCACCCCACAAAAACCGAGCCUGCAUGGAUGUGAUCUUGCGUGCCACUGUCUUCUUGGAGACUUCUACCCCUCUAUGCCUGGUUUUUCUUGGUAUCAUUGCAUCUUUGAAGUUUGGUUUUCCUUACAAUUUACUUUAUCUUUCAUUAGAUUUCUCUACAUUGUAAGAAAUAUUUUUUAAGUGGAUCAUAUGCCAUGUCAUGUUUUCAAAAUAAUAUUAAUUGUGUAUAUAUUAUAAAAUUUAUAAAUGAUAAUUAAAUGCUUGGAGUCCAUUGCUCUCGAAUGAUGAACCAAGUACAAUACAUAAUGGAUGAAAGUGAAAAAAUCAGAUUAAUGAAAGGAUCCCUAUGCAAGCCAUAUUAAAUAUUACGUAAUGUCAUGUAACCUCCAUCAAAAUAUAGAAAAUUUAAAGUUUGGUAUUGACGGUUCAAUCAUAGUAUGGGCUAAAUCCACUCAUUUGACAUGUGUUGAUCAUAAUACAAAUAAUAAAAAAUAAUUAAGUCAUAAAUACAAUUAAAAUUAUAGAGAUUAAAUGUAUGGUUUGCAAAACUACGUACUAGGAUUAAGUUAUAAUUAACUCAAAUAAAAAAGAAAUUUAUGCAAAGGCUCGGGUUCCCUAGGUUUCAAGGACGAAGAAGUGCUUUUUAGGACCCGUUGAUAGAAAACUGUAUAAAAGUGAUUACAAUUACAGAGAGAAAAAAAAGAGUAAGAUUUUAGAAGAAUUAGUGAAUUAAAAGAGAAGGAGGAGGAGUGAGAAAUGGUGGAUUGGUAAUUUAGAAGAAUUAAAUGCCAAUAACAGUUUAAUCCUCGGAACUAGGAGACGAUAAUGCAUUAAUCGAGAUUAAGUUGUGUCUUUUUCCAUCAAAUAGCUAGUCCGCUUGGCAAGAACACAAGUAUUAAAAAGAUUAGCAAAACUUGUUCAAAAUAUAAACAACACACGAGCACAAGUUUGAACUAUGGUAUUCUCUUGUCGGGUAAAGGGAGUGGUUACAAUUCCAGCCUUUGAGAGGAGCUUAGUCCAUGUUCUGAGGAACAUAAAUGCAAGAAGACCAGUGGUGAGAUUCAGCUUCAUGACUAUAACACUGUAUAUGAUCCCAAUUGCUAUGCUAGCAACAAUUCCCCUAACUGUAAUCUGUUUAGUCCAUGGAGCAAUCCUCUUGAUAUCCAUGUUCAUAUUCAUCACAAUCUUCUCACCAAUACAAUCAACAAACCAAACUCAUCAUCUUGAAUCCAAUAGAAUGAUUUAUAGAAGCUAAACCACACAUCAAGAAAAUCUGAUAAAACUACAAAAAAUAAAAAAUUGAAUAAAACAAACGUCAUGAAUUAUAUUACCUUAUAAGCCUCCUCCUUUUUCUUGCUCCUCUUCUUCUUUCGACCACAGCUUCAAAAAGCACCCGAAGAAUCCAACUUCCUCAGUCAACUACUAACAAGUCUCCAUCAAUCAAUACAAGUAGAUGCAAGAGCAUAUAGCUUCCUUCAGAAAGACAACAAAACAUUCAAAUCAACACAUGGGCAAGGGCCAGCCUCUAAGUUGACUUAAGGAAACUCUCCAAGAAAAACAGACGGCAGCAGACGAACUUGAUUCGAGGCCUUCAAGAAAAGCCCAAAAACCAUAAAUAUUGCUUCUUCCAAAGCAAUAAUCAAGAGCAUUAAUUGUCAGGCCAAGAGAACAAAAACCCAAGCUUCUUAUAUGGCAACAAAACACAGCAAUUGUUUUUCUUAUUUAUACUAAAUUUAAGCACCACCAGCCCACCAACCAGCAUUUUCUAUGUACUGCAAAGAAGUACAAGGCAAGGCUGCGUUGUAGUACAACACUCAUCAGAACUCCAACGAUGGCUGCUAUACAUUUGAACAGAUGUCAGGUUCAUAAAUUUGAUCCUCGUCUCGUUGACUUAUUACCACCACUUUUCACGCUCUCUUCAUCCUUGUAGUACAGAUAUAGAGAGAAGAAAAGUGGGUAAACUUUUCUGAACAGUAGCUUUGCCACUAUUUUUAUGCUAGAACUGGUAAACUUCCAAAGGGUAUCAACUCUUUUUUUGUAACUCUGAUUCCGAAAUCAAAGGAGCCGAGCAGAUUCUCCCAUUUUCGUCCGAUAAGCCUGAUUCACGGGCUAUACAAAAUAGUGGCAAAGCUACUGUCCACUAGGCUUCGUCAUGUCAUGACAGAUGUGAUCAGUGUUAACCAGUCUGCAUUUAUUGCUGGGCGUCAGAUUCUAGACGGGUUCAUGAUAGCAAAUGAGGUUGUCCAUGGUGUGCGCAGCAAGAAGAAGCAUGGCCUCUUAUUGAAGGUAGAUUUCCAUAAAGCCUUUGACUCAAUUUUAUGGGAACAUAUUGACACAAGUAUGGGAUACAUGGGUUUUGGCUCACACUGGAGGAAGCUGAUAUUCGAAUGCUUAUCCACUUCAAAAUUAGUCAUCUUGAUAAACGGUUCUCCUAGUAGAGAAUUUAGUUUGGAGAGGGGUCUCAGGCAAGGGGACCCACUCUCUCCAUUCCUAUUUGACAUUGCAGUUGAGGGAUUGACAGUUUUAUUCAAUAGGGCAUCAGCUUCAGGUUACUUCAAAGGCUUACAGACUACCCCAGGUCAUUACUUAACUCAUUUGCAAUAUGCCGAUGACUCUCUGAUUUUCUUGCCAAAUGAUUUUCCCUCUCUUCUACAUGCCAAGAGGAUUCUACGUUGGUUUGAGAUCAUUUCGGACUGAAAGUUAACUUCUAUAAAAGCUCACUAAUAGGUAUCAACUUGGACAACGACUACACCUCUAGCCUGGCGAACUCAGUUUUCUGUCGUAGUGAUACUUUCCCGGUUAGGUACCUUGGACUACCUCUUGGAGCCAAUCCCAGCAGACUCUCUACUUGGAAACCAGUGUUGUCCACUAUCAGAGCAAAGCUACUCACAUGGAAAGGGAAUUUUUUGAGCAUGGCGGGAAGGUUAUGUCUAAUUAAAUCAGUCUUGAGCUCUCUUCCUCUGUUUUACAUGUCAGUUUUUGCUAUGCCAAAGGGUGUUACUAAAGCCAUCUCUUCUCUAACCCGGUCUUUCCUUUGGAAAGGAAGCUCAACUUCUCAUGGCCUUUUUAAGGUGGCUUGGCACAAGGUAAUAAAGGAUAAAUCUUCUGGUGGUCUCGGGCUGGGAUCCAUCCACAACAAAAAUCUGGCUUUGCUCUUUAAAUGGCUAUGGAAUCUAGACAAUGGAGUGGCAGGAGGCUGGCAAGAACACAUUCUUCUAAAAUACCGACCUCACUUUAUAAAUGGUAUCCCUGAGUUUGCAGGUUCUUUAUCUCCAACUUGGCAUGGCAUUGUUUCGGCAAUCUUCUCAACACAAAACAUAGCCAAUCUUUUACAUGCAAAUGUCGGGUUCAAGGUGGGUGACGGGAGGAACAUCCGGUUUUGGACUGACUCUUGGCUCGGCUCUGCAACCAUCUCCAGCUCUUAUUCCCCAGACUUUAUAACCUCUCCUUGCAGCAAAACACCAGCCUUGCAGAUAUAUACAAUUUGACAGAUGCAUCUUUAAACCUUCCUGGAGAAGAACCCUUCGGCCUCGUGAGAUCUGCCAAGGGAGAGCUUGAUCGCAGAGGUGCAGCGUGGUCUCCUUUUCUCAGAUGGUGCAGACUGCAAGUUAUGGAAAUUCCACAGCUCUGGCAUGUACUCAGCUCAAUCAGGUCGCCUCUUCUUUGAUAGUCUAUCGGCCACUGAAAAUAAUCACUCCCUACUCUGCUAUGGAAUGGUUAUGCCCCCCCAAAAGUGGAUGUGUUCAUUUGGCUUCUUCUUCAUGGAGGUUUGAGUACAAGAAGUUUUUUAGCUGAGAGGAGAAUCAUAAAUUAUGAGGAAUCUCACUGCCCAUUCUGCUGCAAGGAAACCGAGAUAAUUAAUCAUCUUUUCCAUUGGUGUCCUAUAACAUGGUCUCUUUGGGGUCGUUUCUUGAAAUGGUUCGGGUGCUCAGGUUGUCUGCACAAAGACCCAAAUCAAAAUCUACAGGAAUGGUCCGGAUUGAUUAAUGGAAAAUUUCAGCGACGUGCUAUUACCCUCCUCUGUAAAGGUCUGUAUUGGUCAAUUUGGAUAGCGCGCAACCGCCUAAUCUUCGAAUCCAAGGCUCCUGAUUGGGAUAUGAUUUUUGAUCUCACUUUUCACCGUUUGGCUUUCUGGUUGAAGUCCUCAGUUACAAAUUUCAGCUAUACAGGCUCAGAUCUUUUUAGAAAUCCUGAAUGUAUUAUGAACUGGACUAACUAAUUAAGUCCCUCAUCACUUUGGUCUUUUCUUUCUUCAUAUUUCCAUUGUAUUCUAUCUUUCGUUCAGCCCCACUUACUUGAUGGGGCUGCUUAUUUAAUAUAUAAUUAUCUCGUUUACUAUCAAAAAAAAAAAAAAAAAUGUGGGCAAUCGUAAGCAUAAAAUUGCUUAAAGUGAAAAGCAAGAAAUGGAACUGCUAACUGGGAACUGGCGACUUCACUUGAAAGCAAGCUUGUCAAUUCUAUUCUGGUAAGUGUUUUGUUUUUUUAAUUAAAAUAGAAUAUUUUAGUUUUGAAACGUUUGAGCGUACCGUUUCGGGGUUGUACUGUUCAUAUAUAUAUAUACUGUUCAUAUAUAUAUAUAUAUAUAUAUAUAUAUAUAUAUAUAUAUAUAUAUAUUCAUCAAACAUAAUUCAAAUUUAAGAUAAAUUAAUUAUAAAUUAUGCAAUACAAACACAAUACUAAACAAAUAUAAUUUCAAAAUUUAAAAUAUUUUUAAAUAGUAAAGAUUAAAUAGAUAUUUAACUUAAAGUACUUCAACUUAAAUAAAAUAUCAAAAUAUUAUGAAAGUAAAAUGUUUUAACAAAAAUAUUUUAAAUAUAAAGUUAGGUCAAUGUUAUCAAGUGGCUAAUAGAAUCUGAAGCAUCCCUUGUUUUACUUAAAUUCCUACAAGGUCUAAACAUGAAAAAAAAUAACAUGAAUAUAAAUCAUAUAUAUUAGUGAUAAAUCUAAUUUUAAAAAAUUAAUAUUAUUGUUAAUGAAAAUAGUAAUAAUAAUUUUCAACAUUAUUAUUAAUAUCAUUGCUAUUGAAAAUAGUAAUGAAAAAGAGCUUUUUAUAAUCGGGUGGUUUAAUUAAUGAAAUUGAGUAAAGUUCAAUUUGAUUCAAUGGCUUUUCAAGAGCGGAACGGAACAUGUGGAAUGAAAUUGGAACGUUUCGGGCGGAAUUUAACCGAAAAAUCCGGAACGGACCGAGAUUUAAAAUAAGAUGAAAUUUGUUCCGUUUUGUUCCGUUUUUUGAAUUGGUAUGGAAUGUUUCAGCCAUUUCAAACGGAACAGAACGGAAUUGACAACCUUGCUUGAAAGUGCCUUCCCUUUACAGUCAAAACAUGUGUAUGGCAAGUUAAAAGUGGAUCUUGAUCCCUCUACUCUUAUUUCCCUUAAUUUAUCACCUUCUAUCUUGAUAUCACUCUCUUUAUUAUAUUCUUUAUUUUAGUCAACUGUAGCCUAGCCGUGAGACACCUCAAUCCCAACCUAACUUGUUUGGAUUAGAACCCAAAGACUGCUUCGUUAAAGAUUGAUAUUUAUUUAAUCAACUAUUGUACUAUACUAGGCAAUGACGUCGUUUAAUACUAAAAAAGUAAACAUUUUCAAUAGGAUGUUCUCUUAUCCCACGCAUAAGAAAAAAAAAAAUGUCACGAGAGAUUAAUUGUUAAGGGGUUAUAUUGAAGAAAAAAUAGUAUGAGGAUCAAAUUAACAUAGAGUGUAUAGUGGAAGGAUAAAAAAGACAACAUUAGCAAGGCGUGUGGCCAAAACAUGUCAAAGUCAGUUAAGAAGAGGAAAAAGGCCAAUUUUGAGGCCAAUAAUAUAGAAAUCUAAAAAAAAAACGAUAGAUGAUUGAUGUAAGAAAGAGAUAUGAUACGGAUGGUGGGGUGGGCCUCCGAAAUGGUGGGGAUGGUAUUCAUUGAAUGCCGAUUUUAUCAACCUUUAGAUGGGAUAACUGUUUCUGACCAUUAAUUUCUAGUUUAUAAAAUGAUGUGAUAAGAAUAGUUAUGUUAAAAAAAAUUGUGUUUUGAAUUUUAAAAAAAAAUAAGUUUUUUAUGUUUUAAUAUAAAAAUAAAUUUUGAAAACUAAAAAAAUAUAUAAAAUAACUAUUAACAUAAUAAUAGACUGGCAAUGACAUAGUUUUUUAAAUAUGAUUCUUUUUAUGCUACUUGAAAUUUAUGCAUGUUCUCUAUUUUAAAAAAUAAAAAUAUUAUUUAAAUAUAUUUUUAAAAAUAAUUAUUAUUAUAAUAUCAAACAUGUAUUGAUAUUGAUCUUGCUAAAUUUAAGAUAAUAUUGUUUCAAGAUUGUUUUUAUAGAAAAAAGUUAAAAUGUUAUCAAUUUAACCGGAUUGAGUUUAAUAUCUAUAAGAAAUUAUUUUUAGUAAAUUAGAGUAGGUCAUAAAAAUUUAGUCUAUUGGUAGAUGGAAUAAACUACACAUGAAUUUAUAAUAUGAUUGAUUUACUUCAUGUAAUUUAAAUUAAAGAAAAAAAACAUACAAUUCCUCUGCCUCAAAAUAAAUGAAAACAAAAAUACAAACGAAUUAUUGAAUUUUCAAGUGAUUUUAUUGUUCCUAUUUUGAAACUUGAAAUGUAAUAAUUCCUCAUCUAAUUUUUUAAUCGGGUGCAAUAAUUUAUUAUUUAUCACUUAGUUUACAAAAUAAAAUAAAACAUUUAUUUCAAAGCGUUGAUUUAGUAAUUAAUCCAAUUGUUUUCUACUGUGAUCACUUUGAUUCUGGGAUUGAGAGUGAUAAAUUAUCAUCGAAUUAAUUUUGAAAAUUAUCAUCGAAUUUAUCUAAAAAGGGAAUUACUUAGCGUGAGUAUCUCUCUUAUCAAGAUUGAUAGUUACGUGCAUUAGGGGAACCCUUUCGUCAUAGCACAAUCGUUCUUUUGCACCAAAAAGUCAUCAAAAAAUUAUUCCAAAACAAACACCACAGACACCAACCCACCCUCCAAGAAGCAAACAAUUUUGCUGAAAGGAAUAUGCAAUAAAUAUCUCCGUUUAAAUCACCUUAAUUCAGUGGAAAAUUAUGUGCGCCUUAUUUGUACAUUAAGCUAUGUGCAUGCAUCAAAGUGUGGUUUGAUUUGAUUAACUGCUUGACAUAAAUAAAAUGAAAAGAGUUCUUUGGCAUUUUUUAGAUGAAAAAAAAAUUACAAUGUUAUGAUAUUUGUUUUUCUCUGACCCAAGUUUUGUGGAUAUGAAGCAGUGAAGAUGUUGAAGUUACAUCUAGACUGCAAAAUUCAACUCCUUGGUUAUUAAAACUUAAAACUUGGUAAAAAAAUCUAGAUUACGAGUUAAGCUCUAUUAAUUAAAAUAAUAUUAUUUUAUUUUUUAAAAAUUAAAUUAAAUUUUAACUAAAUCAACUAAAUCAUGAACUAAUCAGUUUAAUAGUUUAUUACCAAUAAAUUAUGCCAUUUUACAUUUACUUAUUUUUUUGGGAGUAAGAACUCAAUUUUGAAAGGGACGGUGAGUUUCAGUUUUGAACUUUAUUUUUACCUUUUAUUGGAACUCAAUAUUGAAAGGGACGGUUAGUUAUAGUUUUAAUUCUAGGUGGGCUCGAUUGGAUGAGUUAUAGCAAGGUUGUCAAAAACAUUUUUUUGACACGACACGGAACAUACAAUAUAAACUCGACUCGUAAACUCGAAUCGUAAAAUCGUAAAAUCAAAAGUAAAAUUUUUUAACUAAAAAUCGUAAAAUCGCAAGUAAAAUAUUUUAACUAAAAUCGUAAAAUCGCAAAAUAAACAUAUUGCCACUUGUAGUUUUUUUAGAAGCCAUGUAUCCUACAAUUCAAGAAUCAUUUGUAUAAGCCAACACAAAGAACAUAAUAUUUAGCAUGCAGUUAAGGCCUGGAAUUGAUGAGAUGAUUCUGUUCCCUGCAGCGAAAGUCUUAGCCUAAGGGGCAUUAAUCAAUAGAGAUCUGUGUAUAGGCAGCUCACUCUCAAUUCUCAAAGCAUACGUGGGUAAAAUACCUUUGCAAAAUAUAGCUACGCAAGAGUUCAAAACAACAACAAUCAAACUUAAUUUUAUCAUCAAAUUCAAAACAACUUAGUUAACUAACCGGGACCAUCUAUAAAACCGAAAAAAAUACACACUUCACUCACAGAUUCACAGAUUCACAGAUUGCAGAAUUACAUAAUCUGCAACACCGCAAGCAAGAUCAAACUGAAAAAAAUUCACACUUCACACUUCACAGCAUGCCCAUUGCCCAGAUCAAACCGAAAAAAAUUCCCCGGACAGAAGCAAACCACUUAAUUGUAGAAUACCCAGAAGGGCCAGAACAUAAACAUGGAUUCACAAUUUCACAGCAUACCCAAAUCACAGCAUACCCACCAUUAGACAGAAAAUAACAAAGCUUGGGAUGGGAUUGAGAAUCAAUGCUUACCUUCGUCUCGCCAAGAACAGAGAGGGGACGAUUGGCGAAGUCUGGGUCCUCUGGGACUCUAGACUCUGGAGUCAAGGAGGGUAUGAGUCUGUGAGACAAGGAGUCAGGUUUAUCGAAGAUCCAACUACACUCUCCUUAGCCAGCAGGUAGAAGAGCAACAGCAAGCAGCGGCAGCAUACUACGAGUCGUCUCUCUCAGGUGACUCAAAAAACAACAAACUAACAAUAAAGCAAGAGAGAAGCUUCGUGGAUUGGGAGUCGGAUCAUAGAUCAAUAGCAAAUCAACAGCAAGGAAACAGUAAUCGAAUUGGUUUGUAUCCAUCCUCUGCAGCGAUCGGGUUACAAAGGCAAUCGAGCGGGAGUAGUUUCGGAGAGAGUUCGUUAUCGGGAGAGUAAUCGAAUUGGUUUGUUUCAUUGCUAAAUGCUAAUUUCCAUUUAGUUCCCGUGACUGUGAGCCCAUGCGUGACAUUUCAUUUAACUCGUGAAAACGUAACGGUUUUAACGUUUUUUGCGAGUUGAUCCGAUUUUUUGCGAGUUUGACUCGGUUUUAUGCGAUUUUAAUGGUUUUCGAGUUUUGCUUCCGUUUCUACACGUUUUGCUGGUUUUAACUCGUAAAAUCGUACGAUUUUACGAGUUAAAACGCAUUUUUAACAACCAUGAGUUAUAGUUUUAAUUCUAGGUGGGCUCGAUUGGAUUUCUUUGUUAAAAAAAACAAUAACAUGAUCAAUAUCUUCAAAUCAACAUUAGUGAUGUUGAUAUAAUUAACAUUUUUUGUACAAUAGGAUGUUUUGAUAAGCUUUUGAUUGCACUAAAAAAAUUACAUCCAUGUUCAGAGUACUGAUAUAUUUUUUAAGAAAUUAAUUAUUUUGUCCAGAGGAUUCGAGCAUUAAAAUAUAAAAAUAUGGAAGAUACUUAAUAUUUACCAACAAAACUAAGCCUGUGAGAGUUCACUUCAUACGAAUAGAUAUCUAUGUUGACAAAUUAUUUGCCACUUGAAGUUGAAGAUCAUGGCGUUUAAAAUGAAAUUAACGCAUUAUAAGCUAAUUAUAGCUAAUUAUGUGGAUUCCAACUCAUAAUUAGUUUCAUGUUAGGAGCGUGAUUCCAUGUUUUACUUAAGAAACAUUGAUUUGCACUUAUAUGCCACUUGAAGCUGAAGGCCUUUGCAUUUAAAAUUAGGUUAAUGCAUGUGGUGAGUAAGCUAUUAAUUUAUUGUGGUUUCCAACUUCAAAAUUCGAGAAUCAAUUAUAUUGUGGGUUAGUGAUAAAAUUUAAAAGAAGGAGCAUUCUUGAUUUCUUUCAUGUUAAAAGCAUUAAUUACAUGCCCUGCUUUAAAAAAAAUCAUGAUUAAUUUGCUAUACCAUAUUUGUUUUAACAAAAAAAUAGAGUGAAUCAUGCAUUGCGUGAAUAAAUAUAACUAACAUUUCAAACCUAUGUAUUUCGUAUCAAUACGUUAAAUAAAGAGUAUAGAUUAUAUCUCAUUUAGUUUAUAACUAGAUAUGUUGUCGGUAACAAUUUUUUUAAUAUAAAAAAAAUGAUAGAUUAAAAAAAUCCAACAAUAACAACAAAUAAACUGACAACAAAAAAAACAUAUAUGAGCCUAUUUGGAUUACUACACAACCCAAUGUUAACCUAACUGAAUAAAAAAAGAAAGAAAAAGAGAGUCAAACUUUAAAAAAAAAAUAACAAAUAACAAAAAAUAUUGACUAAAAAAAAAGGAUAAAAAAAUCAAGCAAACCUAUGCUUGAAAUAUCGCAAUUAUUGCAAACAAAAAAAUUAGGACCAAACUUGCAGAUGAAAAAAUCAUAGGGUGUGAAAUUAAAAUUUUUUUGUAAUAUGAUAGAAUAUUUAUAGAUUUAAAAAUGGUGGGGGUUAAAUAUAAAAAAAAUUAUCGAGGGCUAACCCUAUAGAAUCAAACAAAAAAUAAAUUAAAAUAGAGAAUUAUACAAAAAACAAAUAUAAAAAAAAGUUUUAAAAGAGGAUAAAAAAUAAGACAACAUCAAUUUAGAAAAAGAAAAAAAAAGGUAAAUCUCUUAAACCUGAUUUAAUAUCUAAAAGUCGCAUCCUUUGAAAUGUUUUACCCAGAUUCAAUAAAAAAACAUAAUUUUCAACCAAUUUAAUUUUGAAAGAUGAAAUCGGUAGAAAAAUAUUAAUAAAAAAUCUCCAAAAAAAAAACAUUAAAUAUGAAGAAAAAUUUGAUAGAAAAAACCUAAGAAUGAUGCAAUUUAAUGAAAAAAAAAAAAACAUAAUCCAAAAUAAAAUAAAUAUCAAUUAAAAGAAUAAGAACCAAAUUAUAAAGAUUAAGCAAAAAUCAUAGGUGGUGAAAUUGUAAACAUAUAUAAAAACUAAGUAAACCCGAGCAACAUCCUCAAUAUGGUCAAAUCUUAAAAAGCUUGCAGCCUAUGAAACCCUGAAUCCGGAUUCUAUCAAUAAAUUUAUUACAAGCCGAUUUAAAAAUAUAAAUUUUAAAAACUUAUCAAAAAAAAAAAACAAAACAAAAAAAAGCUUGGAGCGAAACUGACUGUCAGCUCAAGUAAACAAAUCAAACAUACGGUUUAGGAUAUGAAAUUAAGAUGACUCUAUAAAUAGAAAAGCUAAAAAAACACUAACAACAAACAUAUUAAAUCAGGCUAAUCCUUCAGAUCUAGUACCUAGGUCAUGAGAUUGAAAUGACCACAUCAAAGGCAUACUUGAUAAAACAAAAAAGCAAGAUUCUUCAUCAAACAAAUAUUGAAUGAUGAAACUGAGAAAAAAAAUAAACCAAAAAAACAUUGUAAAAUAAAAACAAUAGCAAUAAAAAAAAUAGAACUAAAUUUUACAUAAAAAUUAAAUGAAAUUAAAUAUUUAGGAAAAAAUCAAAUCAAAUAUUUAGGGAUGAAAUUGUAAAAAACAAAUUCAUUAAGAAAAUGAUUUAAAAAAUAGCAAUUUAAAAAAUUAAGACCAAAUUUGACAUAAAAAUUAAAUAAAAUUAAAUACCUAGAGGUGGGAUUAGAAAAGGAUAAAUCAAUCAAGAAAAGAUUAAAAACAAAACAAAUAAAAAUUAAAUUAAUGAGUACCAAAUUUGAAAAAAAAAUCAAAAAAUCAAAUGACCACAGAUAAAAUCAAGAAUAAAAUUUAAUUAUAAAUAAUAAAUAUAAAUAAAACAAUUGCAAAUAAGAGAAAAGAGACUGAAUCAGAAGAAGAAAUAAAAUGAAGGGCUAGUAUGCAUUUUUUCCUAGUAUGAAUUUUUUCAUGGCCAGCACACAAUCUAAAAAAGAAAGAAAGAGAAGGAAAAUAAAAAAAAUAAAUAAAAGUAAUUUCAAGCUAAAUCACAUUGAACCACUAUAUAUGUGUCAUCCAGAGAGGAAAAGGACGCUGGAAUGAAUUAAAUGAUGUGGCAGAAUCAUGGUUACAACUAUAUGAGCCAACCGCACGCGCCGCCAAAAGGUGGUGGAGCAGCUAACUUGUGCGAGACAUGUGUCAAUUGCUGUUUUGUUUUAUAUUUUUUUUGUGAAAAAAAAUGAAAAUGUCUUUUGUACUAAAUAAUAUUAACAAACAAAUUAUGGUGAAACUACAACUAAGCCCCUGUAGCUAAAGUUAAAAAACUCAAAUUGUAAGGACAAUGUAGUAAUUUAAUUGUGCUUUUUAAAUGUGAAAAUACAAAAACGCUCUUAUGCAAAAAGCAUUGAAUAAUUUUAUUCAAGAGUUACAUUAAUAAAUUUUCUAUGAAUUUAAAAAUGCAAUUACUGAAAUAACCCUAUAUAAUCGUUAAAAGAUAUUUAUGUUAUGGUAAAAGGAUUGCCUUACCCUCGAAGUAAAGACAAGAUAAAAUGACCACGAAACAAAAUAAUAAUUAUACUAUUGUAAUAAAUAAUAAUUUAUAUCUCGGGACAUAAUAAUGUCAGUAAGGGGUUUAAUGUUUUGGAUAAUUCUAUAAAUAUUCAAGUAUACAUGUUAUGCUUGUAAAAAACAAUAGAGAUAGCGGGGCCAAAUGAUAUAUGUCUCCUUAUACUCUUUUGUUUUAAAAAUAUAUAAAUUCAUUCUAGAAUUAUUCUAAAAUUGAUUUAUUUUAUAUCUUCUUUUUAUCCUCCAAUGAAACAAGUUUUAAUCUCUUCUAAAAAACUAUAUAAAAAAUACUAACCAAACAUUACCUUGUUUCCUUGUGUAAAUAUUAAUAAAAAAAUGUUAAAUAAAUGAUAAAUGGUAUAAUAUUUGUUUUUCUUUGAGAUCAAGUUGUUCAAAGAAAAUAGAAAAGUGUGGGUUGAAUCCCAGGACCUCUUGGAAAGUCCAUUGUAUUUUUUUAUAUUAUUUAUAAUCUAAUUUCUAUGAAAUUCUAGAAAAUUUUAUAGCACCAUAAAUAAUAUACAUUUAAUUGGAUUUGGAUAAUAUAGCCUCUUUUAUUGAAAUUAAAUCUCUCCUUAUAUUAUUUCUUUUCAUAAAAGUAUUAUUAUUAUUAUUGCUAUUAUUAUUGUUAUUUUAUCAUAGGACUUUGAAAAAAACUUCAUUACACGUAGAAGUAGAAAGUAGAAAGAAGGUUUAAAGGAUAUUUGAAAGGGUGAUAGUGAUUACUUUUCAAAGUAAUUUUUAUUUUAAAAAAUAUUAAAAUAAUAUUUUUUUUUAUUUUUUAAAAAUUAUUUUUGACAUCAACAUAUGAAAAUAAUUUUAAAAAAUAAAAAAUAUAUUAAUUUGAAGCAAAAAAAAUUUAAAUUUUUUUAAAAACACUUUCGAAACACAAUGCUAAACAUGGUCUUAGCUUUGCCCUGUUUGUUUUUACGUUUCAAAAGUAUUUUUAAUUUUUUUUUAAUUUUUUUACUUUAAAUUAAUAUUUUUUUAAUAUUUUUAAAUCAUUUUAAUACAUUAAUAUCAAAAAUAAUUUUAAUAUAUUUUUUUAUAUAAAAUAUUUUAAUAAACAAUACCAAUUACACUCUUAAACAAACUAAUAAUGCUUUACCCCAAAAUCUAGCGUGUCCUUUCCCACCCCAACCCUAACCACCCAUUACAGCCCAAACCCUCACCACCACCACCACAUAAAUUUACAAAACCCCAACACGCCACCCAAAAAGAGCACCAAGCAAAGGAUAUUAUUGUACUUUAAACACAAAUACAAAAUCAAUGAGGGGUUUGUCAGAGACAGUUUUUGCAAGAACCAGUGCAGCUUUAAGCUGUUUGUUAUUGUUUACUGGGCUCUGGAAACCUUACCUGAAUCGCGAAGCAUCAAAGAAAGCCCUUGAACAUAAGAAGGAAAUCGAUAAGCGUUUGGGUCGUCCCUUUAUCCAAACAAACCCUUAUGAGUGGUGUGAGUGUGUCAAAGUUUCUGUUUUUGUUGAAAAGUUUGGAUUUGUUUUUUGCAUUUUUUGAUUUGGGUUUUUUUUAGGGGGGGCUUGGAGGAUCUUGUGAAUCUUGGUUAUAGGGGUCAUUAAUGGAAUAUACGGUUUGUUUUGGUUUAUUGUUUUUUGGAGGAUUUUGUGAAUUUUGGUUAUAUGGUCAGUUAAUGGAACGAAGAAUUUUGUGAAUUUGGAUUAUAAGGUUAGUUAAUGGCAUAUAGGUUUUGUUUUUAUUAUGUGUUAUUGUUAUAUGCUUAAAUUGUCAUUUACCUACAAAAGUUGGAAUUUUGUGUAUGAUAGUGGGGUUGAAGUUGAUAUUGCAAUGAGGGAUGUGGGUGGUUUAUUGUAGGGAAUAGGGAUUGGGGGAGGGGGGGUUAAGUGCUUUAGUGUAGAAAGGUGCUUUAAUUAGUGUUUAGGAUAUGGGGAGUGAUUGCUUGUGCCGAAUGAGAUGAGAUUAAGUUUCCAGUUUUGCUGGGAUGAAUGGAGUUGCUUUGUGGUAGUUGAAACUAAGUUCAUUUCAGAUUGAGUUAUUUGUUGAACUUUUGAACUGGUGGGUUGGAGUUUAGGCCUCUAGGUUGUUGAAAAGUUCAAAUUCUUGUGUGACAAUAGAGAUGGGGGCUAUGAGAUUAAGAUUGCGAUGAGGGAUCCUGGUGGUUUAGUGGGUUAUUGUAGGGAAUAGGGAUUGGGGGGGAUUUGAGUGUUUUAGUGAAGAUAGGUAAUUUAAUCAAUUUUUGGAACGUGGGGAGUGACUCCUUAUGCUGAAUAGGGUGUGUUUAAGUUUCCAGUUCUGUUGGGAUGAAUGAAGUUGUUUUGUGCUGGUAGAAACUAAGUUCAUUUCUGAUUGAGUUGUAUAUUAAGCUUUUGUACUGGAGCAUUGGAGUUUAGGCCUUUAGGUCGAUGUUAUAGCAUGCUUGAAUUGUCAUUUAUUUGCAAGAAGUUUGAAUUUUGUGUGAUAAUGGGAUGAGGACCAUGAGGUUAAGACUGCAAUGAGGGAUGUGUGUGGUUUGGUGGGUUAUUGUAGGGUAUCAGGGUGUUUUGGUGAAGAUAGGUGCUUCAAUCAGUUUUGAAGAUGUUGGGGAGUGAUUGCUCGUGCUGAAUGAGAUAUGAUUAAAUUUCAAGUUUUGUUGGAUGGAUGGAGUUAUUUUGGGUUGGUGGAAACUGGAGACCAAGUUUGUUUCUGAUAUAUUGGAACUUUUGCACUGCUGCGUUGACCUCUGGGUUGGUGCUAUAGUACUGUUGUUACAACCAUAGACAAUUAUAAUAUUUCAUGGUGUCUUCAAACGUGCCAUUUUUUUCCAUGCAGUCUAUACUUUGUUGGCUGCUACUAUGCAACAAAUAAUCAGAGUUUCUAAUGUCAACUGAAUACCUGAAAAUAGCCAUCAUAUGGAGUAGAUUUGAGUCUCUGCUAUAUCAUAAACUAAUGGCACAUGAUUAUUAGUUGCAUUUAUGUGAGUCCACCUUUUUUGAAAAUGAUACUACGUGAACACUGAUGGCUGCUAUGUUCAGUAAUAGCCUCCUGCGUGACUGACUGGGACAAGUUCAUAGUUGGAAGAAAUUAAAUUUGAAGGCUUGGUCUUAACCAAUAUGAUUGCUAUAACUGGAAAACAUAGAUAUUACUUCCUUCUAUGCCUGAUGAAUUUUGGAUCAAAACCCAACUUUUCAAUUAUGAAGCCUUCUGAUUGCAAUUGCUAUGUGGAAGAUUUAAACUGCUUUGUAACGAUCAAGCCUAUCCUCUCAACACUAUCCAAUAUGGCCAUGUUCUCAUAUUGAAAAUGUAAUUGAUUGGGAUAGAGGCUUUAUAAUUUAUGGUCGGUUUAAUGGUUUAUCAAUAUGCUGCAAUUGUGUAUUUUUAUUUUUGAAUCAAUUGGAGGAUUGGAAUCUAACAAGCAAGCUUUGUAUGAACUGGUGAUUCUUCCUCUGCGGAAACCUGAGCUCUUCUCACAUGGGAAACUUCUUGGUCCACAAAAGGGGGUAUUGUUAUAUGGACCUCCAGGCACCGGGAAGACCAUGCUUGCAAAAGCUAUUGUCAGAGAGUCUGGAGCUGUUUUUUUAAAUGUGAGGAUCUCUAAUCUGAAGAGCAAGUGGUUUGGCGAUGCACAAAAGCUCUGUGAGUAUAGAUUGCAUUUGAAUUGCCUCUCUUGUGCUGGAGCUUUUUCUUGCAUUUAGCAAAACAAUGAUGAUUUAAAAUUAUUGCCUUUUUAUUCUAAAACUUGCUGUCACCCACUGAUUAUGUUGAGUGAAAUUUAGUUUCACUCUGAUAAUGGAAACAAGGUAGUACUUUGUGAACAUUCAUAACUAAAAUUGAACAUUCCUAACUUGUCCUUGUUGAAGAUCUUUAUUAGCAGCAAGAUUUUGUUGGAUGCUCUAUUAACUUUUAAAAACAGGGCACUGUAGCUUGUUUAUCUAAUGGAUCUUACUCCGAUAAAUGAGGUUGUGAAAUGAUCAAAAUAUUGGUAUUUUUGUUGCUGUGUGGUAUUUCUAUAUAUCUUGUAUCAGGGAUAUAACAAGAGUAAUGAUUGGUUUAUAUUCUUGUAAUUGUGAAAGUGGUCAUUACUGUAUGUUGCAACUACAUCUUUGUGUUGAAACCAUCCCUUUUUACAUUCUUUUCUGCAUCUGAAUCCAUGCAAGUCUUGUUGGUUCUGUGCUGACUAGAAACAGAUUUAGAAGUAAUUAACUAAGUUUGAGUAGCUUUUUUGCUCCUAUCGAAGUUUUCAUAAUUUGAUUGCUGUUGAUUCUCUUCUAUGUUGCUGCUGCUGUUUUUAGCCUGGCUUAUAAACUUCAGCUUACUUUUAUAUUUAUUGAUGAGGUUGACAGUUUUCUGGGCAGUGUCGUACUACAGAUCAUGAGGCAUUAACCAAUAUGAAAACUGAGUUCAUUGCAUUAUGGGAUGAGUUUACUACAGAUCGUGAGUUCUUACUCUUGAAACAAGUGUUGCAUUUGUGCAGUGACUUGCUAGAAUGUCUUUUCAGGUCGAUUUCAGUGCAUGAAUCAAAAGCUUUUCUUUUGCUUUAGAUAUAAACUUGCCAAUCACCAAUGUUGACUGAUUUUGUUGAUGAUUUUAGCUCUUUGUAAGAGUUGUGGAACAUUGUUUGUAAAUGUUGAGAUGGGUUUAUUACUCUUUUUAAUAGUCAUUUAUGACUUACAAGUUAUCAGAAUUACUUUAUUUUGCUUGCAAAUAUUGCUGCUGUUAUGAGAACUGAAUCUGUUAGUCUAGUGUUGUUCUUUUAAGUUUAUAAGAAUUGUUUUAAUUUGCUUGCACAUUCGUAGGUUUGUAGAGCAUUUUGUUCAUAACACUUUAAGUCUCAAAAUACUCCUGGAAAGGGAGAUUGAUUUAAGUGAAUCAAGAAUAAGGAAAUGAUCAAGAAUAAGGAAAUGUUCAUAACUCAAUAAAACAUACAUGAUUUUAUAGUUAACACAAACUAUUGCUUGCUUGACCUAUUACAUACAUGGAAUAUUUUUCGUAGAAGUAACACUCAAUUAACCUUGAAUAAAAAAAAAGUGAAGGGAAUCCAAUACCAUGAAUCUGCCACUCUAGUGUUGUUUCAUUGUCAAAUCCACUUGAUAUGUUGUUUGCACUGCAAAAUUAGAAAGGUAAGACUGGUCAAAUAAAUUGUAGAGAAAAGAUAGCCUACAUAAACUAUGAACAUAAAACUUGAAAACUUACUUGAAAAUAUCAAUUGAAUUAUUUAGUUUCUUCUAGCACCAUGUUUGCAACAUUCUUCUUUGUUUUUUUGCUCUUGAGAUUCCAUUUAUCUUCAACCAUCCUAAAAAACCAUGAAGGUUUUUUUGUUCUAAACACAACGUAUCCCGUUGCAACUCCAAACACAAACCCACAUCCAUACCCCAUUGUCACAACUUUCCAUCCAAAUCCUUCUCCAAACAAUGUUGAAUCAUCUCCUUCAUCAAAGCUUGAUGGUGGCAAUGACGGUGCCUCAUCACCGUAGCAUUCUUUUAGUACUUGAAAUCCACAUAAACCUAAGUUUCCUUCAAAUGAGCUUGCAUUAAAGGUGUUGAAUUGCUCUCCACUUGGUAUGGGCCCCUCGAGUUGGUUAUGUGAAAGGUUUAGGAUUGCAAGAAAUGUUAGACCCCUCAGUUGCAUUGGAAUCCUUCCGGUAAGCAAAUUUGAAGUUAGGUCUAAUGAUUCCAAAUUGGUCAAAUUUUCUAAUGAUGAUUGGAUAUGACCUGUAAGGGAAUUAUGAGAGAGGUUGAGUUGUUGGAGUGCUUUUAGCUUUCCAAUCACCUUUGAAAUCUCUCCGGUGAAAUUAUUUUUUGAAAAAUCAAGUACUCUGAUGGUACUUUGUAUCUUUGAAAACUCAAUUUCUACACUUUUCCAUGUCAUUUCUAUGGAAUACUCAUAACUGUAAUUUGUUGCCCUCAUGUAAAUCAUGUUUUGAUCCGAGACCAUCAUUGCUUCAAGCGUGAUGAAAUACCCAGCUGGCAAUGGCCCACUAAAAUUAUUGCCAGAAAUGUCAAAAAUUUGUAAUUUAGAGAAGGAAUUAUAUGCAGUCGGACCCUUCACAAAACCUUGGAGUUUAUUGGAUUUUAGGACAAGAAUUUGAAGCUUUGGAAGCGUUUGUAGAAAGGAGGGAAAUGUAUCCUCAAUCUUAUUGUUACCAAGAUCAAGAACUUUCAACAUUGUGCAAUUGAUGAUAGACGGUGGUAUUUUCCCUUCUAAUUCGUUUCCAUUGAGGUUGAGAUAUUCCAAGCUAUUAUCUUUUGAAAAUGUUGAAGGGAUAGUGCCUUGAAGAUUGUUCAUGCCUAGAUGCAAUACCGAGAGCAUGUCGGUGAAGUUCCCCAAACAUAAUGGUGUAGAACCACUCAAGCUAUUGUUGGACAAGUCUAGGACCACAAGGGAUCUCAGCUUGCAAAUAGAAGAAGAAAUCUCACCUGUCAAUUUACUAUUGGAUGCAAGAAUAAGGAGUUCCAAGCUCUCUAGUUUGAAAAUUGAACUUGGAAUUGUACCAUGCAAGUGGUUAUUGCUCAAAUCAAGGUAAUUUAAUGAAAAUUCAUUUUGGAAUUCACUUAUAUUGCCUAUGAGAUUAUUGCUAUGAAGGUCAAGUAAUGUUAAAGAAGGAAGAGCAAACAAAAAGGAUGGUAUUGUUCCAUUGAACAAGUUACCAUAUAAACUUAGACUCUCUAGAUUUGAAAGGGUAUUUAAUUGAGAAUGGAUAGGGCCUACUAGUUGAUUAUUUGAUAAAUCUAAAUCUAAAAGAUUAACUAGGCUACCUAAAGAAUCUGGAACUUGACCCAUAAAUUUAUUGGAAAAGAGAUACAAGUAACGGAGAUGUACAAGGUUUCCAAGUAAUGGGAUCUCACCACUAAAAUUGUUACUUGAGAGGUCUAAAGAGGUGAUCUGUGUGAGAUUACCAAGCAAGGAUAGAUCUGACCUUAUAAUAUUACUGUUACUAAGAGACAUAACUUCUAAUGACUUUAGAUUACUAAUUAAGUCGUUUUCUAAAUAAACAGAAAUUCUUGUAUUAGAAAGACCUAACCGAGAGAGGACAUUACUCAAAUUGGACGAAGGAAAAGAGCCAGUGAGGCCUUUGUUGGAUGACAGAUCCAGUGAUUCAAGGUGUGGGAGGAGAAAGAUGUAACCCGGGAAUUUCCCCUGAAAUCCACAGUUUUUGAGGGAGAGAGAUGAAAAAGAAGAGGACAGAUUCGUCAAGGAAUUGGGUGCAACGAAAGACAUAUUUACAGAACUCAAAUCGAGUUUUCUUAGCUUGGUUAGGUUUUGAACAAGCUUGUCAAAUGAAAUUGGUUCUAGAAUCAAAUGGUUGUUCCAAAAGAGAUCAAGUGAAACCAACUCAGUGAGUUGAUGAAAAUCAUAUGGAAUUGGACCAGUAAGAUUGUUCCCUCCAAGAUCCAAGUACUGCAGGUGCUUAAAUUUCCCCAUUGAGGAUGGGAGUUUUCCUUGCAAUCCACACCAAAAGAGUUUGAGCGAUGAUAGAGAAGAGGACAGAUUCAUCAAGGAACUGGGUGCAACCAGUGACAUGUCUACCGAACUCAGAUCGAGUUCUCUAAGCUUGGUUAGGUUUCGAACAAGCUUGUCAAAAGAAAGCUUGUCAAAAGAAAUUGGUUCUAGACUUGGGUAGUAGUUCCAAGAGAGAUCAAGUGAAACCAUUUUGGAGAGGUGAGAGAUUUCUGACGGAACUUGGCCUGCAAGAUCUAAACCACUUAGGUUAAGAUGUGUUAGAUUGGAGAACUGGCCAAAUCGAGAAGAAAUAUAAGAGGUGUUGAAAUCAUUGAAAGAGAGGUCGAGCUUUUGAAGAUGAUGGAGAGAGAAGAGAGAAUUAUUGGGAAGGAGGGUGCCGUAAAGCAUGCUGCAAGAGAGGUCCAGUGCAGUGACUUGCCCGGUUUUCAGGUCACAAGAGACCCCAACCCACAAGCAGCAGUCUGUACCCUCUUUCCAUGACUCUGUUUUUGGAAAGGGAUGUGGACAAUAGUACAAUAAAGCUGAACUAUUUUGAAUGGAGAAGGAUUGUUUGAAUUGAAGGAGAGAAAGAGAUUGGUGAUGAGCACACAAAAGAGAAGAAGAAGAAGAGUAAUUUGAGGAGAGUGGAGAUGAAAUUGUUGAGUGGAAAUGGAAGAGAAACAGAAUGAAGGAGAGAGAUUGAGAGAGGGACAGUGGUGAAAACCCCAUGGUGGCUGGCCUUACAGGAUUCAAAGUAUAAUUAACUGGGAAUUUAAGAUGAGAAGUAAAGAAAGGCAUUAUUAGUAGUAUUUAUAGACGAAAUCAAAGUCACUGGUUGAAGCAUUAAACAAGUUUCCUUAGCUGAAAGAGAAUCGGAGCAAAGAAAGACUAAUUUGUUCAUGAGCACAUAAUUGUUGGUAUUAAAAUACCUUUUUCAGGAUUUAAUAAUUAAAAAAAUAAAGUAAGAAUAAAAAUCGAUGGAAAUAUGCAAUAUGCAAGGUUCCUAUCAACUUGAUUCCCUGUUGACUUCAAACUGAAUUGUUGUUUCUUGGCACCAAUGACUUCGCACUAAUAUAAAAAAUAAUGUAAACUAUGGAAUUAAAAUGAUAAUCAAAGUCCCUUAAUUCACUAAUACAAGUGUUCAUAAAUUGAGGUGCUGGACAUUCAUGUUAAUUAAAAAAAAUAAAAUUGUUAAUUAUGAAAUAUUUAUAAAAUAAAAUAAAAAAAAGAUUUAUGCGAAGAUUGCUAUGCUCACUAAAAUAUAAUUUCCAAGAAAUUCAAGCCAAAAAAUCGGAAGAAAACUUAAUAAUUUACAAUUUAGUCUACAUUUCUAGUUGCACAUCAGCUUUAAAGGCUAUUAUAAGAAACUACGUAGGUUAGUCAAAUAAAUAAAUAAAAUAAAAAUGGCUAAAAUAUUGAUUUAUUAAUGAGAAUGCCAAACAGAUAUUUUAUUAAUGAGAAUAAGAAUAGGAACAUGACAAUAUUGAUUUUCUAAAGGGAUUAAAUAUCUUUUCAGGGGUUGUUAAUUUUAUUAAAAUUAAUUAAUCCUUUUACUAUUAAAAAUCUUGUGGGGGGAUAGAAAGUUGUUGGAAGAAAACGGAUAAUUAUUUUCAGCUGAAAUCAGUCCUCAUGCAUGUAUAUGGUGAAUUUUGCCUAGAAUUGUUUUGCAUGCGAUUGUUCAUUCUUAAAUGCAAAACUAAGAGUCUUUCGCUGAAGUUUCCUAAAUAUGCUUAUUUUACAAGUUUCCUACAUGUAUAUUGUGUAGAACCGCUCAAACUAUUAUUUUACAAGUUUCCUAAAUAUUUAGUGAACAGAGCAGCGGACAGGAAAACAGAGCACAAAAAUGUUAAUUUUGGAAAUUAAUUAAUAUUGCCGUGUUUCCAACACUCAGUGCUCCUGUUUAAUCACCAAUCCUUGCAAGGAAAUAUUCGCAAUUGAAUAAGACUUUUCUGGACCAUUACCUAUUGCUUUCUGACCUUGAUAUAAAAUUGAAUAAGACUUGAAGGAAAACAGAGCACAACGAUGAACCAAGGAAUGGAGUUUGAAGGUUCUUGCCCUCAAGAUGCUGUGGGAUUGGUCGUCCUCAAAGGUCUUUCUCUUUCAGCAUCAACAAGGGAGAACCGAUCUUCAUUUGUUCUGUCCUUAACCCCCAAGUCUUCGGAACUUGGAUGCAUAGAUAUUGUCCACUCAUUCUUAAAUGCAAUACUAAGAGUCUUUCGCUGAAGUUUCCUAAAUAUGCAAUAUUUAGUGAAUGUUUAUGAAUAACAUUAUACUGAACCAGUACAGGAAAACAGAGCACAACGAUGAACCAAGGAAUGUUUAUGAAUAAUAUUUAGUCGUCCUCAAAGGUUGCUAUGCUCACUAAAAUAUAAUUUCCAAGAAAUUCAAGCCACAAAAUCGGAAGAAAACUUGUUAAUAAUUUACGAUCGUAGUUUACUCACAGCUUAAGCAAGUGGGCAUGCAGAGUUAAAGAGUCAUCCUCACCUUCUUAUGUCCGCUUCAAUCCAAUCUCCAGUCUCCAGUCUACACGUUCUGGCAAUAGCUUUAUUGAACAGAAUCUAGAAAACUGACAAACAAUGGAAAAUUAAUGGAGUUUGAAGGGAGAACCAAUCUUCAUUUGGUCUGUCCUUGAUCUCCAAGUCUUCGGAACUUGGAUGUAUAGAUAUUGUUCACUCUUCAUGUGGUGCUGAAUAUAUAUGGAAUUGAAGGUUCCCUUGCAAAUAUUUCCAUACAAGAGUGAGCGUUGGAUACACGGCAGUACUAAUUUCCAAAAUUGACAUUUUGGCAGCAAGUCCUUUUAGAACUUUCUUUGCAGCUCGUCUGAUGGCAGCUGUUCUUGGGGACAUCGAUCUACCCCUUCGCAUGCACUGAUAGAUUAUUAUUGCUAUUAUUAACAAGAACAGGUGACUGUGUACUUGAAGGGUUAAGCAAUUUAUGUGUUUCCCAGAAGAAGAAGAAGCAUUCAUAGCUUAGAAAAUAGCAAUGAAUAUAUAUGUGCUAAUAGAUACAGUUUGUGCUCUUCCUUUGCAGCUCGUCAUAUGGAUCAUACUUUUUGUGUGCCAACAAAAGACAACAAAGCAACCCUUGGUACAGAUUUUUGCUGGAUAAAUCCACCUUCGUUUUGUUUUUUGUGUUAAUACGAAGAAAAAUCUGAAGGAGUGCAGUGCAUAGCUGUUGUAGUGUACUAACCGAUCUUGCAGUAAAAUUGGGACUCUCGUGAAGUGUCAAUUUUAUAUUAAGGUCAGAAAGCAAUAGGUAAUGGUCCAGAAAAGUCUUCGGACCUUAGAUAUAUAGAUUGAAUUAUUCAAUUGCGAAUAUUUCCUCGCAAGGAUUGGUGACUAAACAGGAGCACUGAGUGUUGGAAACACGGCAAUAUUAAUUAAUUUCCAAAAUUAAUAUUUUUGUUGAGAUCAAGUUUAUAUGAGCAGCAAGUUUAUGUGCUAAUUAGAACUUUCUUUGUACUUAGACUAGCGAUAACUGUGUUCUUGACAUCAAUGUAUUAAAACAAUGUAAAAAUAUGUUAGCAAUACAAGAAUGUUGAUUUUUUUGUAAAAAAUAAAUCUUAAAAAAUAAAUAAAUAACAUAAAAAUAUUAUUUUAAUAUAUUUUCAAAUAAAAAAACACUUUAAAAAGUAAUUUCCACCGUACUAACAUACUUUAAGAAUAAAAACACAACAAUAUUGAUUUUCUAAAAGGAUUAAAUAGUGUUUUAGGGGUUGCUAUUUUUUCUUUAAUUAACUACUACUUUUAGUAUUAAAAGUAAUUAAAUAGUUAUUUGACCAAUUUUAAUCAUGCUUAUUUCAGUAAUAUUUUUUUAAAAUACUUUUCUUUCUUAUCAAUCUUUCAAUUUAUAUGCUUUGAUUUUUUUCUUUUUUCUUUUUCCUUUUUCUAUUUUAAAUAAAAAAAAUAAUUUAACUAUUAGAUUAUGUAAACAAAUAAUUUAAAAAUAUAUAUGCAAUAAAUGAUGAAAAUUAUAAACCCUUUACUUUGAUAGUUCAAGGAAUAUUUAUAACCUUUGAACUUUGUUAUUUUGUUGAAGUGGAGAGCCUGAAAAGUUAUUUCUUUUUUAUAGUAAUAAUAAAAAAUAAAUAUUUCUUACACAAUAUUAAACGAGAAAUAAAUAUUUAUUGCAUAAUAUUAAUAAAAAAUAAAUAUCCAUUAUAAAAUAUUAAUGGUGACACUUAUCUAUUAUUUUACAAGUUAGACUUGAAGGAAUUUCAGAGCAGCGUACCGGAAAUUAAAGAAAAUAUUUAGUGAAAGUUUAGGAAUAACAUUACUGAACCAUUACCGGAAAACAGAGCCCUCAAGAUUGGAGUUUCAAGGUUCUUGCGUACUAAAAGAUUUUUGUUUUCCACCAUCAACAAGGGAAAACCAAUCUUCAUCUGCUCUGUCCUUUUCCUCCUUGACGUCCAAGUCUUCGCAACCAUACAAUUAUUCAAUAUGGAACUGCAGGUUGAAUUAUUCAAUUGCAAAUAUUUCCAUACAAUUAGGUCCCUUUGUUGACUAUGCAAGAAUGUUGGAAACACGGCAAUUUUAAUUUCCAAAAUUGACAUCUUUCCAGCAAGUCUACGUGCGUGCACUUUGUGCUCUAAUUAUAACUCCCUUUUGUGUCUCGUCUGAUGACAACUGUUCUUGGAGACUUCUACCCCUCUAUGCCUGGUUUUUCUUGGUAUCAUUGCAUCUUUGAAGUUUGGUUUUCCUUACAAUUUACUUUAUCUUUCAUUAGAUUUCUCUACAUUGUAAGAAAUAUUUUUUAAGUGGAUCAUAUGCCAUGUCAUGUUUUCAAAAUAAUAUUAAUUGUGUAUAUAUUAUAAAAUUUAUAAAUGAUAAUUAAAUGCUUGGAGUCCAUUGCUCUCUAAUGAUGAACCAAUUAAGUACAAUACAUAAUGGAUGAAAGUGAAAAAAAUCAGAUUAAUGAAAGGAUCCCUAUGCAAGCCAUAUUAAAUAUUACGUAAUGUCAUGUAACCUCCAUCAAAAUAUAGAAAAUUUAAAGUUUGGUAUUGACGGUUCAAUCAUAGUAUGGGCUAAAUCCACUCAUUUGACAUGUGUUGAGCAUAAUACAAAUAAUAAAAAAUAAUUAAGUCAUAAAUACAAUUAAAAUUAUAGAGAUUAAAUGUAUGGUUUGCAAAACUACGUACUAGGAUUAAGUUAUAAUUAACUCAAAUAAAAAAGAAAUUUAUGCAAAGGCUCGGGUUCCCUAGGUUUCAAGGACGAAGAAGUGCUUUUUAGGACCCGUUGAUAGAAAACUGUAUAAAAGUGAUUACAAUUACAGAGAGAAAAAAAAGAGUAAGAUUUUAGAAGAAUUAGUGAAUUAAAAGAGAAGGAGGAGGAGUGAGAAAUGGUGGAUUGGUAAUUUAGAAGAAUUAAAUGCCAAUAACAGUUUAAUCCUCGGAACUAGGAGACGAUAAUGCAUUAAUCGAGAUUAAGUUGUCUUUUUCCAUCAAAUAGCUAGUCCGCUUGGCAAGAACACAAGUAUUAAAAAGAUUAGCAAAACUUGUUCAAAAUAUAAACAACACACGAGCACAAGUUUGAACUAUGGUAUUCUCUUGUCGGGUAAAGGGAGUGGUUACAAUUCCAGCCUUUGAGAGGAGCUUAGUCCAUGUUCUGAGGAACAUAAAUGCAAGAAGACCAGUGGUGAGAUUCAGCUUCAUGACUAUAACACUGUAUAUGAUCCCAAUUGCUAUGCUAGCAACAAUUCCCCUAACUGUAAUCUGUUUAGUCCAUGGAGCAAUCCUCUUGAUAUCCAUGUUCAUAUUCAUCACAAUCUUCUCACCAAUACAAUCAACAAACCAAACUCAUCAUCUUGAAUCCAAUAGAAUGAUUUAUAGAAGCUAAACCACACAUCAAGAAAAUCUGAUAAAACUACAAAAAAUAAAAGAUUGAAUAAAAACAAAACGUCAUGAAUUAUAUUACCUUAUAAGCCUCCUCCUUUUUCUUGCUCCUCUUCUUCUUUCGACCACAGCUUCAAAAAGCACCCGAAGAAUCCAACUUCCUCAGUCAACUACUAACAAGUCUCCAUCAAUCAAUACAAGUAGAUGCAAGAGCAUAUAGCUUCCUUCAGAAAGACAACAAAACAUUCAAAUCAACACAUGGGCAAGGGCCAGCCUCUAAGUUGACUUAAGGAAACUCUCCAAGAAAAACAGACGACAGCAGACGAACUUGAUUCGAGGCCUUCAAGAAAAGCCCAAAAACCAUAAAUAUUGCUUCUUCCAAAGCAAUAAUCAAGAGCAUUAAAUGUCAGGCCAAGAGAACAAAAACCCAAGCUUCUUAUAUGGCAAAAAAACACAGCAAUUGUUUUUCUUAUUUAUACUAAAUUCAAGCACCACCAGCCCACCCACCAGCAUUUUCUAUGUACUGCAAAGCAGUACAAGGCAAGGCUGCGUUGUAGUACAACACUCAUCAGAACUCCAACGAUGGCUGCUAUCAAGGACGGAACCAGGAAUUUUUCAUAUCCUGGGCUAUUAAAUAAAUAUAUAAUUUUUUAAAAAAUAAUUAUUAAUUCAUGUAUAUAAAUUUUUGAAGUUAACAUUACAGUUUUAAUUCAAAUACAUUACAUAAAAUAUUAAAAAAAAAUACAUAAAAUUAAAGUAAAAAGUAAAAAGAAACUCAUUAUUGAAGUUACAUCAUUCGAUGUUUUAUGAAAUAUAAUUAAUUUAUAAUCAAAUCUGAAUCGAUAUUAUAACAACCCUUCAACCAAGAUAAAAUAAUAAUCUCAUGUCAAUUGGAAAAUAAAAUAAUUAAUUUUUUUCCCUCUCUCAAUUCAUCCUUCCUUCACUUGAUUCUUCUUUAGAUUAGAGUUUUAUAAGUUAUAAUGUGUAAAUUUAUAAGGUUAUUCUCUUACUUUUUCUAUUUUUUUUCCUUGGAUUUUUUUUUAUGUUUUCCCUUUCUUCUCUCUCUUUCUCUCUUGCCUUUUCUUUUCUUUUCUUUUCUGCUUCUUUUCAGUCAGCAACAUAUAUAAAAAAGGAAGAGCUUAUUUGUUUUAUUUUUUAAUGGAAAAUAAUUAUUUUACCCUUAAUGAGUUGUUUUGCUUUUAUUUAACAGUUUUUUUUUGUUAGCAUUACCAAGCUCCGUUCAUUCUAAAAUUUUAACAAGAUUUUAUUCAAUAUAUUUUAAGAUCCCUUGUAAAAUUUCAGCUCAAUUUACUAGUCGGAUUGAAAAUUACGUUCAAUAACGUAAAACUAGUCAAAUUGUGAUUUUUCAUUAAAUUUCUAAAUUUCUUCAAAAAUUCUGAAAUUUUAAUCCAAGUUAAAGUAUUAUAUUACAAGGCUCUACGCAAAUUUGUAAAAAAAUUUAAUAACUUAAUUAAAAAUUAAAAAUUUAUUUUAUAUAAAACUAGUCAAAAAAAUAGUGAUAAAAUUUUACCCUGGGCUAGAGCCCACCCUAGCCCUCAGCACAGCUCCGCCCCUGGCUGCUAUACAUUUGAACAGAUGUCAGGUUCUUAAUUUUGAUCCUCGUCUCGUUGACUUAUCACCACCACUUUUCACCCUCUCUUCAUCCUUGUAGUACAGAUAUAGAGAGAAGAAAAGUGGGCAGUCGUAAGCAUAAAAUUGCUUAAAGUGAAAAGCAAGAAAUGGAACUGCUAACUGGAUUGAACUGGCUGCUUCACUUGAAAGUGCCUUCCCUUUACGGUCAUAACAUGUGUAUGGCAAGUUAAGAGUGCAUUUUGGUCCCUCUACUCUUAUUUCCCUUAAUUUAUCACCUUCUGUCUUGAUAUCACUCUCUUUAUUAUAUUCUUUAUUUUAGUCAACUGUAGCCUAGUAGUUAGACACCUCAAUCCCAACCUAACUUGUUUGGAUUAGAACCCAAAGACUGCUUCGUUAAAGAUUGAUAUUUAUUUAAUCAACUAUUGUACUAUACUAGGCAAUGACGUCGUUUAAUACUAAACAUUUUCAAUAGGAUGUUCUCUUAUCCCACGCAUAAGAACAAAAAAAAUGUUACGAGGGAUGAAUUGUUAAGGGGUUAUAUUGAAGCAUAAAAUAGUAUAAGGAUCGAAUUAAGAUAGAAUGUAUAGUGGAAGGAUAAAAAAGACAACACUAGCAAGGCGUGUGACCAAAACAUGUCAAAGUCAGUCAAGAAGAGGAGAAAGGCCAGUUUUGAGGCCAAUAAUAUAGAAAUCUUAAAAAAACGAUUGAUGUAAGAGAGAGAUAUCAUAGGGAUGGUGGGGUGGGCCCCAGAAAUGGUGGGAAUGGUAUUCAUCGAAUGCUGAUUCUAUCAACCUUUAGAUGCGAUCACUAUUUCUGACCAUUAAUUUCUGGUUUAUAAAAUGAUGUGAUAAGAAUAGUCAUUUAAAAAAAAAAUUGUGUUUUGAAUUUGAAAAAAAUUAAGUUUUUUAUGUUUUAAUAUAAAAAUAAAUUUUAAAAAAUAAAAAAUAUAUUAUUUUAAUAUAUUUUUAAAUAAAAAAUAUUUUUAAAAUAACUCUUAAAAUAAUAAUAGACUUAGGUUGUUAAAUAUGAUUCUUUUCAUGCUACUUGAAAUUUAUACAGGUUUAUUAUUAUAAAAUAUAAAAAAAUAUUAUUGUUAUAUAUUUUUUAAAAUAAUUAUUAUUACAAUAUCAAAUAUCAAACAUGUAUUGAUAUUAAUCUUGCUAAAUUUAAAAUAAUAUUGAUUCAAGAUUGUUUUUAUAGAUAAAAGUUAAAAGGUUAUCAACUUAACCGGACUGAGUUUAAUAUCUAUAAGAAAUUAUUUUUAGUAAAUUAGAGUAGGUCAUAAAAAUUUAGUCUAUUGGUAGAAACUACACAAGAAUUUAUAAUAUGAUUGAUUUACUUCAUGUAAUUUAAAUUAAAGAAAAAAAAGCACACAUUUCCUCUGCCUCAAAAUAAAUGAAAAUAAAAUAAAAAAGAAUUAUUGAAUUUUCAAGUGAUUUUAUUGUUCCUUUUUUCAAACUUGGAAUGUAAUAAUUCCUCAUCUAAUUUUUUAAUCGGGUGCAAUAAUUUAUUAUUUAUCUCUUAGUUUACAAAAUAAAAUAAAACAUUUAUUUUAAAGCGUAGAUUUACUAAUUAAUUCAAUUGUUUUCUACUGUGAUCACUUUGAUUCUGGGAUUGAGAGUGAUAAAAUUAUCAUCGAAUUAAUUUUGAAAAUUAUCAUCGAAUUAAUCUAAAAAGGGAAUUACUUAGCGUGAGUAUAUUUUCUUAUCAAGAUUGAUAGUUACGUGCAUAAGGGGAACCCUCCCUUUCGUCGUAGCACAAUCGUCCUUUCGCACCAAAAAGUCAUCAAAAAAUUAUUCCAAAACAAACACCACAGACACCCACCCUCCCACCCUCCAAGAAGCAAACAAUUUUGCUGAGAGGAAUAGGCAAUAAAUAUCUCCGUUUAAAUCACCUUAAUUCAGUGGAAAAUUAUGUGCACAUUAUUUGUACAUUAUGCUAUGUGCAUGCAUCAGAGUGUGGUUUAAUUUGAUUGACUACUUGACAUAAAUAAAAUGAAAGGAGUUCUUUGGCAUUUUUUAGAGAAAAAAAAAUUACCUUGUUAUGGGCUAGAAAUGUUUAUGAUAUUUAUUUUUCUCUAACAUAAGUUUUGUGGAUACGAAGUAGAGAACAUGUUGAAGUUACAUCUAGUUAGCAAAAUCCAACUCCUGGUUGUUAAAACUCGGUAAAAAAUUUAGAUCAUGGGUUAAGUUUUAUUAAUUAAAAUAAUGUUAUUUUAAUUUUUUAAAAAUUAACUUAAUUUUUGACUAAAUCAACUAAAUCAUGAAUUAAUUCAUAAAAUCAUUUAAAUUAAAUUGGUUCAAUUUUCACUUGAUUUUUUUAAAAAACCAACAUGAACUAAUCGAGUCUAAUAACUUGUUACUAAUAAAUUAUGCCAUUUUACAUUUACUUAAUUUUUGGGAGUAGGAACUCAAUUUUGAAAGGGACGGUGAGUUUCAAUUUUGCACUUUACGAAUAGAUAUCUAUGUUGACAAAUCAUUUGCCACUUGAGGUUGAAGAUCAUGUCGUUUAAAAUGAAAUUAACGCAUUAUAAGCUAAUUAUGUGGAUUCGAACUCAUAAUAAUUAGUUUCAUGUUAAGAGUAUGAUUUCAUGUUUUACUUAAGAAACAUUGAUUAGCACUUAGCAGCUUAUUUAAAAAAAAAAAUAUUAUAAGCUUUUUUAAAAAACAAAGAAUGGUUGAAUGGAGUUGGAGUUGUGGAGGUAAUGGAGAACCCUAAUUCUUCAAUUACAUGUAAGAAGUUUAACUUGAUAUGAAUUGAUAUAUAUGCCACUUGAAGCUGUAGGCCUUUGCAUUUAAAAUUAGGUUAAUGCAUAUGGUGAGUAAGCUAUAUAUUAAUUUAUUGUGGUUUCCAACUUCAAAAUUCGAGAAUCAAUUAUGUUGUGGAUUAGUGAUAAAAUUUAAAAGAAGGAGCAUUCUUGUUUUAAUUUCUUUCAUGUUAAAAGUAUUAAUUACAUGUCCUGGUCUAAAAAACAAAUCAUGAUUAAUUUGCUAUAGCAUACUUGUUUUAACAAACAAAAAAAUAGAGUUAACCAUGCAUUGCAUGCGUGAAAAAAAAUAUAACUAUAGGUUCAAACCUAUGUAUCUCGUAUCAAUAUGUUAAAAUCAAAGAGGAUGGAAACUAAAAAGACAUUAUCGCAAACAAAAAAAUUUCCAUUAAAAUAAUUAUGAUUAAAAUUGAAAGAUUAAAAUAAUUAAAGGGGUGAAAUUAAAAAUCAUUUAUAGAUUUAAAAAUGAUAUGGGUAAAAUAUAAAAAAUAUUAUUGACAGCUAACUAAAUAGAAUCAAAUUGAAAAAAAAAGAAGUUAAAAAUAGAGAAUUAAACCAAAAAAUAUUUAAAAAAGGUUAAAAAAUGAUAAAAAAAAAUAAGACAACAUCAAUUUAGAAAAAAAAAACAAGGCGAUUCUCUUAAAUCUAAUCUAAUAUCUAAAAGUCGCAUCGCAUUACAUUUUUUUAUCUCUAUUCAAUUAAGAAUCAUAAUUUUUAACUAAUUUAAUUACAAAGAAUGAGAUCAGUAGAAAAGUAUUAAUAAAAAACUUGCAAAUAAACUUGCUAUUAAACUUGCAAAUAAGCUUGCAAUUAAACGUUGAAUCAGGGUCCUAUAAAAAGAUUUAUUAUAAGUCAAUUUAAAAAACUUGUCAAAGCAAUAUAUAUAUAUAUAUAUAUAAAUAUAUAAACCCAGUUGACAGCCAGCUCGAGUCAAUAAAUCAAACACAUGGUUUAGGACAUGAAAUUAGGAUGACCAUAUAAAUAGGAAAGCUUAAAAAACACUUUCAAAAAUAUAUAUUAAAAAAACACUUUAAAAAAAAUAAAAUUCGAAUCAAGCUAAUCUUUCAGAUCUAUUACUUGGGUCAUAAGACUAAGGUGACCCCAUCAAAGAUAAAUUUUUUUAAAAAAAACAAAGAAGCAAGAUUCUUAGUUAAACAAACUUUGAAGGAUAAAAAAAAAAUCAAUCAAAAAAACAUUGCAGAAAAAAAAAGCAAUUAAAAGAAUUAUGACUAAAUUUGACAUAAAAAUGAAAUGAAAUAAAAUGUUUUGGUAAAAAUCAAAUCAAAUCAAAUGUUUUGGGAUGCAAUUGUAAAAAACAAAUCCAUUAAGAAAAUAAUUUUAAAAAUAGCAACAAAAAUAAUUAAACCAAAUUUAACAUAAAAAUAAAAUGAAAAUAAAUGUAUAGGGGUGAAAUUGUAAAAAAGUUGUCGCACCCGACAUCGCGGUGGCCUUAAAAAUUAAUUUUAUAUCUUUGAAAAGAACGGAUUUCUAGCAUCAUGUUCUUUAAUGUGGAUAUUCUUGUUUAAGGAGUCGCCACCUAGUAUUAUGGUCAAUAGGAACCCUAACUGGUCAACAGAGAUUCUAUAGUUCGGGACUGGCUUGGGCCAGUGACCCGGCUGGGCCACAGCACGCGUGAACUUGUUCACGCGUGCGUAGCGCUGUGCGAAGGCAAUUAAAUUGCCUUCGCGCAGUGUUAUUGAAGAUUAAACGAAGGCAAAAAAUGAAGAAACGAGCGUACCUGCUUCUGGAGAUCGAAGAUGCUUGCAGCGCUGAUGGAUUCUCGCCCGCUGGUUCCCUUUAUCUUCCUUCUGCGCUCACCUGCCUGCUUGUUCCUUUUGUUUGUUCAGCGGCUUUUGAAACCGAGAAGAUGAUGAAGAGGCCGGCCUGCUGGGAAUUUGCUUUGAUUCUGGGUUUUCGUUGUUUGCAGGGACGAAGGCAGUGACAGAGCCAAUACUCGUCUCUUUGUAUUGCUUCUCUCUUGUUCUCCCCUUCUGCUAACCUCUUUGUUUCUUGGAAUUUCCUCUGUUUUCGUUCUUUUCUCUGUCCCCUGCGUUCGAGAAGAUGGAGAUCAACGUUGGCCCUCUGGUUUUUUUAUGGCGUUUGUCUCUGUUUUUUGCUCUGUUUCUGGGUUCUGUUUUUGGCUUGAUUCUUCUUGCUCUCGUCUGGGUUUUUGUAUCAGUUUUUGUGCUGUGUAUUUUCUUUCUCUCGGUUUUGCUGGGUUUCUCCUCCUGGGUAUUUUUUUUGCUCUGCCUUUUAUAAGGCCAGAGACCUUCAAAAAACCAUCACCUCUACCUACGGGAUUGUGGCAAUCGUGGCAGGAGACAUGGUCACGAUUUGGAUCGGAUGCACUGGGAUUUUCCUGUUGAAUCGGCUGCCUUGGCGAAAUGGAAGGGAUGACGAACAGUAUUAUUGCAAACGGCACCGUUUAACAAUUUUCAAUUUGACCCCUGAACUUUGGAAAUUUCGCAAUUGGACCCCUGAAUAAAAAUUUCUUUUAAUUUUGCCCUUUUUGGAUAAAUUUCAAUUAAAUCCCUAAAUUGGUGCAUUAUUACAAAACAGUCCUUAAUUCCUGGAUUAUUCAAUUUGGUCCUUAAUUAAUUCUUUCAAUUUUGCCUUUUUUGGAUAUAUUUCAAUUAAGUCCUUGAAUUUAUUUAAUUAAUUAAAUCAAAGUUUAAUUAUGUAACGCCCGGCGAUUUUUGUAAGCAUUUAAAAUUAAUUUCCUACAAUUUGGUAUGUAAAAAUAAGUUUUUUUUUUUUUUUUUUUUUUUUAUUUUACACUGUAACGGAAUUUCUACCGAAAUUUUGGCAGAGCCUCCCCUAUACCGGGAGGUCCCAAGUUAUCAACAACUCAUCCUAUACAUAUCUCAUGUUCAUUCCAUCAUCAACGCAUAUCCAUAUCGCAUUGCGACCACAAUUAUUAUUAAUCAUAAUAUUUUGCAAAUCUAGGGAUUCAUUUCGAACAUAUAAUUUACAACACAAAAUAAUAGUAAUUAACUUGAUUAAAAACAUUAAUAUUACAAGAACAUCCACACUUUUAACCUCUGUUCCAGCCCUGUUUUCCUUAAAUAUUUGUUCAAGAUCAUGAAUCAUUGAUAUAUAUCUUCAAUUUUCUCCUCCCCCCUUCAAGUCCCCUUAUGGCCGGCCCUAAUCUAGGGUUUUCUCCUUAGUUUACAUGAAGUUUUUCUUACUAUACAUUCUUUGAAAUUUGUUCUUUCCUUUAUAAAAUUUAUUGUUCACAAUAUUAGUUUUCAAAACAUUAAUAUGCACAAAAAUCCUAAGUUUUCAUUUGGGUUGUUCACCCUUUUCAACAAAGCUCACUCAAGACAACAAUGGAGAUUGAAGGGUUUUUCUUACCAUAUGAAUUAAGCAAGGAUUAAGGAUGAUUUUUUUUUUGACAACUCUAUACGUGUUCUUCUUGUUCUCUUCCUUGGUUGAUUCUUCUCCCCCUCUUUCUGCCUUUAGCCGUGAAUCUCUCUCUCUCUCUUUCUACAUCUCUAUUUUGUGGUCUUUCUCCUCACUUUCACUCUUCAUUCACUCUAGCACCGUAUGGAUGAAAUGCAAGAGAACACUUUGCUGGAUAUUUUGUAAGAGAGGGGGCUGCUAGGGGCUGUCUUGGCCGGCAAUAAUGGGAGAGGUAAAGUGACAAUCUUUUCUCCCAACUACUUGUACUCCCUCAUAAAUGAAAUUAGACCUUGUUUGGUUUGGUUGUUUUUUUUUUUCCAAGGCCGGUUAUUACAUUUAUUUUAGGUUGAUAACCGGGUCAAAUCUUCCCUUACAUGCUCUUCUCCAAAACUCACUCAUUUCACUUUUAUUAUUAUUUUACUCUUUCUUAUAUAUAUUAUUCACACUUAUUGACUGUUACAAAGUUGUUGUUGGGUGAAACUUUUAAAUGGGUUUCAUGUCAGGUUUUAUAAAAGAAAACUUCAUCUCUUAAAACUCGUCUUUAUUUUUGCUAAUAUUAUAAAUUUUAAUCCAAAAUUUAUAACGUUCAUUAUGACUUCCACCAUACUUUUAAAUUUAUCUAUAGAGCUUAUUCUCUCUCUUACCCGUUGUAUUUAUUAUUAUUUCUAUUAUUUAUUCAUUUCUUUUAAUAUUAAGUCUUCAUUACUCAUUGGGGUCAUUCUUUUUUUUUUUUUUUUUUCUUUUUUUUUUCUGCGAUCCUAUGUUCAUGCGAGGGUUUACAAAUUAAGUCCUCAAACUUAUUAAUUCUUCUAAUUUCAUUAAUUAAACUAAUCCAAAAUUUAAAUAAAUUUCCCAACUUAUUAAUUCUUCAAUUUCUAACCAAAUUAUUCUCAAAUUUGAUAAUUCCAUCGAUGAACUUUGAAUUUGUGUUGUUUUAACCCCAUUCUCAAAUAUAUUUUUAUUUUUAUUAUUUGUUCAAAAAAUUGGGUUAUAACAAAAGUAAAUCAAUCAAGAAAAUGAUUAAAAAAACAAAUAGAAAUUAAAAUAAUAAGGACCGACUUUGACAACAAAAUUAAAAAAAAUCAAAUGACCAGAGAUAAAAUAAAAAAUAAAACCUAAUUAGAAAUAAUCAAUGUAAAUAAAACAAUUACAAAUAAAAGAAGAGGGGCUGAAUCAAAAGAAGGAAUAAAAUGAAGGACUGGAAUGAAUUUUUUUCAUUGCCAUCACGCAAUCCGAGAAAGAAGAAAAGGAAAAGAAAAGAAAAGAAAAGUAAUUUCAAGUCACAUCACGCCGAACCACGAUACACACACCAUCCAAAGAGAAAGAGGAUGUCAAGAUGAAUCAAAUGAUGCUGUAGAAUCACGGUUACAUCCACUCGAGUCAACCACACGCACAACUAGAAGUUGAAAAUAUUGAAAAUGUCCUUUGGACUAAACAAUAUUAACAAAUAAACCAUGAUGAAAUUACAACUAAGCCCUUGAAGCCAAGGUUAAAAAAUAAAAAUUGUAUGGACAAUGUAGUAAUUCAAUUGCUCUAUAAAAAAUAAAAAUACAAAAACACACAUGUGCAGAAAGCAUUGAAUUAUUUUAUUCAAGGGUUAAAUUAGUAAUUUUUAUGUGCAUUAAAAAACACAAUUAUCAAAAUAACCCCGUAUAAUUCUCAAAUAACAUUUAUGUCAUGGUGAAAAUAUUACCUUACCCUCAAAGCAAAGACAAAGGAUAAAAUAACUAAGGGACAAUAUAAUAAUUAUAUUAUUAUAAUGAAUAAUAAUUUAUGUCUCCGGAGUGUUUUGGAUAAUUAUAUACAUAUUAAAGUAUGUAUAUUAUAUCUAUAUAUAAAAAAAUAGAGAUAGUGGGGCCAAAUGAAAUAUGUUUCCAUAUACCUUUUUAUUUUAAAACUACAUAAAUUCAUUAUCAAAUUAGUCUAGAGAUUAAUUUCUUUUUCUCCUGUUUAAUCCCUAUUGAAAGACUAUAAAAAAAUAGUAACCAAAAUUAUAAUUUUUUUUAAAUAAAUGAUAAAUGGGUACAUAUUUGUUUUUUUUCUCUUGAGAUCAAGUUGUUCAAAGAAAAUUGAUUACCAAAACCUCUUGAAAAGUUAAUUGUAAUUUUUAUUAAUUAUAAUAUGAUUUCUAUGGAAUUCUAGAAAAUUUCCAUACCAUAAAUGAUAUACAUUUAAUUGGGUUUGGAAAAUAUAGCCUCGUUGAUUAAAAUUAAAUUUGGCCUUAUAUUAUUUCUUUUUAUAAAAGUAGUAUUAUUAUUAUUGAUAUUACUAUUUCAUCACAGGGCUUUUAAGGAAACUUCAUUAAGCCUAGAAGUAGAAAGAGAGCUCGGCUUUAAUGAGGCUUCUCCCCAAAAAUUCAGCUUGUCCUUUCCCAGCCCAACCCUAACCACCCAACAUAGCUCAAACCCUAAACGCCACCACCAGGUCUACUAGCACAUUAAUUUACAACACAACCUCAACAAACCACCCAAAAAGAACUCCAACCCAAGGAGAUUACUGUACUUUAAAUUCAAAUACAAAAUCAGAGGGGGUUUCGUCAGAGACCAUGUUUUUGCAAGAACCAGUGUUAUAUGUAGCAAGUGCAGCUUUAAGGUGUUUGGUAUUGUUUGCUGAGCUCCGGAAACCUGAUCCGAAUCGUGAAGCAUCAAAGAAAGCCCUUGAACAUAAGAAAGAAAUCACUAAGCAUUUGGGUCGUUCCUUUAUCCAAACAAACCCUUAUGAGGUGCGCGCGCGCGCGCGCAAAGUUUAUAUUUUUGCUGAAAAGAUUGGAUUUUUUGUUUUGCAUAUUUUGUUUUGGGCUUUUUUUUUGGGUUUUAGAGGAUUAUGUGAAUCUUGGUUCUAGGGGUAAUUAAUGGAAUUUAGGUUUGUUUUGGUUUAUUGUUUUCUGGAGGAUUCUGUGAAUUUUGGUUAUAUGGUCAGAUAAUGAAACAAAUAAUUUUGUGAAUUUGGAUUAUAGGGUUAGUUAAUGGCAUAUAGGCUUUGUUUUUAUUAUGUGCUAUAGGUUUUAUUAUACGCUUGAAUUGUCAUUUAUCUGCAAAAGUUUGAGUUUUGUUUGUGAUAGUGGGGUUGAGGUUGAUAUUGCAAUAAGGGAUGUGGGUGGUUUAUUGUAGGGAAUAUGGAUUUUUUUGGGGGGGGGGGGUCUGGGUGUUUUGAUGUAGAUAGGUGCUUUAAUCGUUGUUUUGGAUAUGAGUGAGUGAAUGCUUGUGCCAAAUGGGAUGGGAUUAAGUUUCCAGUUUUGCUGUGAUGAAUGAAGUUGCUUUUUGGUAGUUGAAACUAAGUUCAUUUCAGAUUGAGUUAUUUGUUGAACUUUUGAACUGAUGGGUUGGAGCUUAGGCCUCUAGGUUGAUGAAAAGUUCAAAUUCUUGUGUGACAAUGGAGAUGGGGGCCAUGAGAUUAAGAUUGCGAUGAGGUAUCUUGGUGGUUUAGUGGGUUAUUGUAUGGAUUAGGGGAUUUGGGUGUUUUAGUGAAGAUAGGUAAUUUAAUCAAUUUUUGGGACGGGGAGUGACUCCUUGUGCUGAAUAGGGUGUGUUUAAGUUUCCAGUUCUGCUGGGAUGCAUGAAGUUGUCCUUGUGUUGGUAGAAACUAAGUUCAAUUCUGAUUGAGUUGUAUAUUGAGCUUUUGUACUGGAGCGCUGGAGUUUAGGCCUCUGGGUCGAUGUUAUAGCAUGCUUGAAUUGCCAUUUAUUUGCUAGAAUUUUGAAUUUUAUGUGAUAAUAGGAUGAGGACCAUAAGGGUAAGACUUCAAUAAGGGAUGUGUGUGGUUUGGUGGGUUAUUGUAGGGAACAUUGAUUGGAGAAUUAGGGUGUUUUGGUGAAGAUAGGUGCUUCCAACAGUUUUGGGGAUGUUGGGGAGUGAUUGCUCAUGCUGAAUGGGAUAUGAUUAAAUUUCAAGUUUUGUUGGAUGGAUGGAGUUAUUUUUGGUUGGUGGAAACUGGAGACCAAGUUCGUUUCUGAUACAUUGGAACUUUUGUACUAUUGUGUUGACCUUGGGUUGGUGCUAUAGUACUGUUGUCAUUGUUUAUACAACCAUAAACCGUUAUAAUAUUUCCUGGUGUCUUCAAACGUGCCAUUUGUUUUCUAGGCUGUCUAUACUUUGUUGGCUGCUACCAUGCAACAAACAAAGUUUCUAAAGUCAACUGAAUACAUGAAAAUAUCCAUCAAAUGGAGUACAUUUGAGUGUCUUCUAUAUCAUAAACUAAUGGCACAUGAUUAUUAGUUACAUUUAUAUGAGUCCACCUUUUUUGAAAAUGAUACUAUGUGAACGCCGAUGGCUGCUAUGUUCAGUAAUAGUCUCCUGCGUGACUAACUUGACAGGUUCAUAGUUGGAAGAAAUUAAAUUUGAAGACUUGGCCUUGAACCAAUAUGAUUGCUAUAACUGGGAAACAUAGAUAUUAGUUCUUUCUAUGCCUAAUGAAAUUUGGAUGGAAAACCAAAUUUUCAAUUAUGAAGCCUUCUGAUGGCAAUUGCUUUGUGGAAGAUUUAAACUGCUUCGUAACAAUCAUGCCUAUCCUCUAAACACUAUCCAAUAUGGCCAUGUUCUCAUGUUGAAAAUAUAAUUGAUUGGAAUAGAGGCUCGGUUUAAUGGUUUAUCAAUAUGCUGUAAUUGUAUAUUUUUAUUUUUCAAUUGGACGAUUGGAAUCUAUCAAGCAAGCUUUGUAUGAACUGGUGAUUCUUCCUCUGCGGAAACCUGAGCUCUUCUCACAUGAGAAACUUCUUGGUCCACAAAAGGGGGUAUUGUUAUAUGGACCUCCAGGCACCGGGAAGACCAUUCUUGCAAAAGCUAUUAUCAGAGAGUUUGGAGCUGUUUUUAUAAAUAUGAGGAUCUCAAAUCUAAUGAGCAAGUGGUUUGGCGAUGCAAAAAAGCUCGGUGAGUAUAGAUCGCAUUUGAAUUGCCUCAUGUGCUUGAGCUUUGUCUUGCAUUUAGCAAAACAAUGAUGAUUUAAAAUUAUUGCCUUGUUAUUCUAAAACUUGUUGUCGCCCACCGACUAUAUUGAGUGAAAUUUAGUUUCACUUUGAUAAUGGAAGCAAGGUAGUACUUUGUGAACAUUCUUAACUAAGAUUGAACAUUCCUAACUUGUCCUUUUUGAAGAUCUUUAUUAGCAGCAAGAUUAUUUUGAAUGCUCUAUUAGCUUUAAAAAAACAGGGCACUGUAGCUUGCUUAUCUAAUGGAUCUUACUCCGAUGAAUGAGAUUGUGAAAUGAUCAAAAUAUCUUAAUUCUUAAAAUGCUACUAUUCAAUAGUCAAAUUCUCAAAUUCAUAAUCAAAAUUAUGUAUAAAAAGAAAAAAGAGAGAGAGAAAGGGAUUGUGCUUGGACUUUGGAUCCCCCAGCUCCCAUUAACAAUGGGUUCUGCUCACCUCGUCUGCCUUUCCUUAACAUCAUUACAAUGAUAUUGUGUGUUUCAAAGAAGAACCCAAUAAUUUUUUUGCUAUUUACUUCUUGAUUUUUUCUCCUUUUAACUGCCCUAGUAAUCUUUUGUUCAUGAUGAUUAUGAAAAAAACUUGUUUGACCGCUACAGUGUUCUGUCCUCAUAAUUUCAAUUUGUAAAUGGAUCGAGCAAAGAAACCCUACCAAUCAUAAUUGAUGUCCUGACCAUAAUUUUAAUUUGUAAAAGGAUCAAGCAAAAACAUUCAUGAUUGAUAGUUUACUUGCUUUAACUCAGACACAAACAUAUUAACAAUAUUUUUUUUUAUUUUAGAAAAAAAUAUUUAUUUAAGAUUGGUAUAGAUAGAAAUAAUUAUUUUCGGUUCGAUUUGAUCAAAACAUAAUAAUUAAAUUAAUUUAAAAAGAAAAAAUCAAAACCGAUUUGGCUCGGUUUUUUCUAUUGAAUAGUACUGCCUUAUGCAUUUAUGCAACAUACCAGGCCACAAACUGAAUAAUCUUGCAAUACAUUGAUGAUUAUUUACUAUUGAAUAGUAGCAUUUAGGUCAGCAUCCACAACUCUUUCUUACAUGGUGAAAAAGAAUAAACGCAAAGGUUGAAUAUGAGUUUUCCUCUCAAGACUUUAUGGAAGAUAAGAUUUCUGGAAAAUUUUCCAAAACUGACUUCUUUUUGAAAAAUUAUUACAUGGAUCACGUUCGAUUGGUCGGCGAACCAGUAUUGUUAUUGGCGACGGAACAAACAGAAAUCAAGCUAGUACUGUGGUGCAUAUCUCAGGUUUUGGUUUGCAAUUCAUAAAUCCCUCUUUCCACGACUCUGUCUUGGGAUGCUGGCAAUUCCAUGAAGCAGAGCUAUUAAUGGAAAAGGAUUCUUUGAAUUGGAGCAAAGAAAGACUUUGGUCAUGAGCACAAAAAUGAGAUGAAGAAAUUGUUGAAAGGAAAUGGAAGAGAAACAGAAUGAAAGAGAGGGACGGUGGUGAAAACCCCAUGUUUGGCCUUACAGGAUUUAGUAGUAUAUUUGGGAGAGAUGAGGAAUAAAGAAAGGCAUUGUUUAUAUAUUUAGUAGUAUAUUUAUAGACAAAGCAAUCUUAUUAUACUGACGAAAUCGAAGUCACUGUCCGACCAAAUCUCAAGUACAAGAGUGAGUAAUACGUGCGCAAAGCAAUGGGGGCACUAAAGACUAUGCACUUAUUUAUCGUUUCUCGUGACCCAAAAGUACUCUUUGUGUGCGCUUGGUAAUGUAUAACAGUUUAAAAAUCGUGACAGCUUAAUUUGAAUGUUCAGAUAUGUUUUUCCAAAUUGUAUUUAGCAAUGAGGUUUAUGCGAAGAUUGCUAUAAUUAAGUUUUGCUCUGGUGCCCAGUUUAUGAGUUUUGUUCUAAUCUUAAGCAGAUGCUACCAUAGAAUUAUAGAGAUUUAGGCAGUCUUUGUAUAAGGGGGGCUGCGCAAAAGUAUGUUAGUUCCAAUGAUAUUGAAGCUUUUUGUUUCUUGGAAACUAAAAUUUCUAAUUAUACGAACACCUUAGUCAAAAGUAUUUGGAGUGGGUCUAAACUGGAAUGGUAUAGUUUCUUAGCAAUUUAAUUAUGUUAUUGUAUGUGUGUUAAGCAUUAUUGCAUGCAUCACUUAUAAAGUAUUUUUAUUUUUGAACAGGAUGUCAUAGCAUGUGAUGUUAUAAAUCCUGAUCACAUAGAUGUGGAAUUUGAAUUAAUUGGAGGGUUGGAAUCUAUCAAGCAAGCUUUGUAUGAACUGGUGAUUCUUCAUUUGCGGAAACCUGAGCUCUUCUCACAUGAGAAACUUCUUGGUCCACAAAAGGGGGUAUUGUUAUAUGGACCUCUCUGAUAAUGGAAGCAAGGUAGUACUUUGUGAACAUUCUUAACUAGAUUGAACAUUCCUAACUUGUCUUUAUUGAAGAUCUUUAUUAGCAACAAGAUUUUGUUGGAUGCUCUAUUAACUUUGAAAAACAGGGCACUGUAGCUUGCGUAUCUAAUGGAUCUUACUCUAAUGAGUAAGAUUGCAAAAUGAUCAAAAUAUUGGUAUUUUUGUUGCUGUGUGGUAUUUCUAUAUAUCCUGCAUCAGGGAUUUAACAAAAGUAAUUGAAUGGCACACAUUCUUGCAAUUGUGAAAGUGGUCAUUACUGUAUUUUGCAACUAAAUCGUUGUGUUGAAACCAUCCCUCAUUAGUCAUUACAUUCUUUUCUGCAUCUGAAUCCAUUCAAGUCUUGUUGGUUCUGUGCUGACUAGAAACAGACUUAGAAGUAAUUAACUAAGUUUGCGUAGUUGCUUUUUUGCUCUUAUUGAAGUUCUUAUAAUCUGAUUGAUGUUGAUUCUCUUCUAUGCUGUUGCAGUUGCUGCUGCCUUUAGCCUGGCUUAUAAACUCCAGCCUGCCUUUAUAUUUAUUGACGAGAUUGACUGUUUCUGGGGCAGCGUCGUACUAGAGAUCUUAAGUUCUGCAUUAAUGCGGUGUUCUUAUGCAGUGACUUGCUAGAAUGUGUUUUAUGUAAGAUUUGUGAAAGUGUGAUUUAUUCAUGGGCCUGGCCUGGCCUGGCCGGACUCAGUGACAAUAUCUUACAAAAAAAUUAUCUUACUUUUUUUUUUGCUUUAGAUAUAAACAAUGCUUUAGAACAUUGUUUGUAGAUGGUUUUAUCACAAUUUUUAAUAGUCAUUUAUGUCUUACAAGCUACCAGAAUUACUAUAUUUUACUUGCAAAUAUUGCUACUUUUGUGAUUGCAGAAUCUGUCAGUCAAUCAUUCUUUUAAAUUUACAAGAGUUGCUUCAAUUUGUUCAUAACUCCAUAACUUUCAAAAUACUCCCAGAAACAGAGAUUGAUUUAAGUGAUCACGGAUAAGGAAAUGGAGACAUAAAAAAAGAACCCAAAACAUAAAUGAUUUUAUAGUUAACACAAACUUGUUACAUGCAUGAAUUCUUUUUCAUAGAAGUAAUGUACAUUUAACCUUGAAUUAUGUAAACUACAAAAAAAAAAAAAUCCAAUACUAUGAAUUUGCCACCCAAUUGUUGAUCCACUUGAUAUCUUGAUUGUACUGCAAAAUUAGACAGGUAAGACUGAUCAAAUGAAAUAGUAAAGAAAACAUAGCCUAACAUAAACUGUGAACAUAAAAUUUGAAAACUCAAAUGCUUGCAAAACUUACUUGAAAAUAUCAAUUGCAUUAUUUAGUUUCUUCUAGCACCAUAUCUGCCAGCAUUCUUCUUUGUUUUUUUGCUCUGGAGAUUCCAUUUAUCUUCAACCAUCCUAAAAAACCAUGAAGGCUUUUUUGUUCUUAACACAACGUAUCCCAUUGCAACUCCAAACACAAACCCGCAUCCAUACCCCAUUGUCACAGCUUUCCAUCCAAAUCCUUCUCCAAACAAUGUUGAAUCAUCUCCUUCAUCAAAGCUUGAUGGCGGUAAUGAUGGUGCCUCAUCACCGUAACAUUUUUUUAGUACUUGAGAUCCACAUAAACCCAAGUUUCCUUCAAAUGAGCUUGCAUCAAAGGUGUUGAAUUGCUUCCCACUUGGUAUGGCCCCUCGAGUUGGUUAUGUGAAAGGUUUAGGAUUGCAAGAAAUGUUAGACCCCCAGCUGCGUUGGAAUCCUUCCGGUAAGCAAAUUUGAAGAUAGAUCUAAUGAUUCCAAAUUGGUCAAAUUUCCUAAUGAUGAUUGGAUAUGACCUGUAAGGGAAUUAUGAGAAAGGUUGAGCUGUUGGAGUGCUUUAAGCUUUCCUAUCACUUUUGGAAUCUCUCCGGUGAAAUUGUUAUUUGACAAAUCAAGUACUCUGAUGGUACUUUGGAUCUUCGUAAACUCAAUUUCUACACCUUUCCAUGUCAUUUCUAUGGAAUAGACAUAGCUAGAGUAAUUUCUUGUCCCAUGUAAAUCAUGUUCUGAUCCGAGGCCAUCAUUGCUUCAAGACUAUUGAAAUACCCGUUGGCAAUGGCCCACUAAAAUUGUUGUCAGAGAUGUCAAAAAUCCGUAAUUUAGAGAAGGAAUUAUAUGCAGUCGGACCCUUCACAAAACCUUGGAGUUUAUUGGAUUUUAGGACAAGAAUUUGGAGCUUUGGAAGCGUUUCUAGAAAGUAGGGAAAUGUAUCCUCAAUCUUAUUGUUGCCAAGAUCAAUAACUUGCAACAUUGUGCAGUUGAUGAUAGACGGUGGUAUUUUCCCUUCUAAUUCAUUUCCAUUGAGGUUGAGAUAUUCCAAGCUAUUAUCCUUUGAAAAUGUUGAAGGGAUAGUGCCUUGAAGAUUGUUCAUGCCUAGAUGCAAUACCGAGAGCAUGCUGCUGAAGUUCCCCAAACAUUGUGGCACAGAACCACUCAAGCUGUUGGUGGACAAGUCCAGGACCUGAAGGAAUCUCAGCUUGCAAAUAGAAGAAGAAAUCUCACCUGUCAAAUUACUAUUGGAUGCAAGAAUAAGGGUUGUCAAGUUCUCUUGUUUGAAAAUCGAACUUGGGAUUGGACCACGCAAGUGGUUAUUGCUCAAAUCAAGGAAUCUCAAAGAAUCAUGUUGGAGUUCACUUAUAUUACCUAUGAAAUUAUUGUUAUGAAGGUCAAGAUAUUGUAAAGAAGGAAGAGCAAACAAAAAGGAUGGUAUUGUUCCAUUGAACAAGUUACCAUAUAAAAAUAGAUAUUGUAGAUUUGAAAGGGUAUUUAAUUGAGAAUGGAUAGGGCCUACUAGUUGAUUAUUUGAUAAAAUUAAAUAUGAAAGAUUGACUAGGCUACCGAAAGAAUCUGGAACUUGACCCAUAAAUUUAUUGAAAGAGAGAUGCAAGUCUUGAAGUUGUACAAGGUUUCCUAGUGAUGAUGGGAUCUGACCGUUAAAAUUAUUAUAUGAGAGGUCUAAAAAGGUGAGUUGUGUGAGAUUACCAAGUGAUGAUGGGAUCUGACUGCUAAAAUUAUUAUAUGAGAGGUCUAAAUAGGUGAGUUGUAUGAGAUUACCAAGUGAUGAUGGGAUCUGACCUUUAAAAUUAUUACUUGAAAGGUCUAAAAAGGUGAGUUGUAUGAGAUUAUCAAGCAGGGAUAGAUCUAACUUUAUAAUAUUACUAUUACGAAGAGACAUAUAUUCUAAUGACUUUAGAUUACUGAUUAAGUCGUUUUCUAAAUAAACUGAAAUUCUUGUAUUAGAAAGACCCAAAUGAGAGAGGACAUUACUCAAAUUGGAUGAAGGAAAAGAGCCAAUGAGGCCUUUGUUGUCUGACAGAUCCAGUGAUUCAAGGUUUGGGAGGAGAAAGAUGUUACGCGGGAAUUUCCCCUGCAAUCCACAAUUACUGAGGGAAAGAGAUGAAAAGGAAGAGGAUAGAUUCAUCAAGGAAUUGGGUGCAACCAGUGACAUGUUUACCCGACUCAAAUCGAGUUCUCUAAGCUUGGUUAGGUUUCGAACAAGCUUGUCAAAAGAAAUUGUUUCUAGACUCAGAUCGUCAUUGUCAGAGAGAUCAAGUGAAACCAAUUUGGAGAGGUGAGAGAUUUCCGACGGAGCUUGACCUGCAAAGACUGAGAAAUUUAGGUUAAGAUGUGUCAGGUUGGAAAAGUGGCCAAAUCGAGAAGAAAUAUGAGAGCUUUUGAAAUGAUUGUCAGAGAGGUCGAGCUUUUGAAGAUGAUGGAGGGAGAAGAGGGUGCUAUUGGAAUGGAGGGUGCCAUAAAGCAUGCUGCAAGCAAGGUCCAGUGCAGUGACAUGCCCUGUUUUCAUGUCACAGGUGACGCCAUCCCACAAGCAGCAGUCUGUACCCUCUUUCCACGACUCUGUCUUGGGAUGGUGGCAACGCCCUGAAGCAGAGCUACUAAUGGAAAAGGACUCUUUGAAUUGGAGCAAAGAAAGGCUUUGGUGAGGAGCACAGAAAUGAGAAGAAGAAAUAGUUGAAUGGAAAUGGAAGAGAAACAGAAUGAAAGAGAGAGAUGAAAUAGGUGGAAACCCCAUGUUUGGCUGGCCUUACAGGAUUCAAAGUAUAUUUGGGAGAGAUGAGGAAUGAAGAAAGACAUUCUUAGUAGUAUUUAUAGACAAACUAAUCUUAGAUUGUAUACUGACAUAGGAUGUGUAAAACAUGUAAAGACGAAAUCAAAUCUCAAGUACAAGAGUGAGUGAGUGCGUGUUGGAAACGCGGCAAUAUUAAUUAAUUAAUGGAAACGCGGCAAAGUAUAUUAAAACAAGAUUCCUUGUUGACUUCAAAUUGCGCAAACUGAAUUGUUGUUUCUUGGCAAAGUAAUAAUUACGCAAAGCAAUGACUUUUUGUUCGCUCGGUAAUUGAAUGUUCAGAGAUGUUUUUCCAAAUUGUAUUUAGCAAUGAGAUUUAUGAGAAGAUUGCUUUGCCCACUAAAAUGUAAUUUCCAAGAAAUUCUAUUUAAUAUACUUUGAAUUUUUUCAAUCUUUCAAUUUAUAUACUUUGAUUUACAUAAUCUUUCAAUUUAAAUACUUUGAUUUUUUCUUUUUCCUUUUUUAUUUUUCUAUUUUAAAUAAAAAAUAAUUUAACUAUGAGAUUAUGUAAAUAAAUAAUUAAAAAAUAUUUAUGCAGUAAAGAAUAAAAAUUAUAAACCCUUUACCUGAAUGAUUCAAUGAGUAUUUAUAGCCCUGAACCUUGUUACUUUGCUAGAAUGAAGGGCUUGAAAAGUCAUUUUUUUUUAUAGUAAUAAUAAAUGAUAGAUAUAUCUUACAUAAUAUUAAAUGAAAAACAAAUACCUCUUGUAAAAUAUUAAUAGGAGAUAAAUAUCCGUUACAAAAUAUUAAUAGUGAUGAAAAUAUAGUAGGUCCUUAUAAGAUUUUUAUACUACUAUGGAUAUAGAAAAAAGUUACAUGAAACUAAUAAAUUAAUCCCAAUUAUAGAACAAGAUGAUCAUGAUGUUGGCAUCAAAAAGUUGAUAUUUAGGAAGAAUUUUAUAUAUCCUUUUAGGCUCCCGGCCUGUCAUGCAGUUGGUGUGGGAAUAAUCCCCUUUGCAUGGGACAGGCUGACUCAUCAGUCCUCAUGCAUGUAUAUGUUUUGCAUGCGAUUGUUCAUUCUUAAAUGCAAUACUAAGAGUCUUUCGCUGAAGUUUCCUAAUUAAAUAUGCAAUAUUUAGUGAAUGUUUAUGAAUAACAUUAUACUGAACCAGUACAGGAAAACAGAGCACAACGAUGAACCAAGGAAUGUUUAUGAAUAAUAUUUAGUCGUCCUCAAAGGUUGCUUUGCCCACUAAAAUAUAAUUUCCAAGAAAUUCAAGCCUCAAUAUAUAGGAAGAAAACUGACAAUAGCUUUAUUGAGUUUAAAGAGUCAUCCUCACCUUCUUAUGUCCACUUCACUCCAGUCUACAGUCAACACAUGUUCUGGCUAUAGCUUUAUUGAACAGUCACUAGAAAACUGACAACAAAGCAACCCUUGGUACAGAUUUUUGCUGGAUAAAGAUUUUUGUUUAAAGAGUCAUCCUCACCUUCGUUUCGUUUUUUGUGUUACUACGAAGAAAAAUCUGAAGUAGUGCAGUGCAUAGCUGUUGUGGUGUACUAACCGAUCUUGCAGUAAAAUUGAGACUCUCGUGAAGUGUCAAUUUUAUAUCAAGGUCAGAAAGCAAGCAAUAGGUAAUGGUCCAGAAAAGUCUUCAAUUGAAUUAUUCAAUUGCGAAUAUUUCCUCGCAAGGAUUGGCAAGGAUUGGUGACUAAACAGGAGCACUGAGUAUUGGAAACACGGCAAUAUUAAUUAAUUUCCAAAAUUAAUAUUUUUAUUGAGAUCAAGUCUAUGUGAGUGAUGCGCAGCAAGUCUAUGUGCUAAUUAGAACUUCCUUUAUAGCUCGACUAACAUUAACUGUGUUCUUGACAUCAAUAUAUUAAAACAAUGUAAAAAUAUGUUAGCAAUACAAGAAUGUUAGACUUGAAGGAAUUUCAUAUUUAUUGCAUAAUAUUAAUAAAAAAUAAAUAUCCAUUAUAAAAUAUUAAUGGUGACAAAAAUAUAACAUAUCUAUAAUUUUACAAGUUAGACUUGAAGGAAUUUCAGAGCAGCGUACCGGAAAUUAAAGAAAAUAUUUAGUGAAAGUUUAGGAAUAACAUUACUGAACCAUUACCGGAAAACAGAGCAGCCUCCUAAAACUGACAAAGAUUGGAGUUUCAAGGUUCUUGCCCUCAAGAUUACCAAGUUAGUGGAGGCCUAAAAGAUUUUUGUUUUCCAGCAUCAACAAGGGAAAACCAAUCUUCAGCUGCUCUGUCCUUUUCCUCCUUGACCUCCAAGUCUUCGCAACCAUACAAUUAUUCAAUAUGGAACUGCAGGUUGAAUUAUUGAUCAGUUGCAAAUAUUUCCAUACAAUUAGGUCCCUUUGUUGACUAUACAAGAGUGUUGGAAACACGGCAAUUUUAAUUUCCAAGUUAGUGGAGGGCUAAAAGAUCUUUCUUUCUCAGCAUCAACAAGGGAAAAUCAAUCGUCACUUGGUCUGUCCAUUUCCUCCUUGACCUCCAAGUCUUCGCAACCCAGUGAGUGGUUCUGAAUAUGGAACUCCAGAUUGAAUUAUUGAUCAGUUGCAAAUAUAUUUCAUUGUUGCCUAUGCAAGAAUGUUGGAAACACGGCAAUAUUAAUUUUAAAAAUUAUAAUUUUUUAAAAAAUUAAAAAAAUAUUAUUUUAAUAUAUUUGUGAAUGAAAAAAAAUCGUAACCACAUUUCCAAACAUGUUUUAAAGGACACCAAGGCAACGACAGGAAAAAGAGUAUUGAGUGCUAGAAAUUAACAUUGUUGUUAAUUAUUAUAUGAAUUAUAUAAAAAUUAUAAUUUAUGUUGUUAUCUAUUUAUUUUGGUCAUCACAGAAAAAAAAAACAAUUCAUAAAAUAAAUAAAAAUUGUUGAAAAAAAUUAAAAUAAUAUAACAGUAAAAAAAAAUAUAAAUGCUCAAAAAAUAGCCAUCACUGUUUACAGAAGGCGAGGUUCCUAUCACCUUUCCUUGUUGACUAAAAAUUGUGCAAAAUCAUGCCCCCACAAGUAGUUGUUGCUAGACUAAAGGAAAGCAAGGCAAAGUAAUAAUUACGCCAAGCACUAAUGACUUUGCACUUAUAUAUCGUUUUUCACGACCCAAAAAAGAGUACUGAGAUAAGUCUAUUUGCAGCAAGUCUAUCUGCUAAUUCGAACUCUAAGAAUAGGAACACGACAAUAUUAAUUUCCUAAAUAAAUUAAAUAGUGUUUCAGGGGUUGCUAAUUUUUCUUAAAUUAACCAAUCCUUUUAUUAUUAAAAGUAAUUAAAUAGUUAUUUGACAAAUUUUGAUCAUGCUUCAUUCAAUAAUAUUUUUUUUAAAAAAACACUUUUCUUAAUUGCUUAACAAUCUUUCAAUUUAUAUACUUUGAUUUUUUAUUUAUUUAUUUUAAAUAAAAAAUAAUUUAACAAUGAGAUUAUGUAAACAAAUAAUUAAAAAAUAAAGAUUGUAAACCCUUUACUUUGAUUUUUCCUUUUUCUAUUCUAAAUAAUAAAUAAUUUAAACUAUGGGAUUAUGUAUACAUAAUUGAAAAAAUAAAUGAUAAACAAAGUCAUCUUCACCUUCUUAUGUCCAAUCCGCAGCUGUACAACAAGAUUAAGUAACCAAUAAAUUCAUUCAGCGAAUAUUUCCACAUGAGAAGAAGUCCCUUAAUUCACUAACACAAGUGCUAAUUAUAAUAAAUAAGGUAGUUAAUUGUGAAAUUUUUAUAGUAAGAUAAAAAAAAUUAAAAAUCGUGACAGCUUAAUUUGAAUGUUCAGAGAUGUUUUUCCAAAUUGUAUUUAGCAAUAAGAUUUAUGCGAAGAUUCCUAUAAUUUGCACUAAAAUAUAAUUUCCAAGAAAUUCAAGCCACAAAAUCGGAAGAAAACUUAAUAAUUUACGAUCGUAGUUUACUCACAGCUUAAGCAAGUGGGCAUGCAGAGUUAAAGAGCCAUCCUCACCUUCUUAUGUCCACUUCAAUCCAGUCUCCAGUCAACACGUUUUGGCAAUAGCUUUAUAUUGAACAGUUGCUAGAAAAGAACAGACAAACAAUGGAGAAUUAAUGGAGUUUGAAGUUUCUUGCACUCAGUUAGAUGCUGUGGGAUUGGUCGUCCUAAAAGGUCUUUCUCUUUCAGCAUCAACAAGGGAGAACCAAUCUUCAUUUGGUCUGUCCUUUACCUCCAAGUCUUCGAUCGGAACUUGGAUGGAAACCAGGGCAGAGUAAUAAUUACGCCCAGCAAUGGAGCACUAAUGACUUUGCACACAUAUAUAUUGUUUUUCACGACCCAAAAAGUCUUUUUUAAUUACCCAAAAGUUCCUAUCAACUUUUCCUGUCUACUUGGUUGGUCAUGUGAAUGAUGAGUGUAUUUUUUUAAAAUAUUUUUUUAUUAUAAAUAUAUUAAAAUAAUAUUAAUUUUUUACAUUAACACAUCAUAAUUAUAAAAAAUCAUUUUAAAAAAUUAAUUUAAUAUUUUUUUAGAUAAAAAAAAACAAGAUUAAGUAACCGAUAAAUUCGUUCAGUGAAUAUAUUGCAAUGGAAUUACUACUGGAAAUUAAACAGACAAAUUAAGAAGAUUGGAGUUUCUUUCUCAGCAUCAACCAAUCUUCAUCGGGUCUUUACUUUUCCAGCAUGUGGACAUGCAGAGUUUUAAGCACCAAAACCUAUUUAGGAACCAUAGUUCUAAUAAAUAAGGUAGUUAAUUGUUAAAUUUUAAUAGUAAGAUAAAAAAAAAUUAUAAAUCGUGACAGCUUAAUUUGAAUGUUCAGAGAUGUUUUUCCAAAUUGUAUUUAGCAAUAAGAUUUAUGCGAAGAUUGCUAUAAUUUUCACUAAAAUAUAAUUUCCAAGAAAUUCAUGCCACAAAAUCGGAAGAAAACUUCUUAAUAAUUUACGAUCGUAGUUUACUCACAGCUUAAGGAAGUGGGCAUGCUGCAGAGUUAAAGAGUCAUCCUCACCUUCUUAUGUCCACUUCACUCCAGUCUACAGUCUACACGUACGUUCUGGCAAUAGCUUUGUUGAACAGUCAACCCACUCAAUUAGAUGCUGUGGGAUUGGUCGUCAACACUUUAUUUUGUGAUCUGUCCGUUGCCUCCAAGUCGUCGAUCGGAACUUGGUUGUAUGGAUAUUGUAUAAUUUUAUUUUAAUAUAUUUUUAAAUAAAAAAUAUUUUAAAAAAUAAUUUUUACCGUACCAGCAUACUUUAAAAAUAAAAAUACAACAAUAUUAAUUUUUUAAAAGGAUUAAAUAGUAUUUUAGGGGUUGCUAUUUUUUCUUUAAUUAACUAAUCCUUUUAGUAAUUAAAAAGUUAUUUGACCAAUUUUAAUCAUGCUUUUUUCAGUAAUAGUUUUUUAAAAUAUUUUCUUUCAUAUCAAUCUUUCAAUUUAUAUGCUUUGAUUUUUUUUCUUUUUUUUUUCCUUUUUCUAUUUUAAAUAAAAAAAUAAUUUAACUAUUAGAUUAUGUAAACAAAUAAUUAAAAAAUAUAUAUGCAGUAAAUGAUGAAAAUUAUAAACCAUUUACCUUAAUGGUUCAAGAAGUAUUUUGUUGAAGUGGAGGGCCUGAAGAGUCAUUUUUUUUUAUAGCAAUAAUAAAAAAUAAAUAUAUUUUACCCAAUAUUAAAUGAGAAACAAAUAUUUAUUGUAUAAUAUUAAUAAAAAAUAAAUAUCUGUUAUAAAAUAUUAAUAGUGACAAAAAUAUAGUAUAUCUAUUACUUUACAAGUUAGACUUGAAUGAAUUUCAGAGCAGCGUAUCGGAAAUUAAAGAAAAUAUUUAGUGAAAGUUUAGGAAUAACAUUACUGAACCAUUACCGGAAAACAGAGCCCUCAAGAUUGGAGUUUCAAGGUUCUUGCGUACUAAAAGAUUUUUCUUUUCCAGCAUCAACAAGGGAAAACCAAUCUUCAUCUGGUCUUCGCAACCAUACAAUUAUUCAAUAUGGAACUGCAGGUUGAAUUAUUGAUCAAUUGCAAAUAUUUCCAUACAAGUAGGUCCCUUUGUUGACUAUGCAAGAAUGUUGGAAACACGGCAAUAUUAAUUUCCAAAAUUGUCAUUUUUCCAGCAAGUCUACGUGCGUGCAAUUUGUGCUCUAAUUAUAACAACUGUUAUUGGAGACUUCUACCCCUCUAUGCCUGGUUUUUCUUGGUUUCAUUGCAUCUUUGAAGUUUGGUUUUCCUUACAAUUUAUUUUAACUUUCAUUAGAUUUCUCUACAUUGUAAGAAAUAUUUUUAAGUGGAUCAUAUGCCAUGUCAUGUUUUUAAAAUAAUAUUAAUUGUAUAGUUUGCAAAAUAUUACGUAAUGUCAUGUAACCUCCAUCAAAAUAUAGAAAAUCUAAAGUUUGGUAUUGACGGUUCAAUCAUAACAUGGGCUAAAUCCACUCACUUGACAAGUGUUGAUCAUAAUGCAAAUAAUAAUUAAUUAAGUCAUAAAUACAAUUAAAAUUAUAGAGAUUAAAUGUAUAGUUUGCAAAACUACGCACUAGGUCGAACCAUGAUUAAUUGAGUGAAAAUAAUAACUUUUUCAGGAUUUAAAAAUUAAAACAAAAAAGCAAUAUGCAUUCCUUAUUGACACAAAAUUGUGCAAAAUCAUGCCGCCUAAGUAGUUGUUGCUAGAUUAAGGUCUUGUUUUUAAAAGUAUUUUUAAAAGAAUUUAAAUUUUUUUUCUUUUAAAUUAAUUUUUUUUAAUGUUUUCAUAUAAUUUUGAUGUGCUGAUGUUAAAAAUUAUUUUUUUUAAAAUAAAAAAAAUAUUAUUUUAAUACAUUUUUAAAUAAAAAUCACAUUAAAAAAUAAUCGUAACCAUAUAUCCCUAAACAUGCUUUAAGGACAUCAAGGCAAAGUAAUAGUUACACCAAGCACUAAUGACUUUGCACUUAUGUUUUUUUUUUUUUUUUGUUCCAAAAAAACGUCAAAUAAAAAAAUUGUUGAAAAAAAUUAAUAUAAUAUAUCAGUAAGAAAAAAAAAAUAAGAAUGCUCAAAAAAUAGCAAUCACUAUUUACUGAAGGUAAGGUUCCUAUCAACUUUCCUUGUUGACUCAAAAUAGUGCAAAAUGAUGCCCCCACUAAUUACGCCAAGCGCUAGUGACUUUGCACUUAUAUAUUGUUUUUUACGACCGAAAAAAGAGUAGGAAACACAGCAAUAUUAAUUAAUUUCCGAAAUUAACAUUUUUGUUGAGAUCAAGUCUAUAUGAGUGAUGUGCACAAGUCUCUGUGCUAAUUCAAACUUCCUUUGUAGCUUGUUUUAUUUAACUAUAUUUUUUUACAUUAUCACAUUAAAAAUAAUAUAAAAAUAAAUUACAAACAUGACAAAAAUUUUAUCACGCUAAUUUUUCUUAAAUUAACUAAUCCUUUUAGUAUUAAAAGUACGUAAUUAAAUAGUUCAUUUGACAAAUUUUGAUCACGCUUAAUUCAAUAAUAAUUGUUUAAAAAAACACACUUUUCUUGCUUGUCAAUCUUUCAAUUUAUAUACUUUGAUUUCUCCUUUACCUAUUUUAAAUAAAAACUAAUUUAACAAUGAGAUUAUGUAAACAAAUAAUUAAAAAAUAUGUAUAUAAUAAAAAAUAAAGAUUGUAAACUCUUUAUUUGUAUGGUUUAGGGAGUAUUUAUAACCUCUAAAUCUUGUUAUUUUAAUGGACUUGAGGGACUUGAAAGACAUUUUAUUUUUAUAGUAUUAAUAAAAGAUAAAUAUUUCUGACAAAAAAUUAAGUGAUGAACAAAUAUUCCUUAUAUAAAAUUAAUAAGGGAUAAAUUUAAGAACUUAAAAUUAAAAAUGAGUCAAGGCUAGUUUUUUAAUUAUUUUUUUAUCUGUGUUACUUUACCCUUUAUUUUAAUGUGUCAAAAAAACAAAAAAAUCUCCAAUAAUUGAACUUUAGUUUUCGUAUAAUGACCGGCUAUAAUUUGGUAAAAAAGAAUUAAAGAAAAACAGCCUUUUCCUCGACGUUUGAAUUGGAGCAGCGAAAGACUUUGUUCAUGAGCUCAUAAUUGAGUUGAAGAGGAGAAAUUUGAGGAGAAGGAUCGAUGAUUAAAUUGUUGGAUUAAAGUGCAAGGGAAACAUAAUGGAAAUGAGAAAUAUUUGAGUGAGGGAUAAUGAAUAAAAAAUAAAGUAGUUCGUAGACUUAGCUUUCUUGACUCAAAACUCAGCAAGACCACAGAUUAUAUGUCUGCAAAAUUAUGCAGCACUAAUGACUUUGCCUAUUAUAUCUAUAUUUUCAUGAUCCAAAAGUCUUCAUUGACUAGGAAUGGGAACACCACAGUAUUGAUUUACAUCAUAGUUAAUUGGUGUUUCUUAUUAUGAAGAAAAUUAAUUAAUCAUAUUAAAAAUAAUUAUAUAGUCAUUUGACAAGUGUUGAUCAGAGUACAAAUAAUCGAGAAUAAUUAUGUUAUAAAUACCAUUAAAAUUAUAGAGAUUUAAUGUAUAGUUUGCAAAACCACUUGCUAGGAUUAAGUUAUAAUUAACUCAAAUAAAAAAGAAAUUUAUGCAAAGGCUCUGGUCGGAAAUGUAUCAAAAUAAAUUUUUUUUUUUUUUUAUAUUAGUGCAUCAAAAUAAUCUAAAAACAUAAAAAAAAUGUUAAUUUGCAACAAAAAAAUAAAAAAAUUUUAAAUUUUUUCAAAAACAUUUUUUAAACAUAAAAACAACUUCUUGGGACCCGUUGAUAGAAAACUGUAUAAAAGUGAUUACAAUUACAGAGAAACAAAAUAUUGAGAUUUUAGAAGAAAAAGUGAAUUAAAAGAGGAGAAGGGGAGGAGUGAGAAAUGGUGGAUUGGUAUUUUAGAAGAAUUAAAUGCAUUAAUCGAGAUUAAGUCUCGUCUUUGGAUGAUAUGAAGAUGCAAAACCCGUAUUGGUCUGGUGUAUUUAUAGAAAUUGACAUGGAUGAAUCUAAUCAAAUUAGAAUUUGAAGAUAAUGGAAGACAUAAUUUAUAAAACGGUCUAAAACAAGAACAAUAAUCAUGUUUUAUUACUAAUAAUUUACUGUACAUUAUUUAAAAGGAUUACAAUCCUUUUUAAACAAUGUAGUAGAAUACAUUAGAUGUUUUAAUAAAAUAUAACUCUUAAUCUUAAUAUUGUAUUCAUGUAGCCUAAAUGCAUAUACGUAGUUAGUUAGCAUUUAUUACUUUUUAGUGAUGAUUUUUUUUAUCUUUCGGAUUGUUUUAGUAAUACUUUUAUGUUGACUUAUUAAUUUAUAUUAUGAGACUUGACUAUAUUUGUAAGUAUAAAUAUUGAGAUAUUGUUUGAUGAAUGAGAUGUGAUCUAGGAUGAUUGGAUCAAGAUGAAAGUUGGAAUGACAUAUAAUAGAAGUGUUGUCGAUAACUUGGUACCAACAAAAAUAGAGGAAACUCUGUCGAAUUUUUUUUAAAUCUCAUAAUCUUAGACAUAUUAUUCAAUACUUGACAUUAGUAAAUAAAUAUUUGAGAUUUCAUGAUAUUAUAAUUUGAGGAUGUUACAUCAUGACUUCUUCUAUUACAAGUGAUAUAAUUAUCAGUGUUGACAAUGAUACCACUAUGAAAGCAUAAUAUUCUUAAAUUAUAGAUAUUUUAUCAAACAACACAAUGAAACAAAAUUCUAAUUUAUUAAUAUCUUGAGAUUAAUCAAAGUGCAUCAAUUAUCAACUAAAAUAUAACAAAAAAGGAGAAAAAGAUGGGUGAUGUAUGCCGCACGUCAAAAUCUGCGUGGCAUCGGCUGGCGAUGUUUUUGUUAUUGCGUUGCUUUGAUUGGUUCAUUGGAGUCACCACCUAGUAUUUAAUUGAGGGCUACUAGGAAACCCAGGUAUACUAGGAAACCCAAACCCAGUGUUUUUGUAAGGGACUGGUUGUGGUUAGGGAAGGUAUUAGGACCCCUAACGCACCCUACCUGAGGUAAGCUGCUUUAUGGCUUUGACGUGUUAAAGAAGUUUUAAAAUUUUAUCUUUUCAUCGGAUAUUAGAAAUACAACUUACGUAUAAGUUAAUAAUUCUUGACCGUGAUCCAAUCAAAAUAUUAAAUUCUUCUUUAAUCUUUGCAAUUUUAUCAUAAUAAAAAAAAAAACAUACAUAAAAUAAAUACAAACACACGCUUUCACUUUUCCUAUAUUUUUUCUUUCUUUUCUUUUCUUUUCUUUUCCUUAAAGUUUGUUUAAUGUAAUAUUUGUUUAUUUUUGGGUUUUUGUAAUUUGUACUUUGUAAAUGUGGAUAUAAAAGAAAAGGAAAAGAAAAGAAAAGAGAGAAAGAAAAAAUAUAGGAAAAGUGAAAGCGUGUGUUUGUAUUUAUUUUAUGGAUGUUUUUUUUAUUAUUAUGAUAAAUUUGCAAAGAUUAAAGAAGAAUUUAAUAUUUUGAUUGUAUCACGAUCAAUAAUCAUUAACUUAUACGUAAGUUGUAUUUCUGAUAUCCGAUGAAAAGACAAAAUUUUUAAAACUUCUUUAACACGUCAAAGCCACGAAGCAACUUACCUCAAGUAGGGUGCGUUAAGAGUACUAAUACCUUCCCUAACCACAACCAGUUCCUUACCCGCAAAUCUUUGACAAGACCAGUACAUCCGGGUUUCCUAGUAGCCCUCAAUUAAAUACUAGGUGGUGACUCCCAAUGAACCAAGCAAAAUGAUAACAAAAAUCGUCAGUCAAAGCCACGCGGGUGACAUGCAACAUUAUAUAUAAUAUAUCCGAUGAUGUUUAUGUCAAUAUUCACAUACAUAUAUAUUUCCUCACAUGUAUAUCAACACAACAAUAAAAAGAGUUAAAAAAAACAACAAAGAGGAAUCACAACAAGACGAGAAGAAUCCUAAGCUCCACAUAUUACAGGGGUUUUAACAAAAACAAAUUACAAGAUUUUAACAAAACCAGGCUAUAAGGUUUUAACAAAAAUAAGGUUACGAGGUUUUAACAAAACCAGGCUCUGAUACCACCUUUGUCACAACCCGAAUCCCGGGUCCAUGACCAGCAACACAGGAGCGGUGUCGAAAGGACACCCCACCUACGCUAAGCCUUAGAACAGACAUAUCAAAAGAACAAGUUAUUCAAAAAUACGUAGCAUUUCAUAAUCUUUAGAAAUACUAUAUUAUUAAAUACUGAUGAAACCAAAAGAUUGUUUAAAACUCCUCAUCAGUAAUUAAAAACAAAAACAAUAAUCCAUAAUACUUAUUACAUUGUCAAAAUCAAAACUUAAUUAAAACAAGCUAACGGUAUGAAGAAUGUUCAGGAAAGAUUGCUUCGUCUAGAGGGCUGGAUAGGGGAUGUUCUUGAUGAUGAAGAUCGUUCAGUUCAGGAUCGACUUGAAUUAGCCAUGGAAAUCGUUGAAAAGGUUAUUGCACAAUAUGUUGAUCUCACGGCAGAAUCAGGUCGCAAGUGGCAGGCUGUCAAGGAAGAGAGUUGGGAUGGGUGGUUGGCUGCAGUUUGAGAGGGGAGAGUUGGGAUGGGGAAGAAGAAGGGGAUGAAGAAGGAGAAAUAGAGGAAGAGAGUACUGUCAACAGAGUGGGUAUAUAAUUAUAUAUAGGUUGUUACCGAUGGAAUCACCGACGGAAUGUUUCCAUCGGUAUACCUGUCGAUGAAUCAGGUGGUGAAUGUGCGACGUCGCUGUACAGAGAUCCCAGUUUGAAUCCCUUGAUCAUUUUGUCGGUAAAACCGUCUGGAAAAAAAAUCCUGACCAAAGUCUUUCUUUGCUCCAAUUCAAAGAAUCCUUUUCCAUUAGUAGUUCUGCUUCAGAGCUUUGCCACCAUCCCAAGACAGAGUCAUGGAAAGAGGGUACAGACUGCUGCUUGUGGGAUGGGGUCACUUGUGACCUGGAAACCGGGCAUGUCACUGGACUGGACCUCUCUUGCAGCAUGCUUUAUGGCACCCUCCAUUCCAAUAGCACCCUCUUCUCUCUCCAUCAUCUUCAAAAGCUUGACCUCUCUGACAAUGAUUUCAAUAGCUCCCAUAUUUCUUCUCGAUUUGGCCAGUUCUCCAAUUUGACACUUCUUAACCUAAAUUUCUCAGACUUUACAGGACAAGUUCCGUUAGAAAUCUCUUAUCUCUCCAAAUUGGUUUCACUUGAUCUCUCCAAAAACUCCUAUCCAAGUCUAAAACAAAUUUCUUUUGACAAGCUUGUUCGAAACCUAACCAAGCUUAGACAACUCGAUUUGGGCAGUGUAAAUAUGUCUUUGGUUGAACCUAAUUCCUUGACGAAUUUGUCCUCUUCUUUGGCAUCUCUUUCGCUCGGGGAUUGUGGAUUGCAGGGGAAAUUCCCAGGUAACAUCUUUCUCCUCCCAAACCUUGAAUCACUUGAUCUGAUAUUCAAUGACGGCCUCACUGGCUCUUUUCCUUCGUCCAAUUUGAGUAAUGUCCUCUCGCGGUUGGAUCUUUCUAAUACAAGAAUUUUAGUUUAUUUAGAAAAUGACUUAAUCAGUAAUCUAAAGUCAUUAGAAUAUUUGUCUUUUAGUGAAAGUAACAUUACAAGGUCAGAUCUAGCUCUGCUUGGUAAUCUCACACAGCUUACUUAUUUAGACCUCUCAGGUAACAAUUUUAACGGUGAGAUCCCAUCAUCAUUUGGAAACCUUAUACAGCUUCGUUCCUUGUAUCUCUAUUCCAAUAAAUUUGUGGGUCAAGUUCCAAAUUCUUGGGGUAGUCUAAUCCAUCUUUUAGAUUUAGAUUUAUCUGAUAAUCAGCUAGUAGGCUAUGUCCAUUCUCAAAUAAAUACCCUUUCAAAACUAGAGAGUCUAGGUUUAUCUGAUAACUUGUUCAAUGUAACGAUACCAUCCUUUUUAUAUGAUCUUCCUUCUUUAUAUUAUCUUGACCUUCAUAACAAUAAUCUCAUAGGUAAUAUAAGUGAAUUCCAACACAAUUCAUUGACUUACCUUGAUUUGAGCAAUAACCACUUGCAUGGUACAAUCCCAAGUUUGAUUUUCAAACAAGAGAACUUGGAAGCCCUCAUUCUUGCAUCCAAUAGUAAAUUGAUAGGUGAGAUUUCUUCUUCUAUUUGCAAGCUGAGAUUCCUUCAAGUCUUGGACUUGUCCAACAACAGCUUGAGUGGUUCUACGCCACCAUGUUUGGGGAACUUCAGCAACAUCCUCUCAGUAUUGCAUCUAGGCAUGAACAAUCUUCAAGGCACUAUCCCUUCAACAUUUUCAAAGGAAAAUAGCUUGGAAUAUCUCAACCUCAAUGGAAAUGAAUUAGAAGGGAAAAUAUCUUCGUCUAUCAUCAACUGCACAAUGUUGGAAGUUCUUGAUCUUGGCAACAAUAAGAUUGAGGAUACAUUUCCCUAUUUUCUAGAAACGCUUCCACAUCUGCAAAUUCUAAUUCUAAAAUCCAAUAAACUCCAAGGUUUUGUGAAGGGUCGGACUACAUAUAAUUCCUUCUCUAAAUUACAAAUUUUUGACAUCUCUGACAAUGAUUUUAGUGGGCCAUUGCCAACAGGGUUUUUAAAUUGUCUUGAAGCAAUGAUGGCCUCAGAUCAAAACAUGAGUUACAUGAAUGCAACAAAUUACUCUCGUUAUGUCCAUUCCUUAGAAAUGACAUGGAAAGGUGUGGAAAUUGAGUUUUCGAAGAUACAAAGUACCAUCAGAGUACUCGAUUUGUCAAAUAACAAUUUCACCGAAGAGAUUCCAAAGGUGAUCGGAAAGCUUAAAGCACUCCAACAACUCAAUCUCUCUCAUAAUUCCCUUACAGGUUAUAUCCAAUCAUCAUUAGGAAUUUUGACCAAUUUGGAAUCAUUAGAUCUAUCUUCAAAUUUGCUUACCGGAAGGAUUCCAAUGCAGCUGGGGGUUCUUACAUUUCUUGCAAUCUUAAACCUUUCACAUAACCAACUCGAGGGAUCCAUACCAAGUGGAAGGCAAUUCAACACCUUUAAUGCAAGCUCAUUUGAAGGAAACUUGGGUUUAUGUGGAUUUCAAGUACUGAAAGAAUGCUACGGUGAUGAGGCACCAUCAUUGCCGCCAUCAAGCUUUGAUGAAGGAGAUGAUUCAACAUUGGUUGGAGAUGGAUUUGGCUGGAAAGCUGUGACAAUUGGGUAUGGAUGCGGGUUUGUGUUUGGAGUUGCAACGGGAUAUGUUGUGUUUAGAACAAAAAAACCUUCAUGGUUUCUUAGGAUGGUUGAAGAUAAAUGGAAUCUCAAUAGCAAAAAAACAAAGAAGAAUGUUGGCAGAUAUGGUGCUAGAGGAAACUAAAUAAUUCAAUUGAUAUUUUUCAAGUAAGUUUUGCAAUCAUUUGAGUUUUCAAAUUUUAUGUUCACAGUUUAUAUUAGGCUAUCUUUUCUGUACUAUUUCAUUUGAUCAAUCUUUCCUUUCCAAUUUUGCAGUACAAACAAGAUAUCGAGUGGAUUUGACAUUGAAACAACACCAGGGUGGCAGAUUCAUGGUAUUAGAUUCCCUUAAUUUUUUUUUUCUUUUCUUUUUUAACUUUCAAGGUUAAUUGGGUGUUACGGUAAUGGUUAGAAUGAUGUUAGUCUUGUUUGUCAGUUAAGAGAAUCAGUUAGUAUUGUUUAAUAAAGAAUAGAUAACGUGAAUAAGCUUCGUACUGUAGCAAUAUAUAAACUGAUGUCAAAUAAGGGAACAUUAUUCAAUUAAUAAAACAUUGAAUAAAAAACAAAAUUUCUUCUUCCUCUCUGUUUAACAGAAUCCUUCUCUGCUUUUCUUCAUCACUCUCUAUUCCUUUUUCUGUGUAAAUCUUACUAUCCUAACAUGGUAUCAGAGCUUAGGAUUCUUGAUCUUGUGAUCUUCUGCUUCUACAUUCUCUGUUUCUGUUUCUGGCAUUAUUAUCUCCUUAUCCAAACAAUUCUUUCAUCAUAAUCCAUCUGUCUAUUAUAUGUUUGAUAUAUUGUCAAACUGAAAAAAAAAAUUUCUUCUUUAAAUCUUCAACUUCUUGCAAGAUUCUUCCUUCUCAAUCUUUGAUUCUCUUCGUUUCUAUCUCUUGCACUCUAAAAAAAUGUUCCUUCUGAUCCUACUGCCUCCGUCUUUCUUCCUCUUUCUCCUAGCAUAAUAUGGUGUACUCUUCAAGCAUAGAAAGAAGGCGGAUACCAUCAUAGAAGAAUUCAGUGCCUCUCUUGCUUUCCCAUGUCAUGGUUUUGGAAGCCAAAGCCUCCACCAUACCUGGCAUUUUAUUAACCAAAUUGCGAGCUUUCUCAGCACGCUUGAGAGUCAGAUGAGCACCUCUCGCAGCAUUGUAUCGAUUGUCAUCCUUGUUAUAUUCCUCAAGCCAACUCUCCUCUUCACAUGCAGUCAACCAUUUCUCAACCUUUUCAAGUAUUUCUUUCCUGCUAAAAGAUUCCUCCUUAACAUUAGCAAUUUGAAGCUCAAUCUGCUCAAGUAUACUCGCAGGGUCCAUGUUUCCAGAUUCUAUGGCUUCAACAUCAUAUUCUUCUGCAGAUCAGUUUGCUGAUAUACUAACUAAAGCAUCAUUGUUUCAAUCUCAUGCUUGGCUCCUCCAAGCCUGCGAUUGAGGGGGCAUGUAAAGAUAUCAACGGCUCUACUUCUACCAAGUGUCAGAAGAUUAGAGAAUGGAAUGGUUAGAAUGCUGUUAGUCUUGUUUGUCAGUUAAGAGAAUCAGUUAGUAUUGUUUAAUGAAGAAUAGAUAACGUGAAUAAGCUUCGUACUGUAGCAAUAUAUAAACUGAUGUCAAAUAAGGGAACAGUAUUCAAUUAAUAAAACAUUGAAUCAAAAACAGAAUUUCUUCUUCCUCUCUGUUAACAGAAUCCUUCUCUGCUUUUCUUCAUCACUCUCUAUUCCUUUUUCUGUGUAAAUCUUACUAUCCUAACAGUUACUUCUAUGAAAAAUAAUCCAUGUAUGUAAUAGGAAUUAAAAUAGUAGAGAAUUAAAACAAUCCCCAUAAAUUUAAAAGAACAACACUUGACUGACAGAUUCUGCAAUUCUGAGUCGCCUAAAAACAACAUAUUCUACUUAUAGCAUUUCAGAAUAGGAAAAACAUUAAAAUAAUUUAAAAUACAAUUUCUCUUGGCCUGAUAUUAAGAAAAAACAGAUGAAUAUCCGACUCAAGAUUCAAGAUUUGAGAUACUACGAGUUUAGAGAGCUCAUUAGUUGUGGCUUGAACCUGAUAGUCAUCUGACUGCCUUGGCCACCCAGGUGAAUGUCAGCUUGACCUACUGUACUCAUUUCAGCAACCCUAGUCUUAGUUGGUGUGCCAUGAACUCUCUGCAAGUCUGACUGGGACAAUGGGCUUGGUGCCUGAGAAAGAAUAACAACGAAGAAACUCAAAAAAGGGUUAAAAAAUCCACAGCAAGCUCAGACAAUGGAAAGAUAAAAUCCUCAAGAUAAUAUUUUUGAAACCAAUAGCUAUCCAUUGUAGUCCAUAACAACACUUUGUUUAAUUUCUUCUAGUUCUCAUGAGGAACCAUACUAUCUUCUAUCCAUUGCAAUGGAAGUCAUUGGUUUUGGAUAGAGCACAACAGGCAACAAUUACCAAAACUUUUCCAUGACACCCUCAGGCAUGCAUGGGAUUUCUAUGCAAAUAUUAAAAAUCAAUAAAAAUACGUUGAAGAAUUAGCCGAGAUUAUAACAAAUCACAGAUGAGAGAACUAUAUUGUUCAGUAUACUAUAAAAUAACUGACGGAAGCAUGCAACAACACGAUGAUAAAUAUAUACAUAAACUAGAUUUUUCCCCUUGUUCUCCUCAUCCAAUAGGUCCCUAAUAGGAAAAUAAGCUGCUUUUGCAAGGUUCAAGAAGAUCUGAACCAUUGUAGCCCUCCCACAAACUUGCUAUGCAGUCAAAGUCAGUUUUGCUUUCGAUUUUCUCCCCUUUCAAAACAACCUUCAGGAUCUCAGCCCUCUCUCUUUGAUCACGUAUCCCAAUUUCAAAGGCCUGAGGAAGACGCCGGAGGAUUGCUUCAUCGAGUUCUGAAGGUCAGUUGGGUGCAGCAAGUAACAUCUCUUAUAAACCCCUGGUUAUAAUUUUUUUUUUGGUAUUUAAAAGAUGAGAAAUUUAACCAAUAGUAAAAUGGGUUAAAUUAAAUUAAAAAAACCUAAAUCAAAAUAAAAAUAAUAAAAUUAAUGAAAUGAAAAGUGAAUAUAGUACUAAAUCAUUGAAAAGAAAAACAUUUGUGAGGACAAAAUGAAUACAUAAGAUCAAGAGAGGUCAAUAUUCAAAUAACAGAAGGUUGGGAGUUUAUGUACAAAUGAUAAAAAGAAGUGGGGAUAAAUGUGUAAUUAACAAGAUGUUAGAACUAUAAAUAUCAUUCUAUCUUCUCUCUUGGAGGGACUGGCAAGAGUAAGAGAGAGGCUGGAUAGAAGAUAUAUUGAUGGCAGAUCAACUGACAGUUAUAACUCCACCUUCCACUGUUGGAUCAGCACGAUAUUCGAAUAUGUUGUUCUCAUCCAUGUUGUGUACAUUGUCACCAUAGGGAUUUUCUAUAUCAGUCCCUGUUUGAAAGAUACCGAGAGAGGAAAAUAUCUGGGAAAAUACACUUCUUGACAGUUUUCUUUGCUGUCUGUUUUCUCCUUCGACCACCAUUGGAUUAGGCUAUAACUUGGAUAUGUUGUUCUUCUUGAUUCUGUCUAGAUUCUAAACGGUGCAAAUCUGAAACAAACAUUCGGUAUAGAAGUUGUGUAUCUCGCACAACAGGUCUGCAAGUUUGAUGUCAGUUUUGUUAAACCCAUAUUUCUGGAAAUUUCAUCAUUUGAUGAAGUUAAUAUUUGGAUAUGUUAUACUCAUAAUAAUGCAUUAUAACUUGACACUAUGAAUUGUUGGAAUAUUAUUCGUUUGUUAUUUGUGGUUGAUUGAAACUGUUAUCAAAGAUUGUGUUUAGUAGAAUAUUGUUCAGAAAGUUUGUAAAAUCGAUAAGAAUGUUUUAUUUUGACGUGAAGAGGGAUGAUUGAAAUAAAUAAGAAAAAUUGGCUUUUAUAAAGUAAUUUUUUGACACUCUUUAAUGAUAUAUGAUAUGGCCAGUGGUUGAGAUAAAAGAGAAAAAGUUAAAUUAUGGAUGUGUGUAAAUGGAAUGGUUGAUGAAUCUGGACAGAUUCGUCUCCUGACUUUUGGAGAUAAUUCGAGUAGGAGGAUGAGAAAAUUAGGAUCAAGUUUCUUCAACCAAAACUGCAUGUUUGAUUGGUUUUAGGUGGUUGCUAGGAAGUUCAUGCAGACCGGCGGACGGAUUUUGGCUAAAGCAAGGAUUGAUGAAGGAAGAAUCCAUAGCCCAUCUCCACAGAUCAAACCAGAGGCCACAGCAGGAACCAUCAAGCUUGCCUUUCUGCUGUUCAGCUUGUGCCAAGCAAACACAACCAAACUCCCCACACACAUAUCAAUGGCGAAGUAGGCUCCAACGAGGAAAGGCACUGCCAUGGCCAUUGGAAGAGGAACAUAUUUUCCACUAUUGUUGAGAGAAAGAUCUCUCGACAAGUUGGCCAGUAUAGCAAAGCCGAAAAACCCGUAACAAAGCUGCAAGCAGUGCUGGGGAAGGGCAGAGAAGCCUUCAACACCAAUAAUUGCCAUGUUUCUGUAGAUAAUGGCAUAGGGAGCUUUGUAUUCACCAUUGGGGUUUCCGACAUCAAAAGCCUUGUAGAAGAGGAAGAACGUGACCGGAGCUACAACACAGCCUAUGACAGUCCCGAUGGCCUGGCUAAGAAGCAUUGAUCUAGGAGAAGUGAGAGUGAGAUGACCAGUCUUGAAAUCAUGCAUCAAGUCAGAAGAGAUGGAAACAAUGGAUUUAAUCAGGCCACAGCCCACCAGUCCUGCAACGACACCGUUGUUUUUACCUGCCAAGGAUGCGAGUAAAAAGAGGGCCACCUUUCCAUAAUUGUAAGCCAUGUUCAUGUCAGUUAGACCAGCCCCGUAAGCAUUGCAGAAGCUAAGAGAGGGAGCCAGAAUGUAGGCGACAACUACAUAGUACCACUUUAGCUCUGGAAACAUGAGAGGGAUGGCGAUGAUGGCAAUGAUGGAGAAGGUGAUGUACCCUAAACAUGCUACCCAAAGAGGGAUGCCCUCUCUUAAGAAGAUUUCAUUUCUUUGAAGAUCAUCACGAGCUUGAUUUUUGUCUUCUGCAAUUGCAAGUGGAAAACGAUAUUAAUGAAGUUUCUAUGAUGAACUCAACGUUAUCAAAACGGGCUUAUCAACAUUAGCAUGUCACUGGUUGCAGCACAUCAAAUUACAGAAUACAAGAGCAUUCCGAAUAUCACCAAGAAAUUAGAAAUGAAAACUCCUGAAGUCUCUCUCUGGUCAGGUCAACGGAGGUCUUUUAGAUAUAGUAUGGGGGAGCUGUAACCGGAAAGGGAGAUUUAGCUAUGCAAUAACAUAAGAACAUGAAAAAAAUAACAUCAACUCACCUGUUUUGUUUGUUAGCUUUUGCUCUGGCACGCAUACUCCUCGCAGUGAAAUAGAGUAUUUUGAGAAAAUUGUAGAGGCCGUCUCCUAGGAUCAGAGAAAUAGAAAUGAAAACCUGCAACAAAAAUGAAUUUCUUUAAGACUUAUUUCAGCAAAAACCUCUAGCACCGAGGAACGCGUGGGGGAAUCUACGACGAAAUUGAGCUAAAAUUUCUUAAUUGCAGACCUUGUAGCCAUUUAGACUCUUCAUACUACUUUCUGGUAAAGUUGAAGGGAACCACUCUCCUUUAAGCCCACCUAUCAACGGCCACAUUAAUCCCCACGAAAGCACUGCUCCGAGAAGCAAAGACAAAUUCACAAGAUGGGAACAGAUCAUUCCCGCACCGAUAUAAGUCAUACUGAAAUCGAAGUAAAACCUGCCAAAUUCAAUUUCUCUAAUCAAUUAUGAUGGAAGAAUCAAUCACAAGCAGGCCCUCAACAUUUGAAAAAAAAAAUAGCCAAGCACUCACGAAUUUUUCCAAGCUUUCAACCCAAAUGCAGGGAACUGAGAAAAUCCACAUUUUUCUCCACCAGAAUAGAACCACUGAAAGAAAGCCCACAGGAAACUUAAUGAAAAGAACUUCAUGAACCCAUGCACCUGUUUCCUGCAAGUUAAUGGUUUUCUUUUUUGAGUUGUUUCGUACUCAACUUCUAUCUAGUGCUAAACAGCAAGAAUCGGGAACAAGACUCAUGCUUACCUAGCCAUCUUGUCUCCUGUAGGAGUGUGGAACCCAUUGAUGAGAACUGCAGUUGCAGUUCCACUUGGAUAACUCAAUUUGUAAUCUAUUAUCAUGAUCUGGGGCACCAAAAAAUGCAUGAUCAGACCCCAAUUCAAGCUUCAUAAGUAACAUACAGAAGAAGUCAAGAUCACUGUCGAUUAAGAUUCAAAUUAAGUUGAAAACUUGCAAUCAUCAAUUCAUGAAGAAUUACCUCUAGAACACCAGCACUACUAAAACAUAAACAAUCGAUUCAUCAAGAAAAUUGAAGAAAACAUAUUACCUUUCGCAGAGGAACUAGAGCAAGUAGCCCAACGAAGCUGCUUACAAAGAGGAAACCGGUCAUCCAACCAAUCCCAGGUUCCUUAGUGCUCCCAGGAGUAUUCCCCUCUGUAUCAACCCCAGCUUGCUCAUAUGUCUUCCUAUUCAAACCCAGUAGAUAAGAUCCAAAACCACCUGCAAUUCAAUAAACAAAUCACAAUUCGCACACAUAUUAAAAAGAUUAGAAAAACUUGUUCAAAAUAUAAACAACACAUGAGAUCAAAGUCUCAAACCUCCAACAGCAAUGCUAUAACAAGCAACAGCACAAGUUUGAACUAUGGUAUUCUCUUGUCGGGUAAAGGGAGCGGUUACAAUUCCAGCCUUUGAGAGGAGCUUAGUCCAUGUUCUGAGGAACACAAAUGCAAGAAGAGCAGCAGAGACAUUGAGAUUUGGGACUAGACCAGUGGUGAGAUUCAGCUUCAUGACUAUAACACUGUAUAUGAUCCCAAUUGCUAUGCUAGCAACAAUUCCCCUAACUGUAAUCUGUUUAGUCCAUGGAGCAAUCCUCUUGAUAUCCUCUGGCUCAUCUCUAACUUCUUCCAUGCCCUCUCCCCCAACCUUCUCAAUCUCUUUCAUUUCUUCCAUGUUCAUAUUCAUCACAAUCUUCUCACUAAUACAAUCAACAAACCAAACUCAUCAUCUUGAAUCCAAUAGAAUGAUUUAUAGAAGAUAAACACACAUCAAGAAAAUCUGAUAAAACUACAAAAAAUAAAAAAAUUGAAUAAAAACAAAACGUCAUGAAUUAUAUUACCUUAUAAGCCUCCUCCUUUUUCUUGCUCCUCUUCUUCUUUCGACCACAGCUUCAAAAAGCACCCGAAGAAUCCAACUUCCUCAGUCAACUACUAACAAGUCUCCAUCAAUCAAUACAAGUAGAUGCAAGAGCAUAUAGCUUCCUUCAGAAAGACAACAAAACAUUCAAAUCAACACAUGGGCAAGGGCCAGCCUCUAAGUUGACUUAAGGAAACUCUCCAAGAAAAACAGACGGCAGCAGACGAACUUGAUUCGAGGCCUUCAAGAAAAGCCCAAAAACCAUAAAUAUUGCUUCUUCCAAAGCAAUAAUCAAGAGCAUUAAAUGUCAGGCCAAGAGAACAAAAACCCAAGCUUCUUAUAUGGCAAAAAAACACAGCAAUUGUUUUUCUUAUUUAUACUAAAUUCAAGCACCACCAGCCCACCCACCAGCAUUUUCUAUGUACUGCAAAGAAGUACAAGGCAAGGCUGCGUUGUAGUACAAAACUCAUCAGAACUCCAACGAUGGCUGCUAUACACAGAUGUCAGGUUCAUAAAUUUGAUCCUCGUCUCGUUGACUUAUUACCACCACUUUUCACCCUCUCUUCAUCCUUGUAGUACAGAUAUAGAGAGAAGAAAAGUGGGCAAUCGUAAGCAUAAAAUUGCUUAAAGUGAAAAGCAAGAAAUGGAACUGCUAACUGGAUUGAACUGGCUGCUUCACUUGAAAGUGCCUUCCCUUUACAGUCAUAACAUGUGUAUGGCAAGUUAAGAGUGGAUCUUGAUCCCUCUACUCUUAUUUCCCUUAAUUUAUCACCUUCUGUCUUGAUAUCACUCUCUUUAUUAUAUUCUUUAUUUUAGUCAACUGUAGCCUAGUAGUUAGACACCUCAAUCCCAACCUAACUUGUUUGGAUUAGAACCCAAAGACUGCUUCGUUAAAGAUUGAGAUUUAUUUAAUCAACUAUUGUACUAUACUAGGCAAUGACGUCGUUUAACAUAAACAUAAUACUAACAUUUUCAAUAGGAUGUUCUCUUAUCCCACGCAUAAGAAAAAAAAUUUACGAGGGAUUAAUUGUUAAGGGUUAUAUUGAAGUAUAAAAUAGUAUAAGGAUCAAAUUAAGAUAGAAUGUAUAGUGAAAGGAUAAAAAAGACAACACUAGCAAGGCGUGUGGCCAAAACAUGUCAAAGUUAAGAAGAAGGAGAAAGGCCAGUUUUGAGGCCAAUAAUAUAGAAAUCUCAAAAAAGAUUGAUGAUUGAUGUAAGAGAGAGAUAUCAUAUGGAUGGUGGGGUGGCCCCAGAAAUGGUGGGGAUGGUAUUCAUCGAAUGCUGAUUCUAUCAACCUUUAGAUGCGAUCAUUGUUUCUGACCAUUAAUUUCUAGUUUAUAAAUGAUGUGAUAAGAAUAAUUUUUAAAAAAAAAUUGUGUUUUGAAUUUUUUAAAAAAUUAAGUUUUUUAUGUUUAAUAUAAAAAUAAAUUUUAAAAAAUAAAAAAUAUAUUAUUUUAUAUAAAAAUAUUUUUAAAAAUAAUUGUUAAAAUAAUAAUAGACAGCAAUGACAUAGUUUGUUAAUAUGAUUCUUUCAUGCUACUUGAAAUUUAUACAGGUUUAUUAUUAUAAAAUAAAAAAAAAUAUUAUUUUAAUAUAUUUUAAAAAAUAUAUUUUUAAAAAUAAUUAUUAUUACAAUAUCAAACAUGUAUUAAUAUUAAUAUUGAUCUUGCUCAAAUUUAAAACAAUAUUAUUUCAAUAUGUUUUAUAAAAAAAUUAAAACGUUAUCAACUUAAUCAAAUUGAGUUUAUAUCUAUAAGAAAUUAUUUUUAGUAAAUUAGAGUAGUCAUAAAAAUUUAGUCUAUUGGUAGAUGGAAUAAACUACACAAGAGUUUAUAAUAUGAUUGAUUUACUUCAUAUAAUUUAAAUUAAAGAAAAAAAACACACAUUUCCUGCCUCAAAAUAAAUGAAAAAAAAAUAAACGAUUACUGAAUUUUCAAGUAUUUUAUUAUUAUUCAUAUCUUCAAACUUGGAAUGUAAUAAUUCCUCAUCUAAUUUUUUAAUCGGGUGCAAUAAUUUAUUAUUUAUCUCUUAGUUUACAAAAUAAAAUAAAACAUUUAUUUCAAAGCGUUGAUUUACUAAUUAAUUCAAUUGUUUUCUACUGUGAUCACUUUGAUUCUGGGAUUGAGAGUGAUAAAAUUAUCAUCGAAUUAAUUUUGAAAAUUAUCAUCGAAUUAAUCUAAAAAGGGAAUUACUUAGCGUGAGUAUAUUUUCUUAUCAAGAUUGAUAGUUACGUGCAUAAGGGGAACCCUCCCUUUCGUCGUAGCACAAUCGUCCUUUCGCACCAAAAAGUCAUCAAAAAAUUAUUCCAAAACAAACACCACAGACUCCCACCCUCCAAGAAGCCAACAAUUUUGCUGAGAGGAAUAGGCAAUAAAUAUCUCAGUUUAAAUCACCUUAAUUCAGUGGAAAAUUAUGUGCGCAUUAUUUGUACAUUAAACUAUGUGCAUGCAUCAAAGUGUGGUCCGAUUUAACUGUAUCAACUGGAUUAUGAACUAAUUCAUCAGGUCAUUUAAAUUAUAUUGGUUCAACUUCUACUUAAUUUUCUUUUAAAAAACCAACAUGAACUAAUUGAGUUUAAAAGCUUGUUACUAAUAAAUUAUGCCAUUUUACAUUUACUUAUUUUUGGGAGUAAGAACUCAAUUUUGAAAGGGACGGUGAGUUUCAAAUUUGCACUUUCUUUUCAUCCAUUGCACUUUCUUUUUACCUGUUAUUGGAACUCAAUAUUGAAAGGGACGGUGAGUUUUAGUUUUAAUUCUAGGUGGGCUCGAUUGGAUUCCUUUGUUAAAAAAAUUAAUAACAUGAUCAGUAUCUUCAAAUAAACUUUAGUGAUGUUCAUAUAACAUUUUCUUGUACAAUAGGAUGUUUGGAUAAGCUUUUGAUUGCACUAAAAAAAUUACAUCCAUGUUCGGACUUAUAUAUUUUUCAAGAAAUUAAUUAUUUAUCGGAACAGUUCGAGCAUUAAAAUAUAAAAAUAUGGAGAAUACUUAAUAUUUACCAACAAAUUAAACUAAGCCUGUGAAAGUUCACUUUAUACGAAUAUAUAUCUAUGUUGACAAAUUAUUUGCCACUUGAGGUUGAAGAUCAUGUUGUUCAAAAUGAAAUUAACGCAUUAUAAGCUAAUUAUGUGGAUUCCAACUCAUACUUAGUUUCAUGAUAAUAGCAUGAUUUCAUGUUUUACUUAAGAACGCAUUAUAAGCCUAUUUUAAAAAAAAUAUAUUAUAAGCUUUUUUUUAACAAAGAAUGAUUGAGUCGAAAGUUGUGGAGGUAAUGAAGAACCCUAAUUCUUCAAUUAUAUGGUUAUAUGUAAUGUAAAAAGUUUAAGAUUAGGUUAAUGCAUGUGGUGAGUAAGCUAUUAAUUUAUUGUGGUUUCCAACUUCAAAAUUCGAGAAUCAAUUAUAUUGUGGGUUAGUGAUAGAAUUUAAAAGAAAGAACAUUCUUGAUAUCUUUCAUGUUAAAAGCAUUAAUUACAUGUCCUACUUCAAAAAAUAAAUCAUGAUUAAUUUGCUAUAGCACACUUGUUUUAACAAAAACAAAUAGAGUGAAUCAUGCAUUGCCUGAAUAAAUAUAUUUAACUAUAGGUUCAAACCUAUGUAUUUCAUAUCAAUAUGUUAAAUAAAGAGUGUGGAAUAUAUCUCAUUUAGUCUAUCACUAGAUAUAUUUCUCGCGCGUUGUUGCGAGUCAAACAAUUUUUUUUAAUAUAAAAAAAGUGAUAAGUUAGAAAAAAUCCAAGUUUUAAGUUAUUGGUUAAAUCGACAAUUUAAAUAUUUACAAAAAAAUAAUAACAACAAAUAAACUGACAAAAAAACAACGAAAAAAAAAAUCACACUUGAAUAUAUUCAUAUCAUCAAAUAACUUAUCAAUUCUAACAUAACCGACGGAAAAUCAAGGAAAAAAAAGGUCAAACAUAAAAAAAAAAUAGAAAACAUUGACUUAAAAAAGAGGGGGCAAACCAAGCAAACCUAAGUGAACACCAAAAACAUGGUCUAAUCUAAAAAAAUUACAAUUUAUUAAAUCAGACCUGAGUUCAAUUAAAAAAUUUAAAUGUCAUCCAAUUUAAUUUUAAAGUAUGCAAUCAUUGAAGAAACUAUUAAUAAAAAAUCUUGCAACAAAAAAAGAAAGAAACAAAAAGAAUAGAGCUAAAAUCUAACAGGAAAAAAACCAGGGAGGAUGAAAUCCUAAAAAAAAUAUCAUAAACAAAACAAUUUUAAUUAAAAAAAUUAGGACCAAGCAUGAAAGAUUAAAAAAAUCAUAGGGGGUGAAAUUAAAAAAUAUUUGUACUAUGAUAGGAUAUUUAUAGAUUUAAAAAUGGUGGGGGUGAAAUAUAUAUAAAAAAAUUGUGAAGGGCUAACCCGAUAGAAUCAACUCGAAAAAAAAUAAGAAAACAAAAGUUAAAAAUAGAGAAUUAAACCACAAAAUGUUAAAAAAAGAGGAUAAAAAAUAAGGGACCAUCAAUUUAGAAAAGAAAGGGAAAAAAAAGAGGGCAAAUCUUUUAAAUGUGUUCUAAUCUCUAAAAGUCACAUCCUGUUAAAUUUUUUAUCCAGAUUCAAUCAAGAAGCAUAAUUCUCAAUUAAUUUAAUUUUUAAGGAUGAGAUCAAUAGAAAAUAUUAAUAAAAAACCUACAAAAUAAACAAAAAGAAUGAUGAUAAAAUUUGAUAGGAAAAAACCAAGGGCGAUGCAAUUUAAUGAAAAAAAUAAUCCUAAAUAAAAUAAAUAUCAAUUAAAAGAAUAUGGACCAAAUUUUAAAGAUUAAAAAAAUUAUAGGUGGUGAAAGUGUAAACAUCUAUAAAAAUCAAGCAAACUCGAACAAACAUCCUCAACAUGAUCAAAUCAUAAAAAGCUCUCAAUCAUCCAAUUUAAUUUUGAAGGACAUAAUUUUUUAAGAAACUAUUAAUAAAAAAUCUUGCAAAAAAAAUAAUAGAGCUAAAAUCUAAUAGGAAAAAAACCAGCGAUGAUGAAAUCCUAAAAAACAAUAUCGCAAACAAAAAAAUUUCAAUUAAAAAAAUUAGGACCAAACUUGAAAGAUUAAAAAAUAAUAGGGGUGAAAUUGAAAAUCAUUUGUAAUAUGAUAGAAAUUUAUAGAUUUAAAAAUGGUGGGGGUGAAAUAUAAAAGAAAUUGUUCAGGGCUAACCUAAAAGAAUCAAACUAAAAAAAAAAAAGAGAGGUUAAAAUAGAGAAUUUAACCAAAAAAAUGUUAAAAAAAGAGGAUAAAAAAUAAGAGAGCAUCAAUUUAGAGAAAGAGGGAAAAGAAAGAGAACAAAUCUUUUAAACCUGCUCUAACAUCCCGUUAAAGUUUUUUAUACAAAUUCAAUCAAGAAGCAUAAUUCUCAAUCAAUUUAAUUUUGAAGGAUGAGAUCAAUAGAAAAGUAUUAAUAAAAAAACAUGCAAAAGAAACAAAAAGAAUGAUGAUAAAAUUCGAUAGAAAAAAAACCAAGGACGAUGCAAUUUAAUGAAAAAAAUAAAAAAAUAAUCCCAAAUAAAAUAAAUAUCAAUUAAAAGAAUAUGAACCAAAUUUUAAAGAUUAAAAAAAUCUUAGGUGGUGAAAGUGUAAACAUCUUUAAAAAUCAAGCGAACUUGAACAAACAUCCUCAACAUGAUCAAAUCUUAAAAAGCUCUUAAUUAUCCAAUUUAAUUUUGAAGGAUGGAAUCAUUUAAGAAAUUAUUAAUAAAAAAUGUUGCAAAAAAGAAAAAGGAACAAAAAAAAAUAGAGCUAAAAUCUAAUAGGAAAAAAACCAGCGAGGAUGAAAUUCUAAAAAACAAUAUCACAAACAAAAAAAUUUCAAUUAAAAAAAUUAGGACCAAACUUGAAAGAUUAAAAAAUAAUAGGGGUGAAAUUAAAAAUUAUUUGUAAUAUGAUAGGAUAUUUAUAGAUUUAAAAAUGGUGGGGCUGAAAUAUAAAAGAAAUUGUUAAGGGCUAACCCAAUAGAAUCAAAACGAAAAAAAUAAAAAAAGAAGAAGUUAAAACUAGAGAAUGAAUCCAAAAAAAUGUUAAAAAAAGGAUAAAAAAUAAGAGAACAUCAAUUUAGAAAAAAAAGGGGAAAAAAGAGGGCAAAUCUUUUAAACCUGAUCUAAUCUCUAAAAGUCACAUCCCAUUAAAUUUGUUAUAUAGAUUCAAUCAAGAAGCAUAAUUCUCAAUCAAUUUAAUUAUGAAGGAUGAGAUCGAUAGAAAAGUAUUAAUAAAAAAACAUGCAAAAGAAACAAAAAGAAUGAUGAUAAAAUUUGAUAGAAAAAAACCAAGGACGAUGCAAUUUAAUGAAAAAAAAUAAAGGACUAAUCCCAAAUAAAAUAAAUAUCAAUUAAAAGAAUGUGGAACAAAUUUUAAAGAUUUAAAAAAAUCAUAGGUGGUAAAAGUGUAAACAUCUGUAAAAAUAAAGCGAACUUGAACAAACAUCCUCAACAUGAUCAAAUCUUAAAAAGCUCUCAAUCAUCCAUUUAAUUUUGAAGGAUGGAAUCGUUUAAGAAACUAUUAAUAAAAAAUCUUGCAAAAAAAAAGAAACAAAAAAAAAUAGAGCUAAAAUCUAAUAGGAAAAAAACUAGCGAGGAUGAAAUUCUAAAAAACAAUAUCGCAAACAAAAAAAUUUCAAUUAAAGAAAUUAGGACCAAACUUGAAAGAUAAAAAAUAAUAGGGGUGAAAUUAAAAAUUAUUUGUAAUAUGAUAGGAUAUUUAUAGAUUUAAAAAAUGGUGAGGGUGAAAUAUAAAAGAAAUUGUUAAGGGCUAACCCAAUAGAAUUAAACCGAAAAAAUGUUAAAAAAAGAGGAUAAAAAUAAGAGAGCACCAAUUUAGAAAAAAAGGGAAAAAAAUUGGGCAAAGAUUUUAAAACUGAUCUAAUAUCUAAAAGUCAUAUCCCGUUAAAUUUUUUAUCCAGAUUCAAUCUAGAAGCAUAAUUCUCAACAAAUUUAAUUUUGGAGGAAGAGAUUGAUAGAAAAGUAUAAAACAAAAUCUGUAAAAGAAAAAAAAAAGAAUGAGGAUAAAAUCUUAUAGAAAAAAAAACCAAGAAGGAUGCAAUUUAAUGAAACACAAAAUCUAAAAUGAAAUAAAUAUCAAUUAAAAGAAUAAGGAUCAAAUUUUAAAGAUUGAAAAAAUCAUAGGUGGUGAAAUUGUAAACAUCUGUAAAAAUCAAGCGAACCCGAACAAACUUCCUCAACAUGAUCAAAUCUUAAAAAGCUCGCAACUUAUGAAAUUCUGGAUCCUAGUCUCCCUUCAAGAAGUUUAUUAUAAGUCAAUUUAAGAAUAUAAAACAUUGGCUUGGGGGGGGUGUGUGAAGCAAACCUAAGUGAACCUCCUAAACAUAAUUUAAUCUAAAAAAUUAUAAUUUAUUAAAUCAUGGACAUGAGUUCAAUCAAAAAGUUUAAAUAUCAUUCAAUUUAAUUUUGAAGGAUGAAAUUGUUGAAUAAACUAUUAAUAAAAAAUCUUGCAAAAAAAAAAAAAAACAAGGAACAAAAAACAAUAUAGCUAAAAUCUAACUUGUAAAUAACUAGUGAGGAUGAAAUCCUAAAACAAAAAUAUCGCAAACAAAAAAAUUUCAAUUAAAAAAAUUAGGACCAAACUUGAAAGAUUAAAAAAUUGUAGGGGGUGAAACUGAAAAUCAUUUGUAAUAUGAUAUUUAUAGAUUUAAAAAUGGCGGGGGUGAAAUAUAAAAAAAUUGUUAAGGGCUAACCCAAUAGAAUCAAACCGAAAAAAUAUGAAACAAAAGUUAAAAAUAGAGAAUUAUACCAUAUAAAUGUUAAAAAAAGAAGAGAAAAAAAUAAGACAACAUCAAUUUAGAAAAAAAGAAAAACAAAAACAGUGCAAAUCUUUAAACCUGGUUUAUUCUCUAAAAGUCACAUCUUGUUAAAUUUUUUACCGAUUUAAUCAAGAAGCAUAAUUCUCAACCAAUUUAAUUUUGAAGGAUGAGAGCGAUAGAAAAGUAUUAAUAAAAUAACCUGCAAAAGAAACAAAAGAAUGGUGAUAGAAUUUGAUAGAAAAAGUCAAAGAAGACAAAAAGGGCAAAUCUUUUAAACCAGGUUUAUUCUCUAAAAGUCACAUUUUUAAAUUUUUUAUCCAGAUUCAAUCAAGAAGCAUAAUUCUCAACAAUUUAAUUUUGAAGGAUGAGAUCGAUAGAAAAGUAUUAAUAAAAUAACCUGCAAAAGAAAAAAAAGAAUGAUGAUAGAAUUUGAUAGAAAAAAAGUCAAAGAAGAUGCAAUUUAAUGAAAAAAUAAAAUAAAUAAUCCCAAAUAAAAUAAAUAAAUUAAAAGAAUAAAAAUCAAAUUUUAAAGAUUAAAAAAUCUUAGAUGGUGAAAUUAUAAACAUCUAUAAAAAUCAAAUGAACUUGACAAAACAUCCUCAACAUAAUCAAAUCUUAAAAAGCUCGUAACAUAUAAAACCUUGAAACAUGAUCCUAUCAAAAGUUUAUUAUCAACCAAUUUUAGAAUAUAAAACAUUGGCUUCUAGGGGGAGGGGGGCCUAAAUAAACCUCCCAAACAUAGUUUUUAUAUUUUAGAAUAUAAAAUAUUGCAAUUUAUUAAAUCAUGGGGGGGGGGACCUAAAUAAACCUCCCAAACAUGUCUUAUAUUUAGAAUAUAAAUAUUGCAAUUUAUUAAAUCAUGGACCUGAGUUAAAUAUAAAAGUUUAAAUGUUAUUCAAUUUAAUUUUGAAGGAUGGAAUCAUUGAAUAAACUAUUAAUAAAAAGUCUAGUAAAAAAAAGGAACAAAAAAAGAAUAUAGUUAAAUCUAACAACAAAAAAAACUAGCGAGGAUGAAAUCCUAAAAAAAUAUUGCGAACAAAAAAAUUUGAAAUAAAAAAUCAGGACCAAGCUUUAAAGAUUAAAAAUUCAUAGGGGUGAAACUGAAAUCAUUUGUAAUAAACCUCCCAAACAUAGUUUUUUAUUUUAGAAUAAAUAUUGCAAUUUAUUAAAUCAUGGGGGGGGGGGACCUAAAUAACCUCCCAAACAUAGUCUUUAUUUUUAGAAUAUAAAAUAUUGCAAUUUAUUAAAUCAUGGACCUGAGUUAAAUAUAAAAGUUAAAUGUUAUUCAAUUUAAUUUUGAAGGAUGGAAUCAUUGAAUAAACUAUUAAUAAAAAGUCUUAGUAAAAAAAAAGGAACAAAAAAAAAAGAAUAUAUAGUUAAAUCUAACAACAAAAAAACUAGCGAGGAUGAAAUCCUAAAAAACAUAUUGCGAACAAAAAAAUUUGAAAUAAAAAUCAGGACCAAGCUUUAAAGAUUAAAAAUUCAUAGGGGUGAAACUGAAAAUCAUUUGUAAUAAACUCCCAAACAUAGUUUUUAUAUUUUUAGAAUAUAAAAUAUUGCAAUUUAUUAAAUCAUGGGGGGGGGGACCUAAAUAAACCUCCCAAACAUAGUCUUUAUAUUUUAGAAUAUAAAAUAUUGCAAUUUAUUAAAUCAUGGACCUGAGUUAAAUAUAAAAGUUUAAAUGUUAUUCAAUUUAAUUUUGAAGGAUGGAAUCAUUGAAUAACUAUUAAUAAAAAGUCUAGUAAAAAAAAAGGAACAAAAAAAAAGAAUAUAGUUAAAUCUAACAACAAAAAAAACUAGCGAGGAUGAAAUCCUAAAAAACAUAUUGCGAACAAAAAAAUUGAAAUAAAAAUCAGGACCAGGUUUAAAGAUUAAAAAUUCAUAGGGUGAAACUGAAAAUCAUUUGUAAUAAACCUCCCAAACAUAGUUUUUAUAUUUUAGAAUAUAAAAUAUUGCAAUUUAUUAAUCAUGAGGGGGGGUAGUCUUUAUAUUUUAGAAUAUAAAAUAUUGCAAUUUAUUAAUCAUGGACCUGAGUUAAAUAUAAAAGUUUAAAUGUUAUUCAAUUUAAUUUUGAAGGAUGGAAUCAUUGAAUAAACUAUUAAUAAAAAGUUUGUAAAAAAAAAGAACAAAAAAAAAAGAAUAUAGUUAAAUCUAACAACAAAAAAACUAGCGAGGAUGAAUCCUAAAAACAUAUUGCGAACAAAAAAAUUUGAAAUAAAAAAUCAGGACCACGCUUUAAAGAUUAAAAAAUUCAUAGGGGUGAAACUAAAAAUCAUUUGUAAUAUGAUAUAAUAUUUAUAGAUUUAAAAAUGAUGGUGAUGAAAUAUAAAAAUUGUUAAGAAUUAACCCAAUAGAAUCAAACCAAAAAAAAUUAAAAAAAAAAAGUUAAAAUUAGAGAAUUCAAUAAAAAUAUAUUAAAAAACUAUUAUAAUAGAUAGUAAUUUAUAUCUCCAGAUACAAUAAUUUCACUAAGAGGAUUCAUGUUUUGGAUAAGUAGCAUAUUAUUUAGUAUGCUUAUUAUUUCUAAAAAAAAUAGUGAUAAUGAAGCAAAUGAGAUAUGUCUCUAUAUAUCCUUUUAUUUUAAAAGUAAAUAAAUUUACUCUACAUAUUGAUUUAUUUUAUUUUUUUUAUCCCUCCAAUGAAAAAUAUUUUUAUCCCUACCAAAAAGCUGUAAAAAUAGUAACCAAACACUAAUGAAUGUUAAUAAUUAAAAAGUUAAAUGGGAUGGUCACUAGAAAGAGUUAUAUAUUUAUUAACUUCAAAGUUCGUGAGAUUAAUUAAGGUUCGUACAAGUUAGUCCAGAUACCACAUUAAUUUUUUUUUAAAAAGAAUUUAAUGAAUGAUAAAUGUGUCAUUGAACAUAAGAAGGAAAUCGGUAAGCGUUUGAGUUGUCCCCUUAUCCAAACCAUAGUUUUAAGACCCGACCCGGUGGUCGGCCCGGUCCAAGGCCCGAGUUCCGGGUUUUGACCGGGUCACCGGGUCGGCCGGGUCAAUUUUUUUUUUUGAAAAAUUCAAAACGACGUCGUUUUAGCAAAAAAAAAACAAAAAAAACAAAAAAAAUUAAAAAGUGAACGGGUUUGAGGCCGGGUCUUGACCGGGUCUUGCCGGGUUAGCCGGGUCCCGGGUGGACUGGGUCAAUUCCCAACCGGGUUUUGACCUCUACCUGGACUGGUCCCAUGCCCGGGUCGGCCGGGUCCCGGGUCGACCCGCCGGGUCGGUCCGGAUUUUAAAACUAUGAUCCAAACAAACCCUUAUGAGGGGUGUGUGUGUGUCAAAGUUUCUGUUUUUGUUGAAAAGUUUGGAAUUUUGUUUUUGUAUUUUUUGAAUUUUUUUUGGGGGGUUUUGGAGGAUUCUGUGAAUCUUGGUUCCAGGGGUAAUUAAUGGAAUUUAGGGUUUGUUUUGGUUUAUUGUUUUCUGAAGGAUUUUGUGAAUUUGGUUAUAUGGUCAGAUAAUGGAAAUUUUGUGAAUUUGGAUUAUUGGGUUAGUUAAUGGCAUAUAGACUUUGUUUUAUAUUAUGUGCUAUUGGUUUUAUUAUAUGCUUAAAUUGUCAUUUAUUGCAAAAGUUUGAAUUUUGUGUGUGAUAGGGGGUUGAGGUUGAUAUUGCAAUGAGGGAUGUGGGUGGUUUAUUGUAAGGGAAUAGGGAUUGGGGGGUUUUGGGUGCUUUAAUAGGUGUUUGGGAUAUGGGGAGUGAUUGCUUGUGCCGGAUGGGAUGAGAUUAAGUUUCCAGUUUUGCUGGAUGAAUUAGAGUUGUUUUGUGGUAGUCGAAACUAAGUUCAUUUCAGAUUGAGUUUUUGUUGAACUUUUGAACUGGUGGGUUGGAGUUUAGGCCUCUGGGUUGUGAAAAGUUUGAAAUUCUUGUGUGACAAUGGAGAUGGGGGCUAUGAGAUUAAGAUUGCGAUGAGGGAUCUUGGUGGUUAGUGGGUUAUUGUAGGGAAUAGGGAUUGGGGAUUUGGGUGUUUUAGUGAAGGUAGGUAAUUGUAUCAGUUUUUGGAACGUGGGGAGUGACUCCUUGUGCUGAAUAGGGAGUGUUUAAGUUUCUAGUUCUGUUGGGAUGAAUGAAGUUGUUUUGUGUUGGUAGAAACUAAGUUCAUUUCUGAUUGAGUUGUAUAUUGAGCUUUUGCAUUGGAGCGCUGGAGUUUAAGCCUCUGGCCGAUGUUAUAGCAUGCUUGAAUUGUCAUUUAUUUGCAAGAAGUUUGAAUUUUGUGUGAUAAUAAUGAGGGAUGUGUGUGGUUCGGUGGGUUAUUGUAGGGAACAGUGACUGGGGAAUCGGGGUGUUUUGGUGAAGAUAGGUGCUUCGAUCAGUUUUGUUGAAUGGGAUAUUAUUAAAUUUCAAGUUUCGUUGGAUGGAUGAAGUUAUUUUGGAUUGGUGGAUACUGGAGACCAAGUUCGUUUCGGAUAUAUUAGAACUUUUGUACUGCUGUGUUGAUCUCUGGGUUGGUGCUAUAGUAUUGUUGUCAUUGUCUAUACAACCAUAGACAGUUAUAAUAUUUACUGGUGUCUUCAAAUGCACCAUUUGUUUUCUAGGCUAUCUAUACUUUGUUGUCUGCUACCAUGCAACAAAUACUAAGAGUUUCUAAUGUCAACUGAAUACAUGAAAAUAUCCAUCAUAUGGAGUGGAUUUGAGUCUCUGCUACAUCAUAAACUAAUGGCACAUUAUUAUUAGUUUCAUUUAUGUGAGUCCACCUUUUUUGAAAAUGAUACUAUGUGAACGCUGAUGGCUGCUAUGUUCAGUAAUAGCCUCUUGUGUGACUGAUUGGGACAGGUUCAUAGUUGGAAGAAAUUAAAUGUGAAGACUUGGCCUUGAAUCAAUAUGAUUGCUAUAACUGGAAAAUGUAGAUGUUAGUUCUUUCUAUGCCUGAUGAAAUUUGGAUCUAAAACCAACUUUUCAAUUAUGAAACCUUCUGAUUGCAAUUGCUUUGUGGAAGAUCUAAACUGCUUGGUAACAAUCAAGACUAUCCUCUAAACACUAUCCAAUAUGGCCAUGUUCUUAUGUUGAAAAUAUAAUUGAUUAGAAUAGAGGCUUUAGAAUUUAUGGUCGGUUUAAUGGUUUAUCAAUAUGCUGCAAUUGUGUUUUUAUUUUUUAUUUUAUUUUUGAAUCAAUUGGAGGAUUGGAAUCUAUCAAGCAAACUUUGUAUAAACUGGUGAUUCUUCCUCUGCGGAAACCUGAGCUCUUCUCACAUGGGAAACUUCUUAGUCCACAAAAGGCGGUAUUGUUAUAUGGACCUCCAGGCACCGGGAAGACCAUGCUCGCAAAAGCUAUUGUCAGAGUCUGGAGCUGUUUUUAUAAAUGUGAGGAUCUCUAAUCUGAUGAGCAAGUGGUUCGGCGAUGCACAAAAGCUGUGUGAGUAUAGAUCGCAUUUGAAUUGCCUCUCUUGUGCUGGAGCUUUGUCUUGCAUUUAGCAAAACAAUGAUCAAGGUUGUCAAAAACGCUUUUUUAACACGACACGGAACAUAUAAUUUAAACUCGACUCGUAAAAUCGAAUCGUAAAAUUGGAAGUAAAAUUUUUUACCCUAAAAUCGUAAAAUCGAAAGUAAAAUAUUUUAACUAAAAUCGUAAAAUCGCAAGUAAAAUAUUUUAAACAAUACAAAUAUCCAAACAUAUUAAAUUACAUAAUUCAAAUAAAAGUAAAAUAAACAAUAUAAAUAUCCAAACAUCUUAAAAUACAUAAUUCAAAUAAAAAUUGAUACAUGUCCAUAGUUCAUGGAAAAUAUUAAAUAAAAAUAAAUCAGCUUAUUUUAGGACUCACAUGCAAUGCAAACAACCCAAAAUAGAUCUGAAGUUCAUGGUUAAAAUCAGACAGAUCAUCCAAUCCCAAAUUUCACAAUUAAGCAUAAACAGCCACCUAGUACGAGGUUCCACACAAUUCAGAAUUUUGCAGGCAUCUGCAACAGUUUGAUAGCCUAACAAUUGACGACAUUCACAAGGUUUUCAAUACGAGAAAUCCCAACUAGAGAAACAAGUAAAUGAUGCAAAUACCAUAUCACAGAAAUCCAAGAUAACAGUGGCAAUAGACUUUUUACAUAGAAUUAGAGUAAUGAUCAAGCCACGAGUUCACCAGCUACUGCUGGUGCUUGCAAGGAUAGGUUCCUAUUUCUUUGUGGAAUGCAUUGACAACAAGGUUUUGGUGCAGGAUCAGUUUUCCCCUUUCUCUAGUGCAUAAUAAUCAAUCUUUCCUUCAACCCCUGGGAGGCAUCAUUGCCUGCCAUCCCUGCACUAUCAAGUGCACAUACAACAACCAUCCAUGAUCCAACUAUCCUGUCUGUUCAUACAGUGAUCAUUUUCUUUUUUGUUGGCAGCAGACUCUUCAUCCCAACAAAGAAUUCCAGUUUCUCAUCCCUUCAGGCUAUCGAAAAUCGCAAAUGCGAGCAAUAAUUAACUAGUAGGGAAAUACUUGGAUGAUCUCGUUUAAACUCUCUUACAGAAAACCUAUAUUCACAAUUGAACAAGGGCAGAUUUCAACCCAAUGCUGCCCCAAACUAACCCAACAUCAUAUGCAGCUUCGCCAUAAAAAUAAACUCAAAGCUGGGUGAAGAAAAGACUUCCCAGUUUACUCAUUGUCAGCAACGUAUCCAGAUCAAAAGAUGAUCCUAAAGCCAAAUGUGAACACAAACAAACAGCUCUAAUUUCAUAAGCCUUUUAGAUCAUUAAAGUUUGAAGGUGCUGCAAGGCACAUAAAUGUAAAAAAACCAGAAUAAAAGUCAAAGAAAGGAAUAUAACGGACAAAGAUGCAAGAUGGUACACAGAAAAAACCCCUACUCAAACCUCUAAACUUACAGCAUCUAACCAAAGAAAACAGGACAUGGAUUUUACGCUAUAACUCUUCUAACAUGCAAGCCAAUGUGUGCAUAAAAAAAAAAAAGAAAUUCACAAGGCAAAAUUAACAGAUUAUAUACUGAUUCACGAGGAAAAAAAGGAGACCCAAAUUAUAUAAUCACAUAUUACUUGCAGCAAAAUACAUUCACUGAUUCACAGGUUCCAGAACCGAUUGUAGAAUGCCCAGAAGAUGAACAUAGAUUCACAGAAAAAAAAAAGCUUGGGUUCCCAAUUCUUACCUUCGUCUCGCCAAGAACGCUCUGGAGUCAGGGACGGUGUGACCGUGUGAGACAGGGACGAAGACAAAGUCGCGAGACAAGGAGUCAGGGACGAGGUCGGGGACUUGGGUGGGAAUUGGGAAUUUGGGGAAGAAAAGAGAUUAGUGCCCUGACCCUAAGUCAAUAUUUGUGCAUUUCUAAUUUUCCAAUUUCCAUUCGCUUAGUCACUGAGGCUGACCGUGACUUUUUUCUAAACUCGGUAAAACGUUACGUAUUCAACGUUUUUUACGAGUCAACCGAUUUUCCUGCGAGUUUGACCGAGUCAACCCGAUUUUACUGGUUUUUGAGUUUUAACCCCGAUUCUACACGUUUUUUGUGUUUUAACUCGUAAAAUCGGAUGAUUUUACGAGUUAAAACGCAUUUUUAACAACCAUGGCAAUGAUGAUUUAAAAUUAUUGCCUUGUUAUUCUAAAACUUGUUGUCACCCACCGAUUAUGUUGAGUGAAAUUUAGUUUCACUAUGAUAAUGGAAGCAAGGUGGUACUUUGUGAAUAUUCUUAAUGAAUAUUGGGAUUGGACCAUGCAAGUGGUUAUUGCUCAAAUCAAGGAAUCUCAAUGAAUAGUGUUGGAGUUCACUUAUAUUGGCUAUCAGAUUAUUGUUAUGAAGGUCAAGAGAUUGUAAAGAAGGAAGAGCAAACAAAAAGGAUGGUAUUGUUCCAUUGAACAAGUUAUUGGAUAAAAAUAGAUAUUGUAGAUUUUAAAUGGUAUUUAAUUGAGAAUGGAUAUGACUUACUAGUUGAUUAUUUGAUAAAUCUAAAUAUGAAAGAUUGACUAGGCUACCUAAAGAAUCUGGAACUUGACCCAUAAAUUUAUUAGAAUCGAGAUAUAAGUAAUGGAGGUGUACAAGGUUUUCAAUUGAUGAUGGGAUUUGACCACUCAAAUUGUUACUUGAGAGUUCUAAAGAGGUGAGUCGUGUAAGAUUACCAAGCUGGGCUAGAUCUAACCUUGUAAUGUUAUUAUUAAAAAGAGACAUAUAUUCUAAUGACUUUAGAUUAUUGAUUAAGUCAUUUUCUAAAUAAACUGAAAUUCUUGUAUUAGAAACACCCAACAUUCUCCAGAUGAUGGAAUAUAAAGUGCAUUAUCUGAUAUAAACAUGAGUUUUUUAUCCUGAAAAACGUAGUUUUAGCAAAUGAACAGUUUAGGCAGCUACUGAUUUGUUUUUUAAGAUUUUUGAUUGCUGGGGGUUUGAUUUAGUCACUCAUUUACUCACAGAUUAUGAUGUUAACCAUCUCAGCUCAAUAUCUCUUGCAGCUUCUUUCAGUCUCUCAUGAGUUCUUGAGUUUUUGCCAAAUCUUAAACCAUGUUGCCAGCUCCUUAAUCUGAGCUAUAGAUAAAGUUAGACGCAGGGUAGUUUAAUCCUAAUCACACGAAAGAAAGUGUCAGGUGUGCAGUAAGAGCGAGACACCUUUUCUACAAAUUUUCUGAAUUCUAAUGAAAUCUACGGCAAUUUGGAAAAAAACCAACUCUCUGGCAGGAGGGAGAAGAAAGAAGCCUGGAAAACAGGAUCGUUCUCAGGUAUCAUUAGGAAUUGCUUCUAGGAGGAAAAAGUAUAAGGUUAGGUUUCUUAUUGUUGGAUGCAUGGAGUUAUUAUGGGUUGGUGGAAACUGGAGACCAAGUUCGUUUCGGAUAUAUUGGAACUUUUGUACUGUCGUGUUGACCUCUGGGCUAGUGCUAUAGUACUGUUGUCAUUGUUUAUUCAACCAUCCAGUUAUAAUAUUUCCUGGUGUCUUCAAACUUGCCAUUUGUUUUCUAGGUUGUCUAUACUUUGAUGGCUGCUAGCAAGCAACAAAUACUCUGUUUCUAAUGUCGAGUGAAUAUAUGAAAAUAUCCAUCAUAUGGAGUGGAUUUGAGUAUCUGCUAUAUCAUAAACUAAUGGCACAUGAUUAGUUCCAUUUAUGUGAGUCCACCUUUUUUGAAAAUGAUACUAUGUGAACGCUGAUGGCUGCUAUGUUCAGUAUUAGCCUCUUGCGUGACUGACUGGGUACAGGUUCAUAGUUGGUGUCAUAACCCAAUUCUGGGUUAUUCCCCAAAAAUCAAUUUCUUUUUUCAAAAUAAAAAUCAAAAAAUAAAAUAAAGGCUGACAACGUGGAGAAGGUAGGUCGGGAAAUCAAGCUGCAAUUUUUAAAAGAAUACAAUGCAAAUUCAAGGUCAUAUUAAAUGAUUAUUGGACGAAUUCGCAUGAAAAUUAAGUCCAAGGACAUAAUUAAAUUUUUAAUAGGCCAAUUUGAUUUAAUCAUGGGCCAAAUUGAAUUUUAAUUAUGUUUAAGAAUUAAUUUGGGUCCAAUUAAAGGAUUUAAUUAAGUGCAAUGACUUAAUUAUACUUUAAAUGGGUCAAAUUAAUUUUAUUUGGGGCUUAAUUGGUGAAACAUUAAGUUUGGGAGCUUAAUUUGGGCUUAAUUGAGAAGAUUGGAAUUUUAAGAGACCAAAUUUAAUUUUUACCAAGUUGAUUGAUUGAAAUCAGGGAUCAAAUUGCAAGAAAAUUGAAGUUUUGGGGUCAAUUAGGGGUUAAAUUGACAAAAUCCAAAGACAAGGACCAACUUGCAAAAGGCGCCAAACUAUAGGGGUCAAAUUGAAAGACAUUGAACGCUGGAGGGCGAAAUUGAAAAUCAGCAAAAAGCCCUAAUUUUUAUCCCAAACAGCGCCGUUUUUGUGUUGAGGGAAGGGACCAGGCGACGCGUCGCCCGGUUACUAUUCAUCGUCUUCCUCACAAAGCUACCCGAGUGGCUGCUUUCCAGGCGCGUUUUCUCACUCGUUUGGCCCCCAAAUCCGACAAGGCGUGCACCAACAUGUUCCCCUGAAACAUCUUUAUCUCGUAGAGUGGUCUCGUGGUGGAACAACUUGGGGACAACUCCGUUUAUUGUCCCAAAAUGGCACCCUCGGACAGUCUGCAGCCUUGGAUGGCCAAAUUUGAUAGUUCGAGGUGCACUCUUUGAACCAACGGCUUGGAUUCCUCGAGUCGAAUCAAGGGCUGAGACUCUUUCCCCGUUGAAGACAAGAUUACCCUCUCUCUAGCCCUAUAAAUAGGAGCCAAUUUCGUGCUCAGGAGGAGGAGAAAUCUGGGUCCAAAUAUCGCAAAAAAAAACAGCCUCCCCCUGUUUCCAUUUUUCUUAUUUCCCCGUCAGCCUUCUGCAACUCACUCCACCCCUUUCACAGCUGCUUACUUCGACGAGAUAAUUAACAAACCCAGCCUAUACAUCACCACGAACACCAGCUCCACCAUAGGACUCCAACCGGCCACCAAGAAGCCACCGUGAACCUCUCUUUCUUCUCCGUCCAGCGUGUCUCUCUCCUCUGCAAACUUCAUCUUCCUGCACAGUAGUAACUUCGGUGGCCAAGCUCUCCACCAACGCUGCCACUAGCUCGUCUUCCACCCUCUCCAUCGGAAGCUCCUCCUUUUUCCUCCAUGGCGGCAGCAGCCAAUCAGCACCACUAUUUUCGUUUUCUUCCUUCUCUAGUACCGGCAGCAGCAGCACCAAGCUCUCAUCAACGCCGCCACCAGCUUCAGGAAGACUACCUAGACCACCUCCAACCUCACGCCAGGCCAGUGAUAGCAGCUUCUUCUCCUCCGCAAGGUUGCCUCCUGCUUUUGCUCCGCCACUGCAACGGUGAAGUUGCAUGCAGAACGUGAACCUAUUGUUCACGUUCUGCAAUUAAUAUAUAAUAUUAUAUUAUAUACUUUUUUUAAAAAAAAAAAUUCAAAAAUCAAUUUUUAAAAAAAUUGUAAUUUUCUCAAAUAUUUUUCUACCAAGUUUUGUUUAAUAUUGGGUUGUAUACUUACAUUGUAAGAUACAAGUCCAGUAUUAAAAUACCCGGUUUUUCUCCGAAAGAAAAAAUAUAUAAAAAAGAAGAAAAAAAUAUUUCAUUGCAUACGGCCAAGUCCUAAAGAAUUUUCCAAGCAUGUUUUCACAAAAAAUUGCAUCUUUCUCACGUUUUUGAAAAUAAAAAAAAAUGGAUAUCAUAAAUGGGUUUGGCCAAAAAAUCAAAAACCUUUUUCCAAUCUUUUUUUUUUCUAGGAUCCGAAUGUAGAUUUUAAUAUUUAUGGGGUGUAAAAUUACAUGAUAAUGUACAUCCUUGGGUAUUAAAGAUACAAGGUGUAAAUAAAAGCAAUUUUAAAAUUCGGACUUUAGAAUGGUUAGGAUUUAACCGAAUAAGGUAGAGACUCCCUCACGAGGGGAGAUCUGCCUUGAACCUUAGAAAAGACCAGCGAAUAGAAACUCGACCUAGAAAAAACAAUCAAACAAUAAUGCAGCUUACCUUAGGUAGGGUGCAUUGGGGGUGAUGCGUCUUCCCCUUGCACAACCAGUCCCUUACUCAGACUCCCGUAGACCUUAGGUUCCUAGUAACCAUAAUACUAGGUGGCGACUCCAACGAACCAAGCAAAACACAAAUAAUAAAAAAUCGCCAGUCGAUGUCGUGCGGAAUUUUUCGACGUGCGACAGUUAGAAGGAAUUAAAUUUGAAGACUUGGCCUUGAACCAAUAUGAUUGCUAUAACUGGAAAAUAUAGAUAUUAGUUCUUUCUAUGCCUGAUGAAAUUUGGAUUCGAAAACCAACUUUUCAAUUAUGAAGCCUUCUGAAUGCAAUUGCUCUGUAGAAGAUUUAAACUGCUUCGUAACAAUCAAGCCUAUCCUUUAAACACUAUUGAAUAUGGCCAUGUUCUCAUGUUGAAAAUGUAAUUGAUUGGGAUAGAGGCUUUAGAAUUUAUGGUCGGUUUAAUGGUUUAUCAAUAUGCUGCAAUUGUGUAUUUUUAUUUUUGAAUCAAUUGGAGGAUUGGAAUCUAUCAAGCAAGCUUUGUAUGAACUGUUGACUCUUCCCCUGCGGAAAUCUGAGCUCUUCUCACACGGGAAACUUCUUGGUCCACAAAAAGGGGUAUUGUUAUAUGGACCUCCAGGCACAGGGAAGACCAUGCUUGCAAAAGCUAUUGUUAGAGACUCUGGAGCUGUUUUUAUAAAUGUGAGGAUCUCUAAUCUGAUGAGCAAGUGGUUUGGCGAUGCACAAAAACUCGGUGAGUAUAGAUCGCAUUUGAAUUGCCUCUCUUGUGCUUGAGCUCUGUCUUGCAUUAGCAAAACAAUGAUGGUUUAAAAUUAUUGCAUUGUUAUUCUAAAACUUGCUGUCACCCACUGAUUAUGUUGAGUGAAAUUUAGUUUCACUCUGAUAAUGAAAGCAAGGUAGUACUUUGUGAACAUUCUUAACUUGUCCUUAUUGAAGAUCUUUAUCAGCAACAAGAUUUUGUUGGAUGAAGCAAAUGAGAUAUGUCUUGGAUAAGUAUACAUAUUAUUUAAGUAUGCUUAUUAUUUAAGGGAUUUAUUAGCAAUAAUUUCACUAGAGGAUUCAUGUUUUGGAUAAGUAUGCAUAUUAUUUAAGAAUGCUUAUUAUUUCUAAAAGAAAAUAGAGAUAAUGAAGCAAAUGAGAUAUGUCGCUAUAUAUCUUUUGCAGUUGCUGCUGUUUUUAGCCUGGCUUAUAAACUCCAGCCUGCCUUUAUAUUUAUUGACGAGAUUGACAGUUUUCUGGGGCAGCGUCGUACUACAGAUCUUGAGUUCUGUAUUUAUGCGGUCCUCUUAUGCUAGAAUGUGUUUCAUGUAAGAUUUGUGAAAGUGUGAUUUAUUCAUGGGCCUGGCUUGGCCGGACUCAGUUACAAUAUCUUACAAAAAAUUAUUUUAAUGUUUUCCUUAUCAAACAUUGUUUGUAUAAACCUAUCUUGCUUUUUUUUCUUCUUUUUUUUUGCUUUAGAUAUAAACAAUGCUUUAGAACAUUGUUUGUACCUGUUGAGAUGGUUUUAUCGCACUUUUUAAUAGUCAUUCAUGUCUUACAAGUUACUUGCAAGUAUUGCUGCUGUUGUGAUAACAUAAUCUGUCAGUCAAGUGUUCUUUUAAAUUUACAAGAAUUGCUUCAAUUUGUUCGUAACUCUAUAAUUUUCAAAAUACUCCCAGAAACAGAGAUUGAUUUAAGUGAUCAAGAAUAAGAAAAUGGACACAUAAAAAAAGGAAUCCAAAACAUAAAUGAUUUUAUAGUUAACACAAACUUGUUACAUACAUGGAUUUUUUUUCAUAGAAGUAAUGUACAUUUAACCUUGAAUUAUGUAAACUACAAAAAAAAAAAUCCAAUACUAUGAAUUUGCUACCCUAUUGUUGAUCCACUUGAUAUCUUUUUUUUUUUUUUUUGAUGACCCUAGGUGUCCGGGCCAGCUUACGCGCACCACAACUAAUCUCAGGGCCUAUUGAACAUCCUGCAAGCCCAGUAGGCAGGUAAGGCACCACGGGGGUGACAGGCUGGUACUCUUGAGGAUCGAACCCAGGACAUUCGCAAAGGCAAGCCUUGCAGUUGACCAAUGGGCUAGACCCUCAAGUGUGAUCCACUUGAUAUCUUAUUUGUACUGCAAAAUUACAAAGGUAAGACUGAUCAAAUGAAAUAGUAAAGAAAACAUAGCCUAACAUAAACUGUGAACAUAAAAUUUGAAAACUCAAAUGCUUGCAAAACUUACUUGAAAAUAUGAAUUGCAUUAUUUAGUUUCUUCUAGCACCAUAUCUGCCAGCAUUCUUCUUUGUUUUUUUGCUCUGGAGAUUCCAUUUAUCUUCAACCAUCCUAAAAAACCAUGAAGGCUUUUUUGUUCUUAACACAACAUAUCCCGUUGCAACUCCAAACACAAACCCGCAUCCAUACCCCAUUGUCACAGCUUUCCAUCCAAAUCCUUCUCCAAACAAUGUUGAAUCAUCUCCUUCAUCAAAGCUUGAUGGCGGUAAUGAUGGUGCCUCAUCACCGUAACAUUUUUUUAGUACUUGAGAUCCACAUAAACCCAAGUUUCCUUCAAAUGAGCUUGCAUCAAAGGUGUUGAAUUGCUGUCCACUUGGUAUGGGCCCCUCGAGUUGGUUAUGUGAAAGGUUUAGGAUUGCAAGAAAUGUUAGACCCCCAGCUGCGUUGGAAUCCUUCCGGUAAGCAAAUUUGAAGAUAGAUCUAAUGAUUCCAAAUUGGUCAAAUUUCCUAAUGAUGAUUGGAUAUGACCUGUAAGGGAAUUAUGAGAAAGGUUGAGCUGUUGGAGUGCUUUAAGCUUUCCUAUCACUUUUGGAAUCUCUCCGGUGAAAUUGUUAUUUGACAAAUCAAGUACUCUGAUAGUACUUUGGAUCUUCGUAAACUCAAUUUCUACACCUUUCCAUGUCAUUUCUAUGGAAUAGACAUAGCCAGUGUAAUUUGUUCCCAUGUAAAUCAUGUUCUGAUCCGAGGCCAUCAUUGCUUCAAGACUAUUGAAAUACCCAGUUGGCAAUGGCCCACUAAAAUUGUUGUGAGAGAUGUCAAAAAUCCGUAAUUUAGAGAAGGAAUUAUAUGCAGUCGAACCCUUCACAAAACCUUGGAGUUUAUUGGAUUUUAGGACAAGAAUUUGGAGCUUUGGAAGCGUUUCUAGAAAGUAGGGAAAUGUAUCCUCAAUCUUAUUGUUGCCAAGAUCAAUAACUUGCAACAUUGUGCAGUUGAUGAUAGACGGUGGUAUUUUCCCUUCUAAUUCAUUUCCAUUGAGGUUGAGAUAUUCCAAGCUAUUAUCCUUUGAAAAUGUUGAAGGGAUAGUGCCUUGAAGAUUGUUCAUGCCUAGAUGCAAUACCGAGAGCAUGCUGCUGAAGUUCCCCAAACAUUGUGGCACAGAACCACUCAAGCUGUUGGUGGACAAGUCCAGGACCUGAAGGAAUCUCAGCUUGCAAAUAGAAGAAGAAAUCUCACCUGUCAAAUUACUAUUGGAUGCAAGAAUAAGGGUUGUCAAGUUCUCUUGUUUGAAAAUUGAACUUGGGAUUGGACCAUGCAAGUGGUUAUUGCUCAAAUCAAGGAAUCUCAAAGAAUCAUGUUGGAGUUCACUUAUAUUACCUAUGAAAUUAUUGUUAUGAAGGUCAAGAGAUUGUAAAGAAGGAAGAGCAAGCAAAAAGGAUGGUAUUGUUCCAUUGAACAAGUGAUUGGAUAAAUAUAGAUAUUGUAGAUUUGAAAGAGUAUUUAAUUGAGAAUGGAUAGGGCCUACUAGUUGAUUAUUGAUAAAUCUAAUUCUAAGAGAUUGAGUAGGCUACCCAAAAAAUCUGUAACUUGACCCAUAAAUUUAUUGGAAAAGAGAUCCAAGUAACGAAGCUGUACAAGGUUUCCUAGUGAUGAUGGGAUCUGACCGCUAAAAUUAUUACUUGAAAGGUCUAAAAAGGUGAGUUGUGUGAGAUUACCAAGUGAUGAUGGGAUCUGACCGCUAAAAUUAUUACUUGAAAGAUCUAAAUAGGUGAGUUGUGUGAGAUUACCAAGUGAUGAUGGGAUCUGACCGCUAAAAUUAUUACUUGAAAGGUCUAAAUAGGUGAGUUGUGUGAGAUUAUCAAGCAGGGAUAGAUCUGACUUUAUAAUAUUACUAUUAUAAAAAGACAUAUAUUCUAAUGACUUUAGAUUACUGAUUAACUCGUUUUCUAAAUAAACUGAAAUUUUUGUAUUAGAAAGACCCAAAUGAGAGAGGACAUUACUCAAAUUGGAUGAAGGAAAAGAGCCAAUGAGGCCUUCGUUGUAUGACAAAUCCAGUGAUUCAAGGUUUGGGAGGAGAAAGAUGUUACCCGGGAACUUCCCCUGCAAACCACAACCCUGAAGGAAAAGAGAUGACAAAGAAGAAGACAGAUUCAUCAAGGAAUUAGGUGUAACCAAAGACAUAUUUACAUAACCCAAAGCGAGAUCUCUUAGCUUGGUUAGGUUUUGAACAAGCUUGUCAAAAGAAAUUGGUUUUAUACUGAGAUAGAAGUUUUCAGAGAGAUCCAAGUAUUGGAGGUGCUUAAAUCUUCCCAUUGAGGAUGGGAAUUUUCCUUGCAAUCCACAGUAAUAGAGUUUGAGUGAUGACAAAGAAGAGGAAAGAUUCAUCAAGGAACUGGGUACAACCAGUGACAUGUUUACCCAAUUUAGAUGGAGUUCUCUAAGAUUGGUUAGGUUUUGAACAAGCUUCUCAAAAGAAAUUGGUUCUAGACUUGGGUAGUAGUUUUCAGAGAGAUCAAGUGAAACCAAUUUGGAGAGGUGAGGUAUUUCCGACGGAACUUGUCCUGCAAAGCCUGAGAAACUUAGGUUAAGAUGUGUCAGAUUGGAAAAUUGGCCAAAUUGAGAAGAAAUAUGAGAGCUUUUGAAAUCAUUGUCAGAGAGGUCGAGCUUUUGAAGUUGAUGCAGGGAGAAGAGGGUGCUAUUGGAAUGGAGGGUGCCAUAAAGCAUGCUGCAAGCAAGGUGAAGCCCAAUUACAUGACCGGUUUUCAUGUCACAG
rnacentral:lncRNA from 1 species